CUUUGAUAGGGCAGGCAACCUAACACGAUAUAGAUCUCAAGAAGAUGCAGUAACAGCAGGCUGGAUUGGGUUAAAUGCAACCUGCUCGGCACAAGUUAACACUUCAUGAGGCCCUGCCUCGUCUCGACCGACACCCAUAAGGUCCAGGUAGUACUGGUAAUGUGAAACGAUGCUGUUCAUGGCAUCAAUGUCACCCUUGCCACAAACUGAUUCCCCAUAAAGAAUAUUCAUUGUAGUGCCAAAUCCAGGAAACCGCUUACUCAAGGUAUCGUUCUUGGUAGGCUUCCAGUCUCCAACAAAUGCUUGGUGGGCCGAGGGUUGUGACUUCUUGAUAGGGGUCAUCCACCUCCAUACUGCAGCUUGGAAAGCAAGAGUAGCGUUCUGCUCAAUGUAUUCUGGAUGGUUCAACAGAUCCACCUUCAAAGCGUCUCCAGCUGCACCGUAAUUGUAGUUCCUAGAUGGUAGAACCAAUGUUAAAUUAGUAACAUUGUCUAUUCAAAGAACUCAAACUACAACCUCACGUAUCUUCUAGAACUUCAGAUGUCACGAGAUUUGAGGAAAAAACAUAAAUGUGACAAUAGCUAGACUAUGAAACAAACUGACAGACAACAACAAAGGCUUAUCCCACUAAGCGGCGUCUGCUGUAUGAAGACAAAUAUGUCUGACGACUCUGACCGCAAAACAACUCCAUCUAGUUUCCGCCACAAGUAAAUUACUAGCUUGCAGUAUGUAUCAUCUAAUUUGUGAACUUGCUAAGAUGGCAUUAUACGAGUAGACCAACGAAUUAAUCUCAUCUAACGAUAGCUCGCUCUACUUUACAACACAACUGACAUCAUCUUUGGUUAAUUUAUUUGGUAAACGAAAGCUCGGACAAAUGAAUAUUAUGAAAGGAAAUCGACAUAAACCAAUGAUAAAAUAGAUGGAAUACAAACCAGUAGAUAGGCAAAGCACCACGGCCAUAGUAUUCAGCUCCAGGGCUGCAGGGAUAUAUGUACUUGUAAUAGUCAUCACAGUAUGACUGCAUGGGACUCAUUUCCCUGUUGUAGCAAAGCCCCCAAGCGUAUGGUCCUCCGGUGGCCACACCGUAACCGCCUGGAACAAUCAUGCCCAUCGCCGUCAACAACCACAAGAACACCGGUAUACAUAUAUCCUUUUCGUCACUGUAUUGAUGGUCAAAAUCUAUUUUUGGUCACUGCGUUUUUAAUUUAGCCAAUUCGGUCGCUGUGUUUUACAAAAUUUAUGAAAUCCAAGUUUUUUCCCUCAAAAUCGACAUUGUUCAUAAACCCAAUUCACUAAAACUCAACAAAUCUCAAUCAAACAUUACUAAUUAUAAAAACAAGAGCUACCCAAAAUAGCAAUUCUAUGCACAAACAAGAGUGGUGACUUCCAAGAGGUUUUGCUGCCGACAUGUCCAAGAAAGGCGGCGAUCUCCUUCAUCUGCAUAAGCUUCCCACCCGUGGUCCCAAACCCAAGAGGCUCGAAAAGCGCGGCGGCGGUGAUAAACGCCUGGUAAUCCCAAAACCCAACGGCAUGCGCCACCGGCGUGUUUCUCUUGGAGAACAGAUUCUCAAACUGGUAAGUCUGGAAGUAAUCGGAGAUGGUGAGAUUGCAAAAGUACUUUGACCACCCUUUACACUUCCACCCUUUGUCGCACAGCUUCUUCCCCCUCACAAUCUUCACUUUCGCGACGGUGGACGAGUAAUCGCCGUCGCUGCUGGCACACAGGACAACACUCAGCGCCACCACCGCCACCAAUGCAGCAGCGGAGAUCUUCAUGGUUGGAUGCGGAAGAACAAUUACAUGAUAUUCAACUUAGGAUUUAACAUCUCUUUGAAGAUGCUCUUAUAGAUUUUAAACUUAAAAGCACUAUUUUCUUAAGCAUUUGAAGUACAGCAAAAAAUAAUCACAAGGCGAUAUGUGAAUUUUUGGUAAAAAUAAUAAAGUUAUCCCUAAGACAUACGGGUUGUCCUCUGCAUGAGCAGUGGUCAAUCAUUCUUUACUAAAGCAAAGAGUGUCCAAAAAAGAUAAUCAGUUCCAAAUUAUCUCAUCCAUCCUCAUCUUAGGUAAUUACUCCAUAACCUAUAAAUUAUUCUAUAUAAAUGGAGAUUAAUUGGCUAAUUAAUGGAUUAAAUUCUAAUUAAUCCAUUAAUCACCAAUUAAAUCACCCAUUUUCACACAAAAAACCUCUAAGGGCUGGCCACAUCCAUCCCUAUAUAUUUGACCCUAUUUUUUCUAAAAAAGGAGGUCUACAGUCUUUCAAAACUCCCAAAAACUCUCCAAACACUUUUCUCUCUAAAUUAUAACUUUUGUAUCAGAGGUUCUUUCGCCAAAGCCCCCCUUUCAUCGUGGGCACGUGAGGCUCUUGGCCUUGACCAACGGUGUUGAUUGUUUUAUAGGUGCAAUUUUGUCAAAAAAGGAGAAGGUGAAAAUUUGCAUCCACAAAUUGGUGUUUUCAUUGAUAGCUGAGAUUCACACUCGUAGAAGACUCUUGGCCUUGACCAAAGGUGUUGAUUGUUUCGUACGUUCUUAUUAUUAGAAUUUUUUAUUUGCAAAUAUUCUUUGAUAAAAUGUAAAAGAGAAAUACAAUGGCUAGAAAUUUAGAAAAUUCCACAAUUGAAAAUUCCAAUAUUCAAGAAAUGGGACUGCGGCGAUCCACGAGACUAAUGUGAUCUUAGGGGAGCGGCACCGCCACCACAAGGCUCAACCAUGGCAACCACCGCGGUGGCCACCGCGGCAAUCAUCCACGACGAGGUUUAUGGCUCCACCACCACGGCCCGAGCCAUGUCACUCCAUGCUCAACGCGAGCCCAAUGCGUUGCCAAGCCAAGCCUAAGCCUCGCAUUCGCGAGCAUCACGCGCUGAGCAGCCUACUCUAGCGGCUCAACUUGCUCUCGUGGCCCAGCCUACCCUCGCGGCCCAACCUGCUCUAGCAGCCCAGCCUGCUCCCACUGCCUAACUGAUCGGAUCAUAUUUAUAUAUAUUUUUACUUCGAAUUCACUCGUCUUUUCUUAAGUUAGUUCCUUAUAUUUUGAGCUAUUUACGUUAUUUUUGUGUUUAUUGGAUUUGUUUAUGCAAAGAAAAUAAAAAUGGCACAAAUGAGUUUUAAAUAAUAAAUUCAUCGAAAAUUGCUUUAGUCGUUCUCAUUUUGUCAUGGGUUAUUGGUAGAAUUAUGUCACGGAUUAUAGGUCAUGGAAGUUAGGCUAAAUUUAUUAGGUUUGCAUUAGAAAUUAUAUGGCAUUAGAAAUUAUAUGAUAUAUCUAAAAUUGAAGUGUUUUGCAGUUGGUGAGUAAAGAAAAGAAACAUAAAGAAGCUGCCUUUGCAGCUGGAACAAAUGGAAAAAAAAGGGAUCCAAGAGACAGCAAAACGUGAAAGAAUAAAAUAAGGGAAGCUGCCUUUGGGCAGUGGAAAAAUAAGAAGAAAAAGGAGAAUCCAAGGCAUGAGACACGGGGGAAUAAUAGUGGAACAAAAAGAAUGGCAGAAAAUAAGAGGAAGUGGACAGAGUUAGGUGAGGACUGUGCGAGAAUAAAAGAAGUCAGACGAACGAGUGAAAAUGGGGGUCUGGGAGCGGGAGAAAGGGGCUGCCCUUUGGGCAGCUCGCAGAGACGCAGGAAGGAGAGAAGGUCAGCAGGAACGCAAGGCAAUGUGACACGGGGGGAAGCUGCCAUUGGCAGCGUGAACUGAAGAGAAGGACUGACAGCAGCAGGCAGGUGGAAGGCUGACGGGGCAAGUGAGGCGCGGGAGGUCAGGAAGAAGGAGAGGAUGUGCAGGAGAGAGGAGAGACACGGGCAGCGGUAGUGAGAGAAGUGAGGCAGUGCAGUCCAGGUGAUAAACAGAAAGCAAGUCAGCGAGGGAGAGGGCAAGCAUGGGCACGAAUGCAGCAGAUCCUCUUUCGGUUUAAUCUUUCCAAACUUCUAUUUUAUUUCUGUUUCAAUAAUGUGUAAUUAAACUUAUUUUGACUAGAGGUUAAUUCAAAGCCAUGAAUAUAUUUGUAAUAUGAAUUGAUUACCUUCAGUUGUGAUUUCUGAGUUGUGAUUUAAUUUGCUUAACUGCUUGAUAGAUAACUUAUUUUUGUAUGUCGAUUAAGGAUGCAUACUUAAUUUACAUGCAUGAAUUUGAUGCUAGAAUAUAAGUGAAUUUCACCUAAUCGUUAUGAACUUAUAUUCACAAGUAGUAAGGUUGCUAGUCACAAUCACGUUAAGUAAAUUCUUGGCAUAAGUUUCAUGCAAAUCAUAGUAACGAGUGCCUCGUCAAUGCUUAUGUUUUUCAUAGAACUUAAUGAUUCUUGCUUGUAUCUCUAUUAUGCAAUUCAUGUAGGGAACUUGUAGGGAAUGUUUUGGGUUGUCGUAUGCAAUCAUCCAACCCAAUAACUUGUGGAAAAACUGAGGGUUAAAAAAGUGCUGUUCACAGUUAAUCUGGAGUAUUGAAAUUCACAAUUUAUUGAAAGAACAACUGAAAAUCAAUUUAGGUUGCUUAUGUGUCAUGUGUGGAGAAGAACCCUCUAGCUAGUCCGUCAUUUAUCAUUUUACCUUAAUUUUAUGUUUUUGUCAAUUCUGUAAUUUAAUUAAGUUUAAUUUACUUUUCAUCAAAACCAAACACCCAUCCAUUAUUAAAUUAUAUUAUUUAGUUAGUUUUCUUUAUUGUUAGUCUUUUAAUUUAAUUUCCGUCCAUUUCAGUUCCUAGUGUCUAAUUUGAUUAUUUUCAUUAUUUUGAGUCAUUUUAAGUGUGUUUCGAGUUAUUAGAGUUUUUAGCCUAGUUUUGUGUCCUUGAGUCUUAUUUAAUAUUUUUAAUAGAUUAGCAAUCCCUCCUAAUCCCCGGCCUAGAACGAUACCCUACUUACAUCCAUACUACAAUUGUAAAAAAGAGGGUUUAAUUUGUGUGUCAAGUAAUUUUGCGCAUCACUAACCUGCUCCCGCAGCCCUGCCUGCUCCAAUGAUUUCCCAAGCAGCCCAAGUCGGCUCGAGAAUAUCUCGACCAUCCGGAGCAACCAUCGAGCCUAGGGUAUUUUUACCAUAUUUCUCCACAGAUUUGACAUUUCCCAACUCAAAUCUCAUGCCUGGAGUCUACCAUACUUCUACUGCUCAAGGAGGCAUAUUCCUUCCAAGAUCUUCUAAUCUAAAUGGCGAACAACACUUGUCUUGACAAGUCAUAGAGUUGAUGAGUGCCCUUGCACAACAGACGACCUUCGUGAAUCAACUUUUGCAACGCACCGAGAUCUAACGUGCCCCGGACGAGUUAUCCUGAGGUAGGAUAAGGGCAGACGAUCCUUUCCAGCAGCAUUCCAACAAGCAGCCACUCAACCAGCCAUGAGCCGAACAUUCAGGCAGUGUACAUUCCCGAUUAGGCCUCCGAGAUAGCGUAUACUCAUGUCUUAGAGCGCGGAGGAGCGUGCACUCUCGACUAGGCCCGAGGAUAAGUAUACACUCACGGUUGGGGCCACACUCUGAUAAUCAACAUGAGUAACCUUCCAGGCAAAGCAUUCAUUUCCGGCUAGGCCCGCAAUGAGUAUCAUCCACAUCACAUCGGAGCAGGAAGCAUAGCGGACAGAAAGAAGCAGUCACUCAAUCCGGCUCAAGUUCAACCAGCAGCCUGUGAGUUACACACUCGCCUACUAGGAACAUACCACACCUACCGACUAGCCGAACAUAUAGAAGAGUAGCUUAGACCAGCAUAUCACGAUUGAGGGCAAUCGAGAGCUUUGCCACCCUAACAAAGGAAAAUUCAAGAAGAAGUAAAACAUCUCCUGACCAAGCGAUUGUGUAAUUUCUCGUGCCAACUAAGCCUCAAAAGGGCACAAGAUGAAGCACCUAAUGAUGGCGCAAUAAUUUAGGGAGCAACUCACUGCGUUUACACCCUUACGUGGGUUCCACAAGCAGUUCGAAGUCUCAAGCAGUUCACCAAACAAAACCUUGCAACCUGAUGAUUAUUUCAGUUGUCCAAUAGUCCAGCUUUCCUCAGCUACACUCAUGACAACGACUUCCAUGCUCUCCAGUGCAAGAGGAUAAACUAAUUGCUCUCUAGUGCGAGAGGGUAAACCAAUUCCCUAACACCCAAAAGGGUUUGCUCUCCAGUGCGAGAGGAUAAACUAUUUGCUCUCCAAUACGAGAGGGUAAACUAAUUGCUCUUAAGUGCGAGAGGGUAAACCAAUUCCCCGACACCCCUAUGGGUUUGCUCUCCAGUGCAAGAGGAUAAACUAAUUGCUCUCCAGUGCGAGAUGGUAAACUAAUUUCUCUCCAGUGCGAGAUGGUAAAUUAAAUCCCUGACACCCAUCUGGGUAAGCUUUCUAGUGCGAAAAGGCCACAUAGUUUAAAAGAUCAAAUGCUUGAAGAUCAACUAAGCAACAAAUGGUUAAGGGGCAGCAACCACUUUUACACUUAACAGUUCACUCAUCUGACAUUUCAUCUUGAGCAACUCUGAUCUUGGCAGCUUCAUCCUUGACUGCUCCAUCUAUGGCAGUUGAAAAUCAAACUCAAGUAAUUUCCUCAUUUUCAGCAGACAGCCUAAAUAAUUGCCUAUUCCACGCCACUUCCUCGGCCCAUGCUGAACCAAUCCUUGGCUUCAAUCAAGCCGAGCUACUCAAGCAAUGUUCCUUUCCACAUCACCUUCUUGGCCCAUGCCAAGCCGACUCCUGGCCCUUGUCAGCCGACGUGCCGUACCACCCCGACGACUACCCCGUGGCAGCACCACCCAAGAAAAAGACAAGAAGAAAUUAAGUUUUUAUUACAUUGGUACGGCACGGAGAAGACGAAGAAAGUAAUGAAAGACGGUCCUUUGCACAAGUAAAAUGUAGGAGAUUGCUAGAGGAGGGGGAACAAAUAUCCUCUAAGCUCUCUCUCUCUCUCUUGUAGGGUAGAAUAAAUCACUCUCCAAAAUUGAUUUAAUAACCCACUUAAGGUGGACUUAAAUAGGCUUUGAGAGAAAUUUAUUUCCCUUUCCUAGAAUGAUCUAAUUUCAUAGGGAAUCUACAUCAAAACAGGAAGCAAUCCUAAGUUUCCUAGAGCAAGAAAAUCUCUACACCUACUACCCUUUCCAAUGAGUAGCCCAGUAGGUAUGGGGCAUUUGUGGAGCAAAAAAUAAUCACAAGGCGACACGUCGAUUUUUGAUGAAAAUGACAAAGUUACCCCUGAGACACACCGGUUAUCCUACGCGCGAGCAAUAGACAAUCAUUCUUUAAUCAAGCCAAGAGUGUCCAAAAAAGGUAACCAAUUCCAAAUUAUCUUAUCCAUCCUCAUCUUAGGUAAUGACUUCAUAACCUACAAAUUAUUCCAUACAAAUAGAGAUUAAUUGGCUAAUUAAUGGAUUAAAUUCUAAUUAAUCCAUUAAUCACCAAUUAAAUCACCCAUUUUCACACAAAAAACCUCUAAGGGUCGGCCACCUCCAUUCCCUAUAUAUAUGACCAUAUUUUUUUCUAAAAAAGGAGGUCCACACUCUUGCAAAACUCCCAAAAACUCUCCAAAUACGUUUCUCUCUAAAUUAUAACUUUUGUAAUCGAGGUUCUUCAGCCAAAGCCCCCCCAAUUCAUCGUGGGUGCGUAAGGCUCUUGGCCUUGACCAUAGGUGUUGAUUGUUUUGUAGGUGCAAUUUUGUCAAAGAAAGAGAAGGUGAAAAUUUGCAUCCACAUUUGAUAUCCUUCGUUUUUCUAAAAACAACUUAAUUUAAGAACGAGUAUCAUUUUUUUUAGAAGAGUUCCUCUCCAAAUCUCUUUCACCAAGGUCACCGGAUCAAGUGAUCUGGGCCUUUCAAAUUUCAUCCAACGGCUAAAAAUUAUUACACCUUUUAAGGGGUCAAAACAGGUGGACUGCUGGAUGAAAUUUGAAAUGGCCGAAUCACUUGAUCUUGUGACCUUGGUGGAAGAGAUCUAGAGAUGAUCUCUUCUCUUUUUUUUAGAUCAAGAAGGGGGAUCUUUAAGAUUUCUGAACUCCACUUGAACAAUUAAUUAUACAUAAAUUCAAGGGCAAAAGACUGUUUACUAUCCUCAUGUUUCAUGGUUUUCAACAUUUAGUAUAUUAAGUUUUUUUCGUCCUAGAGUCACACCUAAAGUCUAAAUUUUGGGACAGUCUUAUACAUCCGUUAGUCAAACUGUUAGGUCUCCCGUUAACUGUGACGUGACGCCCAUGUGGACAAUGACUGGGCGCCACGUGUCACUCACAUGGCAAUUAAAAAGAAAUUAUUUAUAAAAUAAAUAAAUAUAUAUAUAGUAAAAAAAAAUCUUCAUCCCCAGAUUCGGAGGAAGAAGAAGAAGAAGAAGGAUAAGGAAGAAGAAGGAAGAAGGAGGAAGGAAGAAGGAGAAAGAGGAAGAAGAAAAAAAAAACCGAAAUCUCUAACCCAAAUUCGGAGGAGAAGAAGAAGAACAAUAAGGAGAAGGAAGAAGGAGGAAGAAGAAAAAAAAAUCGAAAUCUGCAACCCGGAUUCGGAGGAGGAAGAAGAAUAAGAAGAUGGAGGAAGGAGGAAAAAAAAACUGCAGAUUCGGAGGAGGAAGAAGAAGAAGAAGAAGAAGAAGAAGAAGAAGAAGAAGAAGAAGAAGGAAGGAGGAGAAGAAGAAGAAAAAAAAAAACCGAAUCUGCAACCCAGAUUCGUAGGAAGGAGGAGGAAGAAGAAAAAAAAUACCGAAUUUGCAACCCAGAAUUUGCAACCCAGUUCGUCUCCCCUCCCCCCCUUCCCCACCCAAAACCCAACCCCUUGCAACCCAGAAGAAGAAGAAUGAGGAGGAAGAAGAAGAAGGAAAAAAAAUGUGGAUGACACGUGGCGCCCAAUCAUUGUCCACAUGGGCGCCAUGUCACAAUUAACGGCAUGUAUAAGACUGUUCCAAAAUGUACACUUUAGGUAUGACUCUGGGACAAAAAAAACCUUGAUGUACUAAAUGUUGAAAACCAUAAAAUAUGAGGGUAGUAAAUAGUCAUUUUCUCUAAAUUCAAAUUUAAAUCUCUUUGUCAUUUUAAUCCAAGUGGCUUUGAGAAGUAGGGGUGGGCACUUGGAACCGAAAACCGAAACCGAAACACGAAUCGAAUCGGACCGCACCGAAUGGUUUGGUUUUGCGGUUUUGAAAUGGUUUUGGUUUCAAAACCAAACCGCGGCAAAGAAAACGGUUUGGUUUCGGUUUUGGGUUUUCAAAACCGCACCGAAACUGAAACCGCACCAUAUAUUAAAUAUUAUGUUUUAAGAUCAAAAUAAUGUUGUCUCUCUGUUUUAAAUUAGUUUAUUGUAUCAUCUUAGUAUAAAUUCUAUUGUCAAAGACUUACCAGAUCAAUGCUUGAUCUUCUUCACAAUGUCAUGAAAACCCCUAUCAAAGUUUACCUCCUGCACAACGCAUAAUCUUUGUAUUGAUCAGUAUUACGCAAUACAAUCUGCACAACCUCUAGCUCAUGUCAUGCCCCCUGACAUAUCCAUGGUGACAGCCUAACUGCCUCAUUCUUUGCAAUCCUUUGGAAUUCGGAUCACACCAUAUUCUAAGUUCAUCAUUCGAGUGUAGUCCUUGAUCAUCGCAUGGCUUCAAUAAUUCUGAUAGCAUUCUUGGCUUCAAAGGCACCAUAAAAUGCUAGACUAGUAGCCACCAGAAAGAGUAGCUAGUGGCCCACUUAAUGAUUUCAUAGCAGCUUAAUAUUUGUAAUGUGUUUAAGGUAGAUGAUUAACUUGCUAUCCCGGGAUUGCACGCUGCGUAUGUAGUCUUUCAUAAGAACAUAUUGUAAUACUACGGAAACAAACUCACACUUUUCAGAAUAGCAUAGGGAAAUUGCAUGGAGCAUUGUUUUGCCACUGUUUUUUGCUGCAGUUUUGCUGCAUUGUUGUUGCUGUUUUUGCUACAUUGUUGUUGCUACAUGUUCAUUAAUUAAUAUAUGAGGAAAAUAAGACUGUUUUAUGCAUAAAUAGGUAUAUAUUUUAAAUUGUACAUUUUUUCUCAAAAACCAAACCGAAACCGUUUGAAACCGCACUGAACCGAACCAAACGGUUUGGUUUCAUUUCGGUUUUGGCUUCAAAACCGCACCGAACCGCACCGCAAAAAGUUUCGGUUUCGGUUGCGGGUUUACUUGAAACCGCACCGAACCACACCGCGCCCACCCCUAUUGAGAAGUGUGUGGAUUCGAUCCCAUGAUGAUUCCUUCCAAAACAUAAAAGUAAAGAGAGUUUUUUUUGGAAAACAAGUAAAGAGAGUUUUGUCUAGUUGUUCAUCUGAUUUGAUUUCUCUUGUCCCUUUUUCCCUUUUUAAGUUUUUCCAAGGCCCCAUAUACAUAUUUCAAUACAUAUAACAACCAUUCGACUUCUGACGCAUGUAUACCUCGAACCAUUUUGGCAUGGAAAUGACAUAGGAUAUAGUCCCAUAUAUUGCAUUAUUAGGUUAAGCAGAAUCACCAAACCAUAUUUAUAUGAACUUUUAACAACCAUCGCUUCAAUCUUAAAGAGGGAUUGGAUUAGCCUAAACAGAAUGUGUUUUGUAGUGGCACCUUAAUUAUAUACUAGCCUUCAUGCACGUGCUCACGCGCAUGCAUAAGAUAUUUUUUGAAUCACGGCGUUACGCGUGACUUACACAUUUUAAAUGUAUUUAAAUGCGUGAAUUGACAAAAGGAAAGUCAAAUAUUUGAAGUAAAUGAAUAAUUUUAGAUCAUGCUAGAAAAAGCCCCUUACAAACCAAUCAAAGCAGCUAAAUUCACAUAAUAAAAUUGGUCUUUCAAUUUCCAUCUACAUUCUAUUGAAUUUACAUUAAGAAUAGAGAAAAUAAUAUUUAAUAAAUAACUGAUUGAAUCACAUUAUUGGUAGCCCAUCCCCCUCCCCCUUAGUGUAGAUAAUAUCAUUUGUUAAAAAAAAUCAUUUGACAACUAAUUUAAUCACAUUAUUACGCGCGUGCGAAUUUUUUUUUAUAAUCGACAUUACACGCCUAUUAAGAUGUUUUGAACGUGUUUAAAAAUAGAGAAAAUAAUAUUUAAUGAACAACUGAUUUAAUUACAUUAUUACUAGCCUAUUGUGAGGUACUAAUUAAAAAAAAUGUACAAAAGAAUUAAUUAUUAGGGUAAAAGACUGUUUACUAUCCUCAUGUUUCGUGGUUUUCAACAUUUAGUAUGUUGAUGCACAAAACCGGAGGUCUUGGAACAACGUAAAUCCAACUGUGAAUAUGCAAGUAAUGUAAAUAACACAAGAUGUAGCGUGGUGCACCCCAAGGUUUGGGCUACGUCCACACUGAUUGUAUUUAUCUGAGAAGUGAGGGAGAGAGUGUGAGAGCUUUGCUCUAGUAGGAGAGACUUAAGGAAUGGCCUCCAGAAAAUGGCCUCCCCUAAUUGUGAGGGUGAGGGGUCCUUUUAUAGAAUAAGGACUCCUCACUUAUUACAUAUUUGCCUCUUCCUUUAUCACAUAAUUACAUUUAAGUCCCCUGAGUAUUUAUACGAGGUCUAAAUACGAGGCCUUAAAUAUGGUAUAAACAGUAGUCCCUCAAGUCUUCAGUCAAGAGAGUCUUUUGGCUGGAGACUUGAAAUUCAGUCCAUGUGUGGGCCGAAGUAACCAGAUGUUGUCUUAAACUGAUGCUUGAUAUGUGACGGUGCUCAAUCUGAAAUGAUGCUCAACUAGAAAUAGCACACGCUGCGAGGCUGCUCGGCUCGUGGCUUAUGUUGUCUUGGUUUGCUCGGCUUGUGGAGCUUGAAGGUGAGGGAGUCCCUUUUAUAGAAUAAGGGCUCACUCCUUAAUACAUGGACGAUGGGCUAGAGUUGAUGCUUGCGGCGAUGCUCUCUAAUGAUGGUGAGGGAGUCCCUUUUAUAGAAUAAGGGCUCGCUCCUCAAUACAUGAAUAAUGGGCUAGAGUUCCCCAAGUAUUUUUCAUGAGGCCUAGUUGAGGCCCAAUAUAUGGUGUAUGGUGUAGUCCCCAAAGUCUUCGGUCAAUAGAGUCUUUUGGCUGGAGACUUCAAAUUGAAUCCAUGUAUGGGCCUAAGUGGCGGUUGUUUGGAGGUGGUAUUUGUAUACCCUGCACUGAAACUUUGUAAGUGAAGCUUUGCAAGUGAAGCUUUAAAGCUGGAGCUCUAUAAAAUGAAGCUUUGAAGCUGGAGCUCUGUAAAAUGAAGCUUUGAAGCUGGAGCUCUGUAAAAUGAAGCUUUGAAGCUGGAACUUUUGUAAAUGAAGCUUUUGAAGAUAGAGCUACGUAAAUGAAGCUUUUGAAGCUGAUUGACAUGAGUGAUGCUCAUGAAUGUUUAUGUUGAUUAACAUGAGUGAUGCUCAUGGAUGUUGUCAUGAGUGAUGCUCAUGAAUGUUAACAUGAGUGAUGCUCAUGAAUGUUUAUGUAUGAAUGACAUGAGUAAUGCUCAUGUAUAAUUUGGAGUACUGGGCGUACUUUUGAUCACCUGGUUGGUGGCAUGAAUGAGAGUACGGGUUGUACAUUUCAUCACCUGGUUGGUGGCAUGAAUGGCUAGUUGCCAAAUGAUAUUAGAGUACGGGUUGUACAUUUCAUUACCUAGUUGGUGGCAUGAAUGGCUAGUUGCCAAAUGAUUUUAGAGUACGGGUUGUACUUUUCAUCACCUGGUUGGUGGUAAUAGCGACAGGUUGCCGAAUAAUUUUGGAGCAUUGGGCGUACUUUUGAUCACCUGGUUGGUGAUAAUAGAGGGCCUGACUUUUUUGGGUCUAUGGGCAUUCGCCACCACAUGACAUUGCAACCCAUUAUUUUGGGCUUGCGGUUUUUUUAUUUUUUAUUUUUUAUUUUUUAUUAUUAUUUUUUUAAGGUUACCCUCUGAUGGGGUUUAUACAGAUAUUUCCGAAAGAUAAGGAAAAUAAAUUUACACCAUUCAGAAACAAGAAAAGUAAAUCACAUCAUUCUGGUAGGAUGUUUAUUCCUUGCUUUUGCAAUGUCCCCAUGUGCCUCCCUUUUGGUUUCUCUUUAUUUCUGCCAUUCCAUUUAUGCUUUCCUUUUUUUGCUGCAUGGUCAUGUCCCCCACAGCACCAUUUUUUAGUGAAAAAGAAUUCCUGUGACUCAUAAUUGAUACCACCUCCAUCUAUAUCCCAGAGGUGUAGGUUAGGCCCAAACGUUUCCCCCUUUCUAUGUCCCCGAUAAAGUAGUCCCCCAUGUGCUUUCGAGGAGAGCCUCUCGUUUUCUUUUCUGUUGUCUGAAAUAUUCUUUUUUCUGCUGUCUGAAAUCUUCAAUCCCAUCUCAUAGCUUUCAAUGGACCGGUCCACCUGACCCAGCAUUGAACACGUGUCCCCGAGCUGCAUGUGUCCAGAGAACGCAGCGAGCGCGCCAUCCACCGCGUUUUGGAAAUCGGGGCGGGUUCGGAGUCGUCGAUAUCCUGGUCGUCGUCGAAGCCACGGGAGGAGUCGGCGACCUUUUCGGUCCUCGAUUUGAUGAAGAACUUGUUCACCGCCAGUUUGAUUAUCAGAGUGAAGCAUGAGUCGGGGAAACACGUCAUGUUGCAGACGGCUUUGAUGAUUGACUCAGCCGAGUUGGAGGGUGACUCGGUGGUGGACUCGUGGAUGCGGGCAGUCAGCAAGAUAACGUGGCAUUGCUCUCGAGUCAGCACUUGGAAUUGUGGAUGGGGGACUAUGAGAUCCCAAACGAGCUAAGAGAUAAAUCUUUCGAGACUUAUUUAUGACCUUUGUGGAUGCAGCAACGAGCUUAACUGGUAGAAUUGCCCUUCCCCAUUAAGCCAAAAAACAACAGGCUUGGAGUGAGGGUCCUCGGCAGCCUCGAUAAACCAGUAGGAGAAAGCUCUCCCAGAAUCUUCAUUGACAGGGACGUACCCAAAAGGUUGAAGCUCUGUCCCGGGAGCUCGGCAACUCUGUCCAGGUUCUACUGGGCGAUUGGAUCGGCGGGAGGAGCUGAAGAGAUCUACCGACGUCUAGGCCCACUUGUUGCACAAAAGAUCUGCCAGCGUCGGCGCCGUUUCGAGUAUGGGUUAUCUAUUUUAACCCGGGUAGCUCGUCCAGAUCCGAUUUGAGCGAUUCUAAAAGAAAGUAUGAGAGAAGCGGAUAAGCGAUUUGGUGCCAGAGAGUGUACAGGUCGAUGGAGGUGCUGGAGGGAGUGCAUAGGUCGAUGAAGGUGCUGGAGGUUGCAGUCGGAUUAGCUUCCAUUGAGAGAGACAGAGAGACUAUGAAUCUGCAAGAAGGAGUCUGCUUUUUUACGAGUUGGUGUUGGCAGUGGUGUUGACGAUGUUGUUUUGAUGAGUCGUUGGCGUUGUGGGAUCUAGAACGAGAGGAAGAGCUAUUGCAGGUAAUGCGGAGAGGUUUGAGCGCACGACACCAUUUUGAUGGUCUGAUGAACCCUAUUCGAACCGUGAAGACCACGCGGUGCAAAGAGGAAAAAGAAGGUGAUCUGUCAGCUGACAGAUGGCAGCUCAGCGAUCUGUCACGUGGAGUUGAGGUCCUGCUCCGAGCAUUAUUCCAAACCAAAAUAUCAACCUCUGAGAGAGAGAGGAGAAAGUGCUUCCUUGGUCAAGCUGUCGGCCCUUUCGAUUUGGAUUUAUGCGGUCCUCCCUCCUCUUCCUGUCUUUCACGUUCACGAGCUCGGCUCCAAGAACCUUUUUCGAUCAAAUUUCCUUCUGAAAGUAUUAUCUACUCCAGCAGAAAGAUAAGUUGCAGAGAGGGAUAGAGAUUUCUGGAAUCCAAUGUUGGAUGCUAUUGGAAGUAGUGCAGAAUGUGUGUGUCUCUGCUUGUGGGUGGUUUCUGCAGAUUUUCGGUAGAGGUUGUGGUGAGGUUUCACGGUGGAGGUAAAAAAAUGAAAGAAAACCGACAUAGUUUUUUGUGUCGAUUCCCACAGACGGCGCCAAAUGUUGAUGCACAAAACCGGAGGUCUUGGAACAACGUAAAUCCGACCGUGAAUCUACAAGUAAUGUAAAUAACACAAGAUGUAUCGUGGUGCACCCAAGGUUUGGGCUACGUCUACACUGAUUGUAUUUAUCUGAGAAGUGAGGGAGAGAGUGUGAGAGCUUUGCUCUAGUAGGAGAGACUUAAGGAAUGACCUCCAGAAAAUGGCCUCCCCUAAUUGUGAGGGUGAGGGGUCAUUUUAUAGAAUAAGGACUCCUCACUUAUUACAUAUUUGCCCCUUCCUUUAUCACAUAAUUACAUUGUCCCAUGAGUAUUUAUACGAGGUCUAAAUACGAGGCCCUAAAUAUGGUAUAAACAUAGUACAUCAAGUUUUUUUUCGUCUCAGACUCAUACUUAAAGUGUAAUUUUGGGACAGUCUCAUACAUUCGUUAGUCAAACUGUUAAGUCUCCCGUUAACUGUGAUGUGGCGCCCAUGUGGACAAUGACUGGGCGCCACGUGUCAUCCACGUGGAAAUUAAAAAUAAAUUAUUUAUAAAAUAAAUAAAUAACAUAUAUAUAUAAACCUUCAUCUUCCCUAGAUUUGGAGGAAGAAGAAGAAGAAGAAGGGGAAGGAAGAAGGAGGAAGGAUGAAGAAGGAGAAAGAAGAAGAAGAAAAAAAAAAGUUGCAGAUUCGGAGGAAGAAGAAGGAAGAAGAAGGAGGAAGAAGAAGAAAAGAAAAGAAAAGAAAAAAAAACCGAAUCUGCAACCCAGAUUCGGAGGAAGAAGAAGAAGAAGAGGAAGGAAGAAGGAGGAAAGAGAAGGAAGAAGGAGGAAGAAGAAAACAAAAAAAAAACUUCAUCUUCCCCAGAUUCGGAGGAAGAAGAAGAAGAAGGGGGAGGAAGAAGAAAGAGGAAGAAGAAGAAGAAGAAGAAAGGGGAGGAAGAAGAAGGAGGAAGAAGAAGAAUAAGAAAAAAAAAACCAAAUUUGCAACCCAGAUUCGGAGGAAGAAGAAGAAGAGGAGGAAGGAAGGAAGAAGGAGCAAGGAGGAAGGAGAAGGAAGAAGGAGGAAGAAGAAAAAAAAAACUUCAUCUUCCCCAAUUUCGGAGGAAGAAGAAGAAGGAGAAUGAAGAAGAAGGAAGAAGGAGAAGAAGAGGAAAGAAGGAGGAAGGAAGAAGGUGAAGGAAAAAAAAAAGGUUGCAGAUUCGGAGGAAGAAGAAGAAGAAUAAGAAUAAGAAGAAGAAGAAGAAGAAGAAGAAGGAAGAAGAAGUAAGAAGAAGAUAAAAAAAACUUUAUCUUCCCCAGAUUUGGAGGAAGAGGAAGAAGAAGAAGAAGAAGAAGAAGGAAGAAGGAGAAGAAUGGGAAGGAAGGAGGAAGGAAGAAGGAAAAUAAUGAGGAAGAAGAUAAGAAAAAAAAAGUUGCAGCUUCGGAGGAAGAAGAAGAAGAAGAAGAAGAAGAAGAAGAAAGAAGGAGGAAGAAGAAGAAAAAAACAAAAAAAACAAAACUAUGGAUGACACGUGGCGUCCAGUUAUUGUCCACAUUGGCGCCACUUCACAAUUAACAGCAAAUUUAAUAGUUUGACUAACGGAUGAAUGAGACUGUCCCAAAAUUUACACUUUAUGUAUGACUCUGAGACGAAAAAAACUUGAUGUACUAAAUGUUGAAAACCACGAAACAUGAGGGUAGUAAACAGUCUUUUACCCUAAUUAUUAAAACAUACUGUUAAAAUGACUAAAAUACCCCUGUAUUAUUUGGUGCAUUAUUUUGAGUUGCUUUUGAAAUUUUUUGAAUUGGGGGCAUUUUUAUUCAUAUUUUUGGUGAUGCUUGUGAUCCCAAAAUGAGUAGUUGGCUUUAUAUAUAAACAUACAUAUAUAUAUAUAUAUAUUUUUUUAAAAUGCUAAGGAGACUCUCUUGAAGUGGACUUUCUAUAGAUUCUCUGUCACAUAAUUUAACAUUAAUUUCCAUGACAACAUUAUAAAAUAUUGUGCAAAAAAAUGAGGUUACGGAGAAUUCAUAGGGAGUCCUAAACAUAAUAUGUUCCGUAGUGCACUUUAUAUGUACUUUUUCCUCAAUUAUUUGUUCUCUUUUAAGCUGUUAUGAUGCUAACCUUCCAUCUAUCAUGCCAUCCAUAUAUUUAUGCUUUUGGAUUGAAUCAUCUUUUCUUUUCUCUUCUCAAGUCAAUUUUCUAAUAGCUGUAUUUGCAAUGAGUUGACAUCUACAGGCUGAUCGGUUUAAGGAUAUAGAUGAGUUAAGGGUGUUGAUAUCAUACUAUUUAUUUCUAAUAAAGCAUUGUUUUCGGCUGACAAUAACGCUAGGAAGAUAUAUUUAAGCUGAUUGUGAUACCUAGUUGUAAGCUUACUUGUGGAAAUUAGGAUUCUCUCCUCUCCUCUUUUCAUCCCCUUUCGUUCUCUUCUCUCACAUUUUCAAUUUUUUCUUUCUCUUUCUAUAAAAAAAUUAAUAUAAGAUAUUAAUGUAGCUUAACCGUGACCAUUCAAAUGGGAGGAGAGGAAAAAAAAGAUGGAAGAGAAUCCUACUCGUACUUGUGGUGGCAUAACUUUAUUGUAAGUGAAUUAUCUUGUUUUAAACGUACGUAGUUUUGUAAUAUACUAUCAUAACCUCCGUGAUCUAGUGAUAGUUACCGGAAGGAAGUCAUGUCAUGUGUAUGUGAUGAAGGUAUAAAUAUUUGUUGCGAGUUCGAUAUUGGGUUUUGGCUAGCUUGUUUACUAAAUUAUUAAUUAGUUAUUAUGGAUUACUUACUUUUAAGGAAACACAUUAUUAGAGUCUUUUUUUUUAUCCAAUAAUAUAUUUAUAUUAAAGGAAAAUUAAUGAAAAGUUCAAAAAAACUUUAGUUUUAAUGAAAAAUGACAAAUAAAUGUGUAGUGAAUAGUAUUAGGAACAAGUAAAAAUAUGGUUUUUCAUUAAAAGUGAACAAUACCAGGAGUGUUUCAUUAAAACUCCUUUAUAUUAAUGGGUGGGGAUUUUGAGCUAGACCGUAAAGUGGGCAUGUCAUAAUACUUUGGCAUCGAACUCGUCAUCCACCGACGUUAAACCUAAACCUCCUUAUAUGUAGAGAAAAAAAAACUAUUUGACCAUAGACUACUAAAUGCAUUUUCAAAGUUUUAAAACACAGAGGGCUUAAAAUCUUACAAAAUGAUGUACAAUAUUCGUAUGCAUGACGUUUAACCAUCAUAUAUGCAUGGGUUUGGGAUGCAACGAAAGUAACAACCUUAAUUUUCAUGCAAAUAUAUUUUCCUUUGCGACGUACAUGUAUGCGCAAUUAUUACCAGAUGAAGCAAUUUUAGAACGACUUUUAGCCUGGAAAUUAUGGGAUUUAUAUUCUGAGGGCACAAGAAUAAUAUUGCUCUUUAUUUAAUAAAUUAAUUUUCUGGUGUUUGUAGUAUACUGUUUAAAGUCUAAAGAACACAGGCAACCACACUUUAGGGUCAGCAAGUGAUUGUUAAUCAAUCAGAAGAACAAUUAGAUUAUUAAGAUGAGAUAGAUAUAAAAUAUAUAUGCCAAAAAUAUAUCACCUCAUUUGGAAGCGUGGCUCUUCCUUUUGAGUGCAACUUUGCACCAAACAUAUACAUUUAAGUUUCUUCUUCUUCUUCUUUCUUCCAAAAAAAAACAUAUACAUUUAAGAAGAAUUAUGUUAAGGCUGAUAUAGAAGAAGCUGCUUGCAUCUCCUUUUCCCAUUAUUAUUGGAUGAAAUAUAUAUAUAUAUAUAGGACUUAAUUAUUGUUCAGGAGUGAUUUGAUACACAAUAAUAGUGUAGUAUUGAUUAGUAAUUACUUAACCAGCAAGACAGCAAGCAAGGAGUCUUAUAUGUCUGCAGGUACAUUACAUACCAACACGAUCCUCUCCGAAUCCUUUUGGUAAGGAUCUUGAAGAUUCGUGAAUCGUGUUCGUUCAUCGUACAUCAUGCAGUCAGUUUUAUAAUUGUUAUGAAAAACAUUUAAGCUUGAAGCCACUUACUUUUUUUCAUAAUUUUUCUGUCCUUAUUCUCUCCCAUCCCUAUUGUUAUCUUAGUCUUAUUGUUAAUUUCACUCCAUUUUAUUAUCCGUGUUAUUUACUCUCUAGUUGUAUCUUCACUUGGAUUAAAUAUCCUUGAAACAAAUUACGUAUGAGAGGAAUGUGUGACAGUGAUUUAAUUCGACGAAUGGGAAUAUUUAGAUUUAUAAUGUGAAUUCAGAUUUAGAAAUGAGAAUGUUUAUACAUUUCAUUGUAGCUAGUAAAAUAUGUUACUUCCACAUUUUAAUUUAUAGCUUUUGUUUGCAUGGCUCCUGCACUUAAGUUUUUUACUAUCAGUUUUUUAUACUUAUUAAUGUUGUGUUGGCAGAAGCUGCAAAGGAGGAAGAACCAAAAGAUAACGACGAAAUGGAUGGUUUCCAAACUGAUGAUGAUGAUGAAUAUGGGAUGGAUCUGACAAGGAAAUGGGACUUGAUGCCGAGGAUGGUGAUGAAGUUGAUAGCGUUGAACUUCAAAAGUUAGCUGCACAGGUGUGCCCUGUUUUCUUAUUAGAAUUUUUUUUAGAGAGAAUACUUGUUAUUCUAUGGUGGUCAUCUUUUAUGAUCUUUUUAGAGUAACGGUGAAGUUAAACAUGCUGUGUAGUGUUGUCACAUUAUCCUGGUUUGUGAUGCCUAAUAUUGACUGAACAAUUCACCUUUCUAACUCAUCCCAAAAUUUGAAUUUCAUUUCCCCUUUUUUUUUUAAGAUACUAAAAUUACAUCACAACAAGUUAGUCAGGCUUUCAGGUGAUUCUCGAUGCUUGAUGUUUGUUCAAGUUCAAUUUCUUUAAAUUAUUUUAGUUCUUGUGAGGUGUGCUGUGAAAGGCCAGCCUGGUGCUUGUCCAAGUACUAAGUCAAUAAAGAUGCCUAACAGUCCUAUAGGACCCUUAUGCAUGCAAUUUAAUGACACGCUUGGUCCCCUGCAUCCCUUGAGAGAUUGUCGCGAGUUUUUUUAUUUUCUGUUCAAUUGAUUGUAUUUUCUUUUACUGCAUGUUUUCACAUUAUUCUUUCCCGUGUUAUCUGUUGAAUAACUUUUAAAUUUAUGGCAUUUUUGACAUGUUUCCUUAUUUCCUCUGCGUUGCUCGUGAAGCCAUGCAAGCAUCAGAUCCGUUGAGAGUUCACAGCCUUAUGCAGACUCUGGACUUCCAGCAUCAGGCUCUUGCAAAUGGCGUUGCACAGCAUGCUGAACAGAGGAGAGCAGAGAUUGAAAAAGAGAAGAUGGAGAAGGCAGCAGCUGCCACAGCUUCAUGAUUUUGCUUCUCCCGUUGUGGCUUCAAUUUUGCCUUGCUCUUCUUUGCCUCUUCCAUCCAUGUAGUAACGGGAAUAUAGAGAAACAAAGUCGUUGACGGUCCAUUCAGAGUAUUUGGUUGCUUUGGUGGUCGCAGUUGUCGGUUAGUCUCAAGGACUUAUCAUUUUGAAGUACUUGGGGCGGUUGUCUGAUGAGUUCCAACAAUAUGCAAAAUUUUGGGGAACUCUGGAGCUGGUACGUCAAUUCUGGGUUUGGCUUUUAGUCAUUGUCCGGUGAGGCAGGCCAUUCUGUGGUAGGAUACGCCUUUCUCCACCGGUUUGUGUUGUCCUUUUCUUGUUUCUUCUUUUUACGUUCAGGAGUCUCCUGUGGUUUAGGCAUACCAUUUAUUCAGGUUGAGAUUCUCUUCUACAGAGUAUUGUUGAUUCGAAACCUUAUGCAAGAACUGUAACUUUGUCUUUAUUUUUGUUUGUUUAUUUGAUCACCAUAGUACCUACAUUGGUGAAUGCUUCAUGCAAUCGAGGCUGGAAACAUAUCGAAAAUUGAAAUUGUGUUUUAGACGUUACUUGCAUUGCUGCUUGAAUAUUGUGAGCGGGUUUGUAGAAGAAUCACUUUCAAUUGUGGGUUUUCAUAUUUAAUGCGUUGAAUCACAUCCGACGCAGACAUUGAAAAAGGAGCAAUUGAAUUCGUAGUAUAAGUAGAUCAAUUUAAGAAAAGAACAAGUUAAUUAGAAUAAUAAUAAUAAUAUGAAAGCAACACUCACCUAAUUGAAGACGUUGAAUGGUCUGUUAAAAGAAUGGAGAUGGGUUUAUGGUGGCAGGUGGACUCCUUUGUCAUAACUUUUUGGAGACUGGAUCAUUAAUUUUGCAAUUCAUGUGGGUGAUGGAGAAGUGCUUGAAGCAAAGCUACGUUGGACAUUGUUAGGAUGGUUAGGAAGCACAUCCUAAUUCCUAAGAUGGAUUACCAAUGCAUCUCAGAGUGGGUGUAUAUAAUUGGAAUUUUAAUGGAUUAUAAGAGUUUAAAAACAUAAGGUCUCAUGUUCGAUUCUCGUCAAAGACGAAUUUGAAUCAUAUUAUUGCUAGUACAUUGGAAGGCUUAGUCCACUCACUAUCUCUUAGUAUAGAUACUAUCGUUUGUUCACAAAAAAAAAAUUGUAUUCAAACAAAAUUUUAAAGGAGUUUAUAACGGCCAUUUGGUAACGUUUUAUAAAAGGACUUUUGAAGAACUGCUUUGUAAAACUAGCAACACACACAAAAUAUUGAUUUUUAUGGUUUGAGAAUCAUCUAGUUGUUUAAUUCGAGAAUGAUUUUUUUUAGAAUGAAAACAUUGUAAACUCAUCUGGUAUCAAUAUAUAAAAUGUUAAAAUAAAUAAUGUAAAUUCGUGUUUGGUAGUAAUUGUGGAGACAUAAUAACCACAUCCAGUAGAAGAUGGACAUGUGGACAAUAUGCUCAAUAUGUGCUCUUACCAACAAGGACCUUCAGAACUACUAGCUGGCAGGACUGUGGAUAUUGGCUUGCAUCAUUGAGGAUUGCCUAGUAUGCUCUGCAGUCUCCCCUCCUAGCUGCCUGUCACAUCCAGACCCAGGCUCCACCACAUCCCGGGCUCGACUCCGUCGUAGCACAAUAUUAUUUGCUUUCGGCCCCGACCACGCCUUCACGGCUUUAUUUCUGGAAACUCACACGAUAACUUCCCAUUAGAUUACCCAUCCUGGGAAUGCUCUCGUGCGAACCCGCUUAACUUCGGAGUUCCGUUGGAACCCGAAACCAGUGAGUUUCCAAAAGGCCUCGUGUUAGGUAGAGAUGAGAAUAUACAUAUAAGGCUUGCAGGAUCCAUUCCCCUAGGCGAUAUGGGAUGAUACAAUUCACCCCCCUUAGGGGUCUGACGUCCUCGUCUGCACACUUCCGACCAGGGAUUGGCUUUGAUACCAAAUUGUCUCAUCCCGACCUAGGCCCCCAUCACAUCCCGGACCCGACUCCGCCGUAGCACGAUAUUGUCCGCUUUGGGCCCCGACCAUGCCCUCACGGUUUUGUUUCUAGGAACUCAUACGAGAACUUCCCAGUGGGUUACCCAUCCUGGGAUUGGUCUUACAUGAACUCGCUUAACUUCAUAGUUCCGAUAGAACCCAAAACUAGUGAGUUCUCAAAAGGCCUUGUGCUAGGUAAAGAUGAAAAUAUACAUAUAAGGCUUACAGGAUCCAAUCCCUUGGGGGAUGUGGGAUGUUACACUGCUUGCUAGGAUUUUUCCCUAUAAAUAGGCAGGUCAAAUAGAGGAAACCGUAAUUGCCACUUACUAUUAAGAACUCUCUCAAGUUCUCUUUUCUAUCCACUACUUUUUGACUUAGGCAUGAGAUGCCCUUCGAUACACCCCCACUUAGAUACCCACGUGGACCUAAAAAUCAAGGCAUGCUAGCCAUCAUCUAGAGGGUUACGAAGCCAUAAUAUAUAAGUGAUGUGUAAAAGUACAGAUACAUUGAAACCAAAGUCUAACUAAAAGUGUGCACGGUAGGAUGAACCCUUAUUACAAAACAUGCAGUGUCAGAGCAGAGAUAAAGUGUAACACAAUUAAAGAAUAUUCUUAUUUGGAUAGGAUGCAUAUUUGUCAAAGUAACAUAAGAUAACUUUUUACAUAAUCGGAAGUAGAUGUCAGCAAGUACCAAUGAUCCUCAUCUACACCAGAAUACAACUAAUAAGUCCUAGAGGGCGCAAAACAGAAAAUAUGAGUGAGCAAAAAUAUAAAGAUUUUCUAAAACCUUUGUUUCUUCGAAUAUAGUAACCCCUCACACCCUAUCCACUAUUAUACUGAUCACAUGCUAGAUUUUGAUAUAGUGGACUUUUUAGUUAGUGUGGAUCGUUCGUGUUUAGCCUUUUAGGUGUUUUAACAGUUAUGUUGAGAUUCGUAUCUUGUACAUUUCUCUAAUUUAUUUUUGAAAUUGUUUUAAUGAAUAUCACUAUUUUUUUUAAACAAAUCCACAUGAGAAAAUUAAAUUUAAUAAGAGAAAUGCUAAGGAGACUCUCAAAGGAGAAAUUCUCUCCUUUCAAAGUGAGACUCUCCAUAGGCUUUCCAUCACCUCAUACUUUUGGCAAAAUGUUUUAUAAUGUUGGCACGAGAAUUGUGCCAAAAACACGAGGUGACGGAGAGUCAAAAGUGAAAGAGUCUCCUUAGCAUUUAUAAUUUGAACAUAUAACAUUUUCCAAUAAAGUAGAGAUUAAAUGGCAUUAUACCAAAUAAUUAUUGGCAAGUCCUUAGCGCAUCUCCAAUAGAGAUGUCAAAAGAUAAAUGUUAAAUGUUAAUUUGAUGGCUGAUGUGACAAUGUCAGAUUUUCUAUUUUUCUAACCGAUAUGUUUAUUUGUUAUAAAUGAUAUUUGUAGGAUCCAUUUUAAAAAGAAAUCAAUUAAAAUAAAUUUUUAAGAUCUAUAAUUUGUGCAUUAAUGGGUUCAAAACAAUAAAAUAAUUAAAAAUUAUUUGACAUCACAGUUUCUUAUAGUCAAAUUUGACAUAUGAAAACUCAUAUGUCAAUUCACAUGAUUGACAUAUCGGUUGGAGCAUGCUUUUAUCUUCAAAUUUGAUUACAUAGCAUUCAACUUAGGAUUUGACAUCUCCUUUGGAGAUGGUCUUAUAGAUUUUAAACUUAAGCACUCUUUUCUUAAGCAUUUCACAUCCUUCGUUUUUCUAAAAAAAAACUUAAUUUAAGAACGAGUAUCAUUUUUUUUAGAAGAGAUCCUCUCCGGAUCUCUUCCACCAAGGUCACCGGAUCAAGUGAUCCGGGCCUUUCAAAUUUCAUCCAACAACUAAAAAUUAUUAGACCUUUUAAGGGGUCAAAACAGGUGAACGGUUGGAUGAAAUUUGAAAGGGCCGAAUCACUUGAUCUGGUAACCUUGGUGAAAGAGAUCCGGAUAUGAUCUCUUCUCUUGUUUUUUUUUGAGAUCAAGGAGGGGGAUCUUUAAGAUUUCUGAACUCCACUUGAACAAUUAAUUAUACAUAAAUUCAAAUUUAAAUCUCUCUGUCAUUUUAAUCCAAGUAGCUUUGAGAAGUGUGUGGAUUCGACCCCAUGAUGAUUCUUUCCAAAACAUAAAAGUAAAGAGAGUUUUUUUUUUUUUGGAAAACAAGUAAAGAGAGUUUUGUCUAGUUGUUCAUCUGAUUUGAUUAUCUUGUCCCUUGGUUCCUUUUUAAGUUUUUCCAAGGCCCCAUAUACGUAUUUCAAUACAUAUAACAACCAUUCGACUUCUGACGCAUGUAUACCUCGAACCCUUUUGGCAUGGAAAUGACAUAGGAUAUAGUCCCAUAUAUUGCAUUAUUAGGUUAAGCAGAAUCACCAAACCAUAUUUAUAUGAACUUUUAAUAACCAUCGCUUCAAUCUUAAAGAGGGAUUGGAUUAGCCUAACAGAAUGUGUUUUGUAGUGGCACCUUAAUUAUACACUAGCCUUUAUGCACGCACUCACGUGCAUGCAGAAGACAUUUUUUGAAUCACGGCGUGUUACAUGAGACUUACACAUUUUAAAUGUAUUUAUAUGAGUGAAUUGACAAAAGAAAAGUCAAAUAUUUGAGGUAAAUGAAUAAUCUUAGAUUAUGCUUGAAAAAACCCCUCACAAACCAAUUAACGCAGCUGAAUUCACAUAAUAAAAUUGGUCUUUUAAUUUCCAUCUAUAUUCUAUUGAAUUUACAUUAAGAAUAGAGAAAAUAAUAUUUAAUAAACAAUUGAUUGAAUAACAUUAUUGGUAACUCAUUAUGAGGCUAUGCCCAUCUCCCUACCCCAUAGUGUAGAUAAUAUCGUUUGUUAAAAAUAAAAAACAAUCAUUUGACAACUAAUUUAAUCACAUUAUUAUGUGCGUGCGAAUUUUUUUUAUAUAAUCAGCAUUAAACGCCUCUUAAGAUGUUUUGAAUGUGUUUAAAAAUAGAGAAAAUAAUAUUUAAUGAACAACUGAUUUAAUCAUAAUAUUGCUAGCCUAUUGUGAGGUACUAAUUUUAAAAAAAAAUUGUACAAAAAGAAUUAAUUAUUAAAAAAUACUGUUAAAAUGACUAAAAUACCCCUGCAUUAUUUGGUGCAUUAUUUUGGGCUGCUUUUGAAUUUUUUUUGUUUUGGGGGCAUUUUUGUCCAAAACUUUUUGGUGAAGCUUGUGACCCCAAAAUUAUAAAGAUAUAUAUUUUUGAAAAAUGCUAAACAGACUCUCUCGAAGUGGGACUCUAUGGAUUCUCUGUCACACAAUUUAACAUUAAUUUCCGUGUUAACAUUAUAAAAUAUUUUGCAAAAAAAUGAGGUAACGGGGAAUCCGUAGGGAGUCCUAAACGGACAAGGAUUGUCUGCCCUCCUAUUUUGUGUGGUCACUGUUAAGCCAUGUUAACAUUUUAUAUUGUUUUUUUAUAGAGAUAAUAAGACAAAAAUGAAUAGUAAUACAAAAUGUUGACGUGGCUUAACUGUGACCACACAAACAGGAAGACACAAAAGGACACGGAAAGUGAGAGGGCAGAUAAUCCUUAUCCGUCCUAAACAUAAUAUGUUCCGUAGUGCACUUUAUAUAUACUUUUUCCUCAAUUAUUUGUUCUCUUUUAAGCUGUUAAUUGUGAUGCUACCCUUCCAUCUAUCAUGCCAUCCAUAUAUUUAUGCUUUUGGAUUGAAUCAUCUUUUCUUUUCUCUUCUCAAGUCAAUUUUCUAAUAGCUGUAUUUGCAAUGAGUUGACAUCUACUGACUGAUUGGUUUAAGGAUAUAGAUGAGUUCGGAUAAGGGUGUUGAUAUUAUACUAUUUAUUUCUAACAAAGCAUUGUUUUCGGCUGACAAUAACGCUCGAAAGAUAGAUUUAAGCUGAGUGUGAUGCCUAGUUGUAAGCUUACUUGUGGAGAUUAGGAUUCUCUAAUCUCCUCUUUUCAUCCCUUUUUAUUCAUUUCUUUCAUAUUUUUUAUUUUGUUUUUUUUUUCUAUAAAAAAUUAAUAUAAGAUGUUAAUGUAGCUUAACCGUGACCAUUCAAAUGGGAGGGAGGGAAGGGGAGGAAAAAAAAGAUGGGAGAUAAUCCUACUCCUACUUGUGGUGGCAUAACUUUAUUGUAAGUGAAUUAUCUUGUUUUAAACGUACGUAGUUUUGUAAAUAUACUAUCAUAACCUCCGUGAUCUAGUGAUAGUUACCGGAAGUCUCAAGUCAUGUCAUGUGUAUGUGAGGAAGGUAUAAAUAUUUGUUGCCAGUUCGGUAUUGAGUUUUGGCUAGCUUGUUUACUAGAUUAUUAAUUAGUUAUUAUGGAUUACUUACUUUUAAGGAAACACAUUAUUAGAGUCUUUUUUUUAAUCCAAUAAUAUAUUUAUAUUAAAGGAAAACUAAAGAAAAGUUCAAAAAAACUUUAAUUUUAAUGAAAAAUGACAAAUAAAGGUGUAGUAAAUAGUAACAGAGAAAGGUAAAAAUGUGAUUUUUUGUUAAAAGUGAAUAAUACCGAAAGUGUUUCGUUAAAACUCCCUUAUAUUAAUGGGUUGAGAUUUUGGGCUAGACCGUGAAGUGGGCAUGUCAUCAUACUUUAGCAUCGACACCGACGUUAAACCAAAACCUCCUUAUAUGUAGAGAAAAAUACUAUUUGACCAUAGACUACCUAAUACAUUUUCAAAGUUUUAAAACACAGAGGGCUUAAAAUCUUACAAAAUGAUGUACAAUAUUCGUAUGCAUGACGUUUAACCAUCAUAUAUGCAUGGGUUUGGGAUGCAACGAAAGUAACAACCUUAAUUUUUUACAUGCAAAUAUAUUUUCCUUUUCGACGUACAUGCAUGCACAAUUAUUACCAGAUGAAGCUAUUUUAGAACGACCUUUAGCCUGGAAAUGAUGGGAUUUAUAUUCUGAGGGCACAAGAAUAAUAUUGCUCUUUAUUUAAUAAAUUAAUUUUCUGGUGUUUGUAGUAUACUGUUUAAAGUCUUAAGAACACAGGCAACAACACUUUAUGGUCAGCAAGUGAUUGUUAAUCAAUCAGAAGAACAAUUAGAUUAUUAAGAUGAGAUAGAUAUAAAAUAUAUAUGCCAAAAAUAUAUCACCUCAUUUGGAAGGGUGGCUCUUCCUUUUGAGUGCAACUUUGCACCAAACAUAUAAAUUUAAGUUUCUUCUUCUUCUUUCUUCCAAAAAAAAAAAAAUAUCAUAUACGUUGAAGAAGAAUUAUGUUAAGGCUGAUAUAGAAGAAGCUGCUUGCAUCUCCUUUUCCCAUUAUUAUUGGAUGAAAUAUAUAUAUAUAUAUAUAUAUAUAUAUAUAUUUAUAGGACUUAAUUAUUGUUCAGGGGUGAUUUGAUACACAAUAAUAGUGUAGUAUUGAUCAGUAAUUACUUAACCAGCAAGACAGCAAGCAAGGAGUCUUAUAUGUCAGCAGGUACAUUACAUACCAACAGGAUCCUCUCCGGAUCCUUUUGGUGAGGAUCUUGAAGAUUCGUGAAUCGUACAUCGUGCGGUCAGUUUUUGUCAAGUACUGUUUAUGUUUAUUUUUAAAUAAAAAUAUUUAAAAUGAUUUCUGACUACACGAUAUAUGAUAAAUGGGCAUGAUUCACGGAUUCUCGAAAUCCUCACAAAGAGGAUCCGGCGAAGAUCCAGACUCCAUUACAUAUACCAAACAAUAAUCACAUCAGGCCUUGAUUUGAUAAAUUGAACUUUCGAGAAAGACUAAGGGGUGGUUUGGGAGUGAGGUGCUUAAAAAAAAAACACUUAUGAAAAAGCUGUGAGGGUUUUAGGUGUUGGGUAAACUGAAAAAAAAAAAAAAAGGCUUAUUUUGGAAGCUGCUGUGAGAAUAAGCUGAAAUCAAAGGAAAAAGCUGAAGCUGCUAUUUGCAGCUUUGGAAAACUGGUUUUUUUUCAAAGCACACGGAGCUACAGUGCUCCUUUAAUGAAAAAACCCACUAUCAGACUGCUUUUUUUUUUUCCAAAAGCACUUUUACAAAAAAGUUUACCAAAAACUCUGCUGAUUUAUUUCACAGCCGCUUAUUCUCAUAGCAGCUUUUUUUCAAAGCACAACAAUACUAAACCAGCCCUAAAUAGACUUUUUUUAAAAUACAAUUCUCUCAAAGUUGGGCUUUUUAUGAAUUUACUCUCAUUUUACAGUUUAACGUCAAUUUUCGUACUAAUCUUAUAAAACAUUAUGUAAAAAAUACGAGAUGACAGAAAGUAACAUUUCUCUUGAACUUGCCCUGUCUAAGCUCUGUCAUUUAGGAAAUUUAGCUGACGUAGUCACAUUUGAAGUCCUCGCCACGAGGCAAUUAUAUAGACUUCCAAGUAGGGAUGAUAAUUGGUCGAAGAGGUGAUAGGUAUGCCAUUUUUAGCUCUGCCUCUGGGAUUAUAAUUCUCUCCUCGCCUUUUUUCAUCCAUUUCUAUCUUUUCCUUUCAUAUUCUUUUAUUUUGUCUUCUUUUUGUUAUAAAAAAUUAAUAUAAGAUGUUGAAGUGGCUUGACCAUGACCGUUAAAAUAAGAGGGAAAGAAAAUUGAGGGGACAAAAUGGAAGAGAAUCCUACUCCCUGCCUCUGAGUAUAUAGGAGAAAUAGGGUUUUGUUAGAGAGUAUGUACGUAGAUUGACUUGUCAUUUGUCUCUCUUAUGAGAGCUUAAUUGAAAUCGUUCAAAAUUUUAAAAGUAACUUGAAAUUGAAUAUAGAUUAUAAAAGCACGUUUUGGUGCUCGAUUUGUUCUCCAUAAAGGAUGAGGAUUCUCUUCGAAUUCUUUUUGUGAGGAUUUUAGAUAUUUUUGUAUUCUAACUGUUCAUCAUAUAUCGUGCGAUCCGUUUUCGUUAGGUAUUAUUUAUGUUUAAUUUUAAAUAAUUUCUAACCACACGAUGUACGCUUAAUGGCUAAGAUGUGAAGAUUCUUAGGAUCCUCACAAUUUGGAUCCGGAUGGGAUCCAAUUCCUUCCAUAAAGCUCUUUCAAAUUAUGAUGAGUGUUUGGAUCUUUUUUGUGAGGAUCCUAGGAAUCUCAAAUAGUGUCCAUUCAUCGUACAUCAUGCGACUAGUUUCGUCAGGUGCUAUUCAUAUUUAAUUUUAAAUAAAAGUAUUUAAAAUAAUUUCUGAUCGCACGAUAUACGAUGAACGGACACAAUUUGAAGAUUUCCAAAUCCUCACAAAGAUAAUCCAAAAAGAAUCCUCAUUUAUGAUGAGCUUGUAAAAAACCAUAUAUCGUACAAAAGAGUCGCAAACAACUAUUUGUGACUGUAACACAACAUAUUAAAAUUUUGUAUUGUACAUGUACUUGUAUUUCAAGGAGCUAUUAUUGCCACUUUAUGCAAAAUCAUCAUAUAGUAAUCCUUGCUUGUAGAAAAAAAAAAGCAAAAAAGUGUAUGAUAACUAUAUUGGAAUGUUGCCAACAAUUUACCUAUUUGAAAUCUAAAUCUAAAAUCAUUGAACUUAUAAUACCGUGUAACCACAUACUUAGAGGAUAUUAUACUAUUCACACAUCCAUUUUACCUUUCAUGCACUCUUAUUAAUUUUUUGCCAUUGAUCUUCUUCAAUUCAUUUGAUCUGACGGCUAAAAAUUAAGAAGAGUGUGUGAGAAGUAAAUAAGUGUAGAUAGCACAACCCUACUUAAAAAUUACUGAGAAGGCCAACCUAGCAGAUGCUAAAGAUGAUCUUAUGGGUCUUAUAAUUUUAUUUUGGAAACUAAAAAAAGAAAAAGAAAAGAUGAAGAUAUACGUUCUCUGUAUUGAAGUUUGCCGCAUACAGAGUUUGACUGGCUUAGUGGAAAUUUCGCUUCCAAUUUGGGCAAAAAGUUUGGCUAGCUUUCCCAAUCAACUACAACAACAACAACAACAAAGCCUUUUCCCACUAAGUGGGGUCGGCUAUAUGAAUCCUAGAACGCCAUUGCGCUCGGUUUUGUGUCAUGUCCUCCGUUAGAUCCAAGUACUCUAAGUCUUUUCUUAGGGUCUCUUCCAAAGUUUUCCUAGGUCUUCCUCUACCCCUUCGGCCCCGAACCUCUGUUCCAUAGUCACAUCUUCGAACCGGAGCGUCAGUAGGCCUUCUUUGCACAUGUCCAAACCACCGUAACCGAUUUUCUCUCAUCUUUCCUUCAACUUCGGCUACUCCUACUUUACCUCGGAUAUCCUCAUUCACAAUCUUCUCAUUUCUCGUGUGCCCACACAUCCCACGAAGCAUCCUUAUCUCCGCUACACCCAUUUUGUGUACGUGUUGAUGCUUCACCGCCCAACAUUCUGUGCCAUACAACAUCGCUGGCCUUAUUGCCGUCCUAUAAAAUUUUCCCUUGAGCUUCAGUGACCUACGACGGUCACACAACACGCCGGAUGCACUCUUACACUUCAUCCAUCCAUCUUGUAUUCUAUGGUUGAGAUCUCCAUCUAAUUCUCCGUUCUCUUGCAAGAUAGAUCCUAGGUAGCGAAAACGGUCGCUUUUUGUGAUCGUCGCUAGAUUGCUCCGGUCAUUAGUGUGGAUAAGUAUAUAAAUGGAUAGAGAUAGGAAAGCAAACACCAAAUGUACGUGGUUCACCCAUAUUGGCUACGUUCACGAAAUAGAGGAGUUCUCAUUAAUUGUGAAGGGUUUACACAAGUACAUAGGUUCAAGCUCUCUUUUAGUGAGUACAAGUGAAUGAUUUAGUACAAAUGACAUUAGGAAAUAUUGUGGGGGAAUGAUCUCGUAAUCACGAAACUUCUAAGUUCCGGAGUGUGGUAUCGUCUUGACUUGCCUUAUCUGUCUCGUAGGUAGAUGUGGCAUCUUCUCUGGAAGUACUCUUCCUCCAUCCAGGGAUGGUAUCUUUAACUGGUAGAGAUGCACAAGGUAAUGUAUCAAUUUCACUUGAAGCUUACUUGUAGUUUCAGGCUUGGUCAAGCGCGAUACAAACCAUGUAGUAGGAGUCCUCCAAGUCGCCGAGCUAGGGGAUCUGCUGAAAGAGGUGACAACCAAGGUAAGCAAUCAGAGCUCCAAGCAAUUAGUCCCAGAUCAGAACUUUGAUUUCGAGUUCCGGCUGAUUGUUCACAUUCUCCCUAUCUUGCAGGCAGCAUGAAGGAUAAAGAGAAGAAAAAUGAGAAGAGAUGAUAUGGGAUACUUUUGCUUUUGAAGAAGUAACUUUCCACAGGCUUAUUCUUGAACUGGGCUGGAGGGUUUUCUGGUUUCCUCCAGAGUAUAAGGCCGACUGAAGAAUUUGAGGGUCAAAACAAGUCCAUCAAAUCUAUAGUACGUUCGACCCUGCUGAUAUGGGAUACUUUUGCUUUUGACAGAGUAGUGGAUGUAUCGGCACGUGUGCUGUUACGCUUGUCUCCACAUGCUUCCUUGUAUCCUUCUCACUUGCCCUAUCUGUUCCUCAGGCAGAUGCGGUAUCUUCCCUGGAAGCAUAAAAUGUUGAAGAUGAGUACUCGAGAGCAAUGCCAGGUAAGUAAUCAAGUAAGGGGUUCCAGGCAGUCAGUUCCUGACUGGAAGCUUGAUUCCAAGUGCUGACUGAUUGCUCUCUUUCUCCUUGUCUUGCAGGUAAGAACAAGGCCAAAGGAAAAGACAAGGAAAAAACAUGAUAUGGGAUACUCUUGCUUUUAACCCUGAUGAUAUGAGAUAUUCUUGCUCUAGUAUAGCUUGUUUGCAGAGGUAUUAUCGGGGGGAAAGAAAGCUGAAUAUUUCGAGUGCCCUCUCAGAUAUGAGGAAGGGUUGAGCAUUUUUGCAGGUCUGCCUGUCUGUUGGGGAUGGAGGUCGAACAUAUAUAGGAGUCUCCCUAACAACAAGUAGUAAUGCUAUUCCUUUACCCUGCUUGGUCAUAACACGGUAGUGGGAGCUGCCAGCUUCACAUAUUUUAACUCUGUCAGAGCACUUUGAAAAAGUGGUCUGUGGUAUCUGGAAAGCUGAUGUUGCGUGUAAAGAUUACAGACAAGCUUUAUCCAAGGAGAUCCGGCUCUUGAAGUUGAGGAAAGUGGUGCCUCUUCGGUUUUCGAACAAGCAAUCCUGUCGGAGAUCUGGCUCUCGAGAUUCGGAGAACGAUGCCUUUUUCGAUUUUUUGAGAAAGCAAUCCUGCUAGGGGUCUGGCUCUCGAGAUUCGGAGAGCGGUGUCUCUUCGAUUUUUGAGAAAGUAAUCAUGUUGGGAGUCUGGCUCUCGAGAUUCGGAGGGCGGUGCCUCUUCGAUUUUGGAGCAAGCAAUCUUGUUGGGAGUGUUUUCUCGAAUGUGAGUAAAAGGUUGGGCAUGUUUGCUAGUCUACCUUGCCACGAAGCACAGAGGUUGACACACAGGGACUUUCCAAUUAUCCAGCAGUGGUACUGUUCCUUUACCCUUGUGGGUAAUAAUAUGGUAGCUAGACCUUCAAAAUUUAUGUGUCUAAACUUUGUUAGUGCUGUUUCUUUGCUAUUCUUUUACCCUUCUUAGUCAGAGCGAUGUAGUGGGAGCUGCAAGCUUCACGUGUCUCAACUUUGUCAGAGAACUUUGGCAAAGUUAUCUGUGGUACCCAUGAGCUAAUGUUGCGUGUGGGAAGUGGGUGAUUGAACAGUAAGAUUCAUGUGCUUUCUACUUUACCAGAAAUCUUUGACAUAAUGCCUAUAAUUUUCGCAAAGCUGACAGGUGCUGACAAGGCUGGAAAAGUAGGUGCCUCUUCGAUUUCUGAGAUCGGCCCUCGUGGUCUCUGAGCAGCCCAGCUUUUGAGAAAGCAAGCGCCUCUUCGAUUUCUGAGAUCGGCCUUCGUGGUCUUUGAGCAGCCCAACUUUUGAGAAAGCAAACGUCUCGUGGUCUCUGAGCAGCCCAGCUUUUGAGAAAGCAAACGCCUCUUCGAUUUCUGAAAGCUCCGUCGAGUGCAGAUUUUUAUAGAGGCUGGCAUUAAGUUCCAAAGCACACUUGAAUCUCCACCAGUAGAAGCUCCAUUCUUGCACUUCUAAGAUCUUGAUUUGUCCGACCUCUUCUCUCUUCAACACCUUUGAAAAUGUCUGGCCCCUCCGACCGUCGUUUUGACUUGAACCUUGUUGAAGAGGCAGCCACGCCUUCUCCAGACAACAUAUGGCGCCCAUCCUUCGUCUCCCCUACUGGUCCUCUUACCGUUGGGGAUUCCGUGAUGAAGAAUGAUAUGACCGCUGCGGUAGGUGGCCAGGAACCUUCUCACUCCCAAAGAUAACAGACUACUUUCCAAACGGUCUGAUGAGUGAGUUGGCUGUUAAGGAUUCUCUGGCUCUCAGUGUUCAGUGUGCAGGUUCUGUGUCUAAUAUGGCCCAACGCCUAUUUGCUCGAACCCGCCAAGUUGAAUCAUUGGCGGCUGAAGUGAGUGAUGAGUCUCAAACAGGAGAUUAGAGGGCUCAAGCAUGAGAAUAAACAGUUGCACCGGCUCGCACAUGACUAUGCUACAAACAUGAAGAGGAAGCUUGACCAGAUGAAGGAAUCUGAUGGUCAGGUUUUACUUGAUCAUCAGAGGUUUGUGGGUUUGUUCCAAAGGCAUUUAUUGCCUUCGUCUUCUGGGGCUGUACCGCGUAAUGAAGCUCCAAAUGAUCAACCUCUGCCUCCUCCUUCUAGGGUUCUGUCCAGUACUGAGGCUCCAAAUGAUCCCCCUCCAGUGCCUGCUCUUUCUGGGGCUCUACCGACUGCUGAGACUUCUCCUAAGCAACCUUUGUGAAGGCUCCCUCUUGUUUGUUUAUUUUGACUCAUGUAUAUGUACAUAUUUGUGAACUUAUCGGGGAUAUAAAUAAAUAAGCUUUCCUUCAUUUCAACGUAUUGUGUUAAAUACACUAAAGCCUUCUUCGCUAAGUUCUCUUGAAUUUUCUUUUGUUGAAGCUUGUAUGUUGAAGCUUUGUGAGUGGAGCAUGUAGGUUGAGGUAGUAUUCCCUUAAUUUCCCGAGUGAGGAAAACUUCUCGGUUGGAGACUUGGAAAAUCCAAGUCACUGAGUGGGAUCGGCUAUAUGAAUCUUUGAACGCCAUUGUGCUCGGUCCUGUGUCAUGUCCUCCGUUAGAUCCAAGUACUCUAAGUCUUUUCUUAGAGUCUCUUCCAAAGUUUUCCUAGGUCUUCCUCUACCCCUUCGGCCCUGAACCUCUGUCCCAUAGUCGCAUCUUCUAAUCGGAGCGUCAGUAGGCCUUCUUUGCACAUGUCCAAACCACCGUAACCGAUUUUCUCUCAUCUUUCCUUCAAUUUCGGCUACUCCUACUUUACCCCGGAUAUCCUCAUUCCUAAUCUUAUCCUUUCUUGUGUGCCCACACAUCCAACGAAGCAUCCUCAUCUCCGCUACACCCCAUUUUGUGUACGUGUUGAUGCUUCACCGCCCAACAUUCUGUGCCAUACAGCAUCGCCGGCCUUAUUGCCGUCCUAUAAAAUUUUCCCUUGAGCUUCAGUGGCAUACGGCGGUCACACACAACACGCCGGAUGCACUCUUCCACUUCAUCCAUCCAGCUUGUAUUCUAUGGUUGAGAUCUCCAUCUAAUUCUCCGUUCUUUUUGCAAGAUAGAUCCUAGGUAACGAAAACGAUCGCUCUUUGGUAUUUCUUGAUCUCCGAUCCUCACCCCUAACUCGUUUUGGCCUCCAUUUGCACUGAACUUGCACUCCAUAUAUUCUGUCUUUGAUCGGCUUAGGCGAAGACCUUUAGAUUCCAACACUUCUCUCCAAAGGUUAAGCUUUGCAUUUACCCCUUCCUGAGUUUCAUCUAUCAACACUAUAUCGUCUGCGAAAAGCAUACACCAAGGAAUAUCAUCUUGAAUAUGUCCUGUUAACUCAUCCAUUACCAACGCAAAAAGGUAAGGACUUAAGGAUGAGCCUUGAUGUAAUCCUACAGUUAUGGGAAAGCUUUCGGUUUGUCCUUCAUGAGUUCUUACGGCAGUCUUUGCUCCUUCAUACAUAUCCUUUAUAGCUUGGAUAUAUGCUACUCGUACUCCUUUCUUCUCUAAAAUCCUCCAAAGAAUGUCUCUUGGGACCCUAUCAUACGCUUUUUCCAAAUCUAUAAAGACCAUGUGUAAAUCCUUUUUCCCAUCUCUAUAUCUUUCCAUCAAUCUUCGUAAGAGAUAGAUUGCCUCCAUGGUUGAGCGCCCUGGCAUGAACCCGAAUUGGUUGUCCGAAACCCGUGUCUCUUGCCUCAAUCUAUGCUCAAUGACUCUCUUCCAGAGCUUCAUUGUAUGACUCAUUAGCUUAAUACCCCUAUAGUUCAUGCAAUUUUGUACGUCGCCCUUAUUCUUGUAGAUAGGCACCAAAGUGCUCGUUCGCCACUCAUUUGGCAUCUUCUUCGUUUUCAAAAUCCUAUUGAAAAGGUCAGUGAGCCAUGUUAUACCUGUCUCUCCCAAAACUUUCCACACUUCGAUUGGUAUAUCGUCUGGGCCUACUGCUUUUCUAUGCUUCAUCUUCUUCAAAGCUACAACCAUUUCUUCCUUCCGGAUUCGACGAUAAAAAGAGUAGUUUCUACACUCUUCUGAGUUACUCAACUCCCCUAAAGAAGCACUCAUUUCAUGCCCUUCAUUGAAAAGAUUAUGAAAAUAACCUCUUCAUCUAUCUUUAACCGCGUUCUCUGUAGCAAGAACCUUUCUAUCCUCAUCCUUGAUGCACCUCACUUGGUUUAGGUCUCCUUGUCUUCUUUUCCCUUGCUCUAGCUAGUUUAUAUAGAUAUCCAACUCUCCUUCUUUGGUAUCUAGUCGCUUAUACAUAUCGUCAUAAGCCGCUAACUUAGCUUCUCUCACAGCUUUCUUCGCAUCUUGCUUCGCUUUUCUAUACCUUUCACCAUUUUCAUCGGUCUUAUUCUUGUAUAAGGCUUUACAACAUUCCUUCUUAGCCUUCACCUUUGUUUGUACCUCCUCAUUCCACCACCAAGAUUCCUUUUGGUGUGGGGCAAAGCCCUUGGACUCUCCUAAUACCUCUUUUGCUACUUUUCGGAUACAACUAGCCAUGGAAUCCCACAUUUGGCUAGCUUCCCCCUCUCUAUCCCACACACACUGGGUGAUUACUUUCUCUUUGAAAAUGACUUGUUUUCUUCUUCUUUUAGAUUCCACCAUCUAGUCCUUGGGCACUUCCAAGUCUUGUUCUUUUUUCUCACUCUUUUGAUAUGUACAUCCAUCACCAACAAGCGAUGUUGAUUAGCCACGCUCUCUCCUGGUAUAACUUUGCAAUCCUUACAAGUUAUACGAUCCCCUUUUCCUCAUUAGAAGAAAAUUUAUUUGUGUUUUUUUGACGACCCACUCUUGUAGGUGAUCACAUGUUCUUCUCUCUUCUUAAAGAAGGUGUUGGCUAAGAAGAGAUCAUAUGCCAUUGCAAAAUCCAAGAUAGCUUCCCCAUCCUCGUUUCUCUCCCCAAAACCAUGGCCACCAUGAAAACCUCCAUAGUUGUCCUGUCUCCCUGCCCACGUGUCCAUUUAAAUCUCCUCCUAUAAAAUAACUUCUCCGUCUGAGCAAUUCCUUGCACCAAGUCUCCAAGGUCUUCCCAAAAUUUCUCCUUCGAACUCAUAUCCAACCCUACUUGAGGUGCGUACGCAUUAAUCACAUUGAUAAGUUCUUGUCCUAUUACAAUCUUGAUUGCCAUGAUUCUAUCUCCUACCCUCUUGACAUCUACAACAUCUUGUGUCAAGGUCUUGUCCACGAUGAUGCCAACACCGUUUCUCGUUCUAUUUGUGCCCGAGUACCAAAGUUUAAACCCUGAGUUUUCUAGAUCCUUUGCCUUAAGACCAACCCACUUAGUUUCUUGUGCACAUAAUAUUUAUCCUUCUCCUCACCAUAACUUCCACUACUUCCAUAGAUUUUCCCGUUAAGGUUCCUAUAUUCCACGUUCCUAAACGCAUUCUACUCUCCUGAACUCUACCCUUCUGUCCUAGCUUUUUCAACCUCCCCCAUCCAAUGGAAUCAAAGUACUUCUUUUGUGUGUCCCGUGUAAAGUUGAUAGGUGCAUAUGCUCCCAAACAACUUUGAGUGGAGUCGUUCGAAAAGAAGUUUCUAUGGCCCCCUUGCUAAUUUAACACUGCAUCCGGGUGCCUAUAGAGAUACAGCGACCCUUGCUCACUUAUCACUGUGCUCGGGCCACACAGCGCGCCACUUACGGGUGACGCCCUAGCUUUAGCGCGAUUUCGUUCUGAAUUCAUUUUCAUAAGGAUUCGACGUAACUGUGGAGUGCCGGCUAUCGACUACCUGACGCCCUCCCCCUCCUCCUUUACUCGGGCUUGGGACCGGCAAUGUAAGAUAAACUUACAUAGGCGGAGUUCUUUCCCAAUCAACUAUGACCAAGAAAUAAGAGAUUCUAUUAUAUUAGGGCAUCUCGACUGGAAGAUGCAAAUUUGAGAUGUAAAAGAUAUACAUUUACAUCUCAUUUUACAUUUUUAGGAGAUGUAUAAUUUAGUUCUAGUCUAAUGAGAGAUAUGCAAAUUUGGAAUCCCUUUCUCUCUUUAACUACGGAGUUCACAUCCAAAAGAUGUUAAAAAUAUGUAAAUUUUCAUUUUAUUUACAUCUUCUGGCCAAUAUUGGUGUUUUAUACAUAUCUCCCAUUGGAAAUCAAAACAUAUAAACGUCCAUUUCAAAGCAUUUUGAACCUUUCAUUGGAGAUGCUCUUAUAUAUUAAUUAGAAAUCAAUAUUGUCAUAAGAAGAUUCUGCCAGUGCUAAAACCUUAAAGCAAGCGUUAAGAGGUGAAUUAUCUAUUUUGGUGUAACUAAUUUUUCUUCUGCAGCUUAAUCUGAUAUUAACGACAUAAUCGUACGUAGUGAUUAGCAUGUUGGAAUUUAUUAGGUUUAUUUAGGAAAUUAAUUAGAGAUUUGAUUUGAUUUUGUAGUAGGGUAUUUUUGGCAUUUACGCAUUAGGGUUUCUUAGGUUUAUUGCUCUAUAAAUAGAGCUUGUAAUUUAGUUUGAGAGUAAGUUAGUCACAAUGUAGCCUCUUAGGGUUUUGUAGCCAUUUCGGCAUUCUCGUUCGUUUAAUAAUAUUCUUUCUAUUUUGUUAGUCUUGUUCCUUGCGCACUCUGAUAUUCAACUUGGUAUCAGAGCAGGUUUGAUCAUUCGGGAUUUAAUCUGCCCUCGAUUCGUAUCAAUUUGUUCGUCCGUCUUGUUGGUUGUUUAGAUUGUCGUUGGUCUAGUUUGUUAAAAAAAAAAAAAAAAAAAAAGGGUUGAAUCUGCCAUCAGCUCCGCUGCGCCCAGUGGCGGAUCCACAGUGGGGUCAAUGGGGUCGCACGACCCCUUGGAAGCCAUGGAAACAACCUUAGAGACCCAUUGGAGCUGCUGGUGCGACCCCUUGGAGCUGCUGGUGCGACCCCUUGGAGCUGCUGGUGAGAUCCCUUGGCUGCACACCAAGUGUUCGACGAAAGGUCUGAAAGAACCAAGGAUGCUGUCAAGUUCAAGGUUCGGUGCUCCAAGUACCUUUACACACUUUGUGUGUUUGAUUCCGAGUAGGCCGACAAGUUGAAGCAAUCUCUUCCUCCAGGUUUGAACGUUCAGGACCUUUAAACAAGGAUUUUAAACCCGAGUACAAAAUUCUGCGGCCAAAGAAGGGCAGGAAACUAGAGGAAGAAGACCAAGAUGGCAGCAUAAUAUUCUUAUGCGUUUACACCAAGGUUUGCUGAAGUCGAAGAUGUCUCGAUGGUAGAUAGGAUCUGACGACAGAAAUCCAAACAAUAUGCUUAUUCAUGUGAACUGAUGAUGGUCGUAUAGCCACCAAUACAGUUCAUCAAUGUACAAUAAGAGGAGAAUAUUUGUUUGUAAACGUAACAGAGGGAGUCACCUAGUCGGUAAAUAUCUGAAACAUGUCCACGCCCAUAGCUUCUUCCUCCAGGUAUGAAAUGACGAUAUGCAUGCCGUUUCUGUUAAAAAAAAAUUACGCGCUGCGCGUGCUAUCCUUAUUGACCCCUCAAACAUUAUUUCCUGGAUCCGCCACUGGCUGCGCCUACCCCAUCUGGAUCUGCAUAACCAUCCACCCACCAUGUGCUUGAACCGCACCUGCACUUGAAGUCACUGCCAUGUCGCCGCUUGACCAUUGCACCAGACCAUCACCAUCCCGCUGCACCAUACUUGCACCGUGACAUCCCGCACCACCAGAUCGACCCAGCGAUCCAUAGUCGUCGUCCCCGCAUCGUACCUCACCACGAAUCUGCAUCUGUCUGCAACCUACCCGCACCGCUUGAAUUCGCACAUGCUCGAACCGCUGCAAUCAUUGCAACCAAGUCCAAUGAACAUGACCACUGUUGCACCACUACACCUGCAGGUUGAUGCGUUUUUGCGACCCUGUUCGAACCCGCCUGCAUCCGCAUUUGCACCCAAAUUUGUAGUCACCUCCCACUGCACUUUCUCCGCCUCACCUACCCUCUGCAAGCCUGCACAGACCUGAUCACUCGCACUGCAAUCUGCCCAGACAACCGCACCAUCUGCACCGUGAACCCAGAAGAAAAGGAUAAAAAAAAAAAGACUGAUGUUGGUGGUUCGCAUAGAAGAAAAAAAAAGAAAAAAAGGGGGAAAAAGAGAAAAAAAAAAUAUUUGGUUGGAUUUUUUUGUUUGUUUGUUCGGCAUUGGCAUCGAUAUUUGCACUGGCACUGGUAUUGGAAUCUUGCACUGGCACUGGCAUUGGAAUCUUGCACUGGCACUGGCAUUGAAAUCUUGCACUUGCACCGAUGGAAUUUCGUAUUGAAAUUGGCAUCGGAAGUUAGCAUAACAAAGCUUGCAUCCACAUCGUCUGUUGGCAAACUCAUGUCGUAUACCGCCAUGAGUUUGACGGGGGGUGUUGGAAUUUAUUAGGUUUAUUUAGGAAAUUAAUUAGAGAUUUGAUUUGAUUUUGUAGUAAGGUAUUUUUUGGCAUUUACGCAUUAGGGUUUCUUAGGUUUAUUGCUCUAUAAAUAGAGCUUGUAAUUUAGUUUAAGAGUAAGUUAGUCACAAUGUAGCCUCUUAGGGUUUUGUAGCCGUUUCGGCAUUCUCGUUCGUUUAAUAAUAUUCUUUCUAUUUUGUUAGUCUUGUUCGUUGCGCACUCUGAUAUUCAAGGUAGCUAGCUAGCAGCCUGUGCCAACCUGCUUAAUUAGAAUACAAAUCUGCUUAAUCUGGUUAUGGUUAUAUAAUAAUGAUUAGAGAAAAAAAAUGCAUGCAAGUUUUAGUUCCUUAGAGCAACUCCAUUGUGGUGGAUUGCUCGGGGGACAAGUGAGAGAAAAGGGCCCGAGGCCCUGUGGAUUCGCUCCAGCGUGAAGGAGCCUGAGUGGAGGUGGAGGCUCGAGCUCCGGGCCUGUGAAGAGUUGUCAACCCACAAGUUCGAGUGGAUUGGCUGUUAGGGCUGACGUCAGCCCUGCAACAGGCCUUUUUUUUAUUUUUUUCUGUCAGGCGCUAGCACCCCACUCGUGCGUGGGGGCGCGUCGCCCGACAACUUUUCAGAUUGAAAUGUUACCUUUGGGAAGCCACAUGGCUUCUCACAGUCCGUUUGAUCUCAACGGCUAUUUAACUUGGAUAGUUCGAUCUCAACGGUAAAAAAAUUAAAAAAAAUCUUAUUUAAUAUCAACCGUUCGAUCUGAGAUCAACGGUCAAUAUUAAUAUGCUUUAUAAAUAAAUUUAAAAAAAAAAAGAAAAAAUAGUUUUAAAAUUAAGAAAAGUUACCGUUUUGACAUGUGGCACAAUCUGGAGUGUUGAAAUUCAAUUUUUUUUAAAUCUAACGGCAGAGAUUAAUUAUUUGAAUAAAAAAUUAAAAAAAUUGUAAAAAAUCCGAAAAAAUAUCUGAAAAUUUUUUAAAAAAAUGUUUCUACUUUUCUAUAAAUACCUUCUCAUUAUCAUCUACCUUACACCACAAUUUCAUAUUUUCUCAACUACUUUCAAUCACAUUCCUAUCUUUCUCUCAAAGUUUCAAUCCAAUUUUUUUCAACAAAAUGAUGCAAGUAUGAAUUGGACGCUUCUUGAAGAUGUUGCAUUGUGUACUAGCUGGGUUGAAAUUACUCAUAGUUCGCGUACGGGUAAUGAGAUGUAGUUGCGAGAAAUGUAGUCUUAUUCGUACCAAUUAUCUUGAAAAAAUGGGUGGGAGUAGAACCAAAGAAUCGAUGUCUAGUCGUUGGAAAUUACUUAACCAAUCAUUUAGUAUUUGGAGAGACGCCUUGGCACAAGCUAAUACUAAUCUUCGAAGUGGGGAAAAUUACACGGAUCAGGUAACAAUAUAUUAUUUGUUUGUUUGUACUAUACCCAAAUUUGCAUUGUAAUUAUUUGUUUGUAUUAUUUAUUUGUUACCUACUUUAAUUAUAAUUAUUUGUUUGUAUUAUUUAUUUGUUACAUACUUUGAUUAUAAUUUUUUGUUUGUAUUAUUUAUUUGUUACAUACUUUGAUUAUAAUAUUUUGUUUGUAUUUUUUAUUUGUUACCUACUUUAAUUAUAAUUAUUUGUUUGUAUUAUUUAUUUGUUACCAACUUUGAUUAUAAUUAUUUAAUCUCCCCCAUUGUGUAGCUAAUUCAAGCACAAGCUUGGUAUGGUGCCAAAACCAAAAGCAAAAAUAAAUCAUUCAACCGGUGGGAAUGUUGGAAUAUUGUCAAAGAUUGUCCUAAAUUCAGAGUUGUGCCUGUCGGUCCAGAAGUUGUCAUGAACAGCACUCCUCUACACUCUACACCUAAUAAUGGCUCGCAUGAAGAUGAUGGAGAAGAAGUGCCUGAAACGCCCAUCCCUGAACAAGCGUUGGGUUCGACCCGUUAUCCAAUUAGGCCUCAAGGUAAGAAGGCUUCAAAGAGAAAAGGAAGUGCUUCCAAGCAUGAUUAUGCAAAGCACAUGGAAGAACUUACUCGUCAUAGUGAAUUGACUUUGGCGCGGGAAAUGGCGAAAUUUGAAGCUGAUAAGGUUAGAGAGGAGGCAAAAACUGCAGCUGUUGAGAGAGAAUUUCAAGCUAAUGAGAGAGAAAGAGAGCUACUUAGGCAAGAAAGAGAACUGGUUAGAGAAGAAAGAAUGGCUCAACGAGAUCGUGAGAUUAUGAACACACCUUUAGAAGGGAAGUCUUCAAAUUCUAAAUAUUUUUGGAAGUCGGAGAAAGAGGGUGUGGUGCGUAGGAGGCGUGCAAGAGAAGCGAGAGCAAGAGGAGAUGGUCCUAGCACGACAAGAGAAUAUCAUCCUAGCCCCACAAAUUGGUUAAGUGAUGAUGAUUAGAGUACUUUUUGUAAUCGGAGCCCAUAGUUUUCCAAUCAUCUUGGGUUGUAAUUUAUUAUUUAUUGAUUAGAGUAUUUUAUGUUGUUUCCAAUUUAUUGAAUUUAGUACUUUAUUUAAAGUGAAAGUAAAUUUAUUUAAUAUGGUAAUAUAUUUAUACUAUAAGAGAAUCUUUAUUCAAAUGACAUAAACACACCAAUAAAAAACUCACGAAAUGAACUAAAAUAAAACGCACCAAAUAAAAUUAUAUAAACACACCAAAUAAUAAAAAAACUCACUAAAAUAAAACACACCAAAUAAAAUUACAUAAAUACACCAAAUAAUAAAAAACACACUAAAUGAACUUAAUUAUCUUCAGCUUGUUUCAAUGCCCACUGGUGCUCUAUCAAGUCAUUUUGCCGGGCAUUGUGCAUGUCUGGCCUUUGAAAUGCAGUAUAUCGUUGAAUGACCCUUUCAUUGUAACGUCCUCAUGUUGCACGGGCUCAUUGGUGGCUUCAUGAGCACAAUAUAUACGUGUUCUUGAAUUGUUCAUCAUGUCUGGCUCAUAUUCAUCAACAGCUUUAUAAUCAUACUCAUCUUCCACAAUCAUGUUGUGAAGAAUGAUGCACGUCAUCAUGAUGGAUCGAAGUGACUCUACAUCAAACAAUCUGGUAACACCCCUGACGAUUGCCCAGCGAGCUUGGAGGAUACCGAAACAACGCUCCACAUCCUUCAUGCACCCCUCUUGACAUCUUGCAAAGUGUUUUUCCUUUGCACUUCGUGGACGUGGCACUGUUUUGACAAAUGUUGACCAUCUUGGGUAAAUGCUGUCAGCUAGGUAGUAUGGCCCGUCGUACAUACGUCCGUUGACCUCAUACGUGACUUUUGGUAUCGUUAAACACUGGGGAUUGGGUAAGGACGUUGAGGUCAUUUUGAGCUCCCGGAACCCCGAAAAAGGCAUGCCAAAUCCAUGUAUCAAAAGAUGCCACCGCCUCCAAUAUGAUACUUUUUGCUCAUUUUAUGUCUCCAUAAGCGCCUUGCCAUGCACUUGGACAGUUUUUCCACGUCCAAUGCAUACAAUCAAUGCUCCCAAUCAUCCUAGGAAAACCUUGCAUCUUGGCAUUCUUCAGAAGCCUUUCCAGGUUCAUGUGAGUAGGUUGCCGGAGGUACUCUGCGGUGUAGAUAGAUUCGAUUGCUCCGCAAAACCUUAUCAAGGACUGAAGAAUGGUUGAUUUCCCCAUCCUCGCUAUCUCAUCCACUUGGUCUGCAGAUGCUCCAUACGCAAGCAUCCGCAGCGCAGCAUUAAUUUUUUGCUUGGGAAGGAGACCCAUAGCACCAAAAGCAUCCUUUUUUUGCACAAAGUAAGAAUCAUGGUUGCAAACAACAAUCAUGAUUUUGUUAAACAAAUGUCGUUCCAUUCUAAAACGAUGUCUGAAGUACGUAUCAAGAAAUGCACUGUUAUGGACAAAAUAAUCGUCCAACAGCUCCACACCUCGUCGUUGCCUGUAUCUAUCAAGGUUUCCGGAAUGGGUGGGCCUGCAUAUCUGAGCCACAGCUUGGAUGACUCGAUGGGAAUGUGAGUCUCUGGCCAUUCUUGCUUCGUCAUCUCUCCUUCUCCGCUCCUCAUCCUCUUCCUUCUCAUUUUGGGCUAUAUGGAGAUUCAACACUCCUUCAAAUUGGUUAAACAAUUCUUCCUCUUCUUGAUUGAUUUCCCACAUCAUGCUUGAAGAAGAAGACAUUGUAAGUAGAAACUAUGAAUAAUGAUACAGAUUUUGAUUUGGUGAAGAAGGAAGCAGAAACUAUGAAUAAUGAUAGAAAUAUUGAGAAAAUUGGUGUGAGAUUGAAAAGGAUGGAUGAUGGAUUAUAUGGAGGAUUCUGAAAUGAUUAGGUUGUAGAUAGUGCCAUGUGGCAUGCCGUCAUUCGUUAAAAAUCUAAUCGAAAUAUAUCCUAAAAGAUUCUGAAAAGAUAACGACACAUGGCAAGACGGCAUUGGAUAAAAAUCUUAUCGAAAUCCAUCACCAAUAAUUAUCUUUUCGGAUAAUGACACGUUGCACAACGAGAACGAUUUAAAAUUUGAUCAAAAUCUAUCCUGAAAGAUUCUGAAAAGAUAACGACACGUGGCACGAUGACAUUGGAUAAAAAUCUUAUCGAAAUUUAUGACCAAUAAUAGUCGUUUUGGGUAAAUGACACGUGGCGCAACGAGAACAAUUUAUAAUAUCUUAUCCGAAAUUACAAAUAAAUUUAUUUACUAUUAUUUUGUAAAAAAAAAUUAAUACUAUUUUAUUGCCUAUUGUCAGGGCUAUUCAAGUGUAACGGUGGAGAUGCAAAAGGCAAUUAUUAUUCAUUAAGGGCAAUUAUUGUUCACAGGAUGGAUUGAAUAGUGGAUUGUCUAGGGGGAGGGCUCCUACGGUGGAGUUGCUCUUAGUUCCUUAGUUCGUAACAAACUGAUCAAGUACUAGUGACAAAUUAAUACGCAAAUUAUAUUAAUUAACUUCAUUGUUCACUAAAUUUUUUUCCAUUAUUUGGUUACAUGCAUGAAUUAAGUUGGUAUGUAUAUAUGUGUAGGGACCCAAAUACAAGAUAGCGUUGCUUCUAAACAAUACAUUAGGAAUUAGUGAUCAAUAAUGGUCACAAUAAUCACAUCUAGAGUAUACCAAAGUCACCUUUAUUUUUGUUGAAGAAUGCAAUUUCAAAUAAAAAACUUGAAUAAACUACUACAACGUAAAUGGUUUCACUGUUCAUUGUACUGAGGCAUUUUUGUGAUAAAACUCAACAUCAAUCGAACUAUACAAUUAGUUAAGUUGGGACAAUAUUUGAUUGUAUUGUAGUGUGCUAGGGUGCACAGGUAAUUAAGUUGAAACAAAAUUUAUUUACUUAGUAGUCAGCCUCUAACCGAACACUGAAAUGAAAGCUUUUAUGUAUUCCCUAACAAGUCAUAAGGUGACAUGAAACUAAAGGCCCUAUUGUGUAUAUAUAAGUAACCAAGCUAAGUGCUCACAUACGUACAACUCUCUCUAGAUUCUCUAAUCUGUGUCCGUCUCUCUCAUUUAAGCAUGUUCACAAUACUGAGUUCCUCCAAUAAUAUUGGAGAAGACAGAAGCAAAACACACACUUUCUUUCUAACCAUGUUCUUGAUCAUACAAAUCUUGCUGCCAUCAGCAGAAGCUAAUCAGGCUUCUUCACCAUCCCUUUUCUCCAAAUUCUCCAGAGCAGGACCAUCCAAAGAAGCCAACAAUAUUGUAUCUUUUUGCAAACAUACCCCUCACCAAGCAGCUUGUGAAUCCAUUUUCAUCUCCAAAACAAGUAAUAUUACUACAAUUACUAAACCACCCCCUCAAACCCUUGAAGGCCUCCUUGUCCACUCAGUCGACUUCAGCAUUAUAAAGGCUCGUUUGGCUCGCGCUCUUGCCUAUAAUCUUACCAUUUCCCAUUUUCAAACCUCUCAUCAAACACACUCGCUUGGUGGCAUCAAUGACUGCCUCGAGCUGCUCGAGGACAGUAUCGAUUUACUUGAUAAUGUCAUACUCAAAUACGACAGUACCAAAAGCGCCUAUGGCCAUACUGACGACGAUAUCCAAAGCUGGCUCAGUGCUGCUCUUACCAAUCAAGAAACUUGUCUAGACAGCCUUAAGAGUGAUAAGUCAAUGGUAGACAAGGGCGCUAUGGAGACUUCAGCUAAAAAUAUGAACCAAUUCAUAAGUAACUCUCUGUCACUUUUCAUGCUCACUAGUAGGUCACCAAAGCAGGCCCAAAACAAAAACCCUAGUAACAUUGUCGGUGGCCGGAGGCUGUUGUCGGAUGAUUUUCCGAGUUGGGUGUCCGGCGCUGAAAGAAAGCUUCUAGAAGCUUCUGUGGGUGACUUAGAAGCACAUGCUGUGGUGGCUUUGGAUGGGAGUGGUACGCACAAGAGUAUCGGUGAAGCACUUGGGUUGGUGGCCUCAUUGGCUGAGAGUGGAGGAGGUGGCAGGUCUGUAAUUCAUGUAAAAGCUGGAACUUAUCAUGAAUAUAUUAAAAUACCAACGAAGCAGAAGAACGUUAUGUUAAUUGGUGAUGGUUUGGGGACGACGAUUAUCGUGGGCGAUAGGAACUCUGAUGAUGGUUGGACCACUUUCGAGUCUGCUACAGUUGGUAAGAACAUAUCAAACUUCCCUCUUUUUUAGGUUUUUUUUUUCUAAUUAAUAAGAGAAUUCCCUCUUCUUUUAUUUAUUUAUUUAAAAUAUAUGGCUUUUUUAUUUUGUCAAUUUAUAAAAUAUGUAAACUACCUGUUAACAAAAAAAACUUUUGUUAUAAAAAAUGAUGAGAAGACAAUUUAGUCCUAGAUCAAAAAAUAAAAUCAUAACAAAUGAUGUGUCGCACAAGUUCAAAACUUCUCCGUCUUUAAUUAUUGUAAUCUUUUUGAACCUCCUUAAUAAUAAUAUCUUCUGUAUAAAAAAAAUCAAAACUGUAAGAGAAAAACUAAUAUUUAAUAACUGGUGCUAUUGUCACUCACCAAAAUUAUUUACAAAACUCACCUUUAAAUGAAAAUUAUUAUGAUUUUAUACUCGUUGAAAGAUAAUAUUAAAAAUAAAAUUAUAAAGAAAAAAUUAUAGGGUUUGCUACCACUCAUCUUAUUAGAACUUUUCUUUGACAAAUCUGGUUAACCGGUCUCCCAUCAUUAAGAGGCCAACUUUGGGUUGUCUUGUUGUGUCCGUGAGGGAGCAAUGGUAGCAAUGGUAGCAAUGGUCUCGAUCGUAGCUCCCGCAUUACAGUGGGAGACCAAUCAACAUCAACGUUAAUUAGUCAGCUAAAUAUUACAUCUAAUCAUUCUCUUUAUCAUCAUUUAAAAAUUAUAUCUACAAAACAUCAUUCAAUCUGAUAUUAUUUAUUUAUCUCUAUGUGUCAAACUAAUAAACGAUUUUGAUAACAAGUAGCAUCGUUGUGAUGAACCGUCAAUUUGUUUGAUGCAUACGAACAUUUCCGAUUAUGAAAUCCAUACGUCAAAAAUACAUUAAUCAUAAAUGGAGGAUGAGUAGAUUCUCUAUGAAGUAAAAACAAGCAUUAUUAUCCAUAAAAAAAAUUAAAAAAAAAGACAAGAAAAUAUAAAAAGGGCAGUUCACAUGUCUAUACACUAACAUCAAAUAGAAAAGAAAUGAAAUCAUAAAAGGAAUGGUUGGUUCUACUAAAAUUCCUUAUUUUCUUGCUUUAGUCCACCACCUUCCUUCGAUAUCCAUUUCCCUGAAUUAUAAUGUUAGACGUGAUGCUCAUAAAGGAUGAUCAAGGUUUUAAUUUCGUGUUUCUUAUUUUGCUCGCAUGUACACCGCACACCCGCUUGGAAAUUCUCAACUUAUGGUUGUAAAGACCAACAUGAGAAAAAAGAGAUUCUUUCAUGCAUGAAUUAAACAUAAUUUUAUAAUUAUUCAUAACACAGAUGAUUAAACUCAUUAAUACAAUUUGAGACGAAAAAAUUACAUUUACAUUUUGGUAAAACAAAUUGUAAAUUUUUAUUUUUAUUUAUAUUUUACGACUAUGAUGAGUAUUUUACAUCCCCUUAAAAGUUGUACAUUGGAUAGCUGUUUAGGGCGAGGGAGAGAGAAAGUGGAGGAGUAAAACUAUAGUUACGUAUGGCUAAGUGAAGGAAAAAAAAAACAGCAAAAACUUGUUUGUGCAAAAUUAUUUUAGUGACUUUCUUUUUUAUUUUUUAAAAUUUUCUUCAGUUAUGUAUAAAAGGAUAUAGUAGUUCUUUUUUUUUUUUUUUUGACAAAAAGAGUUGGGAAGGAAAAUUUUCUCUUACUUAAUAAAAAUUGCAUGUCCUCAUGGCACAUAGUAACAUGCAAACAACCGUGUUUUCAGCUGCUAUGGGAGACGGCUUUAUAGCUCGUGACAUAACGUUUGAGAAUAAUGCCGGUCCAUCAAAGCACCAAGCGGUUGCCCUCCGAGUCGGCGCUGACAAGUCAGUGAUUUUCCGAUGCUCCAUUGUCGGCUACCAAGACACCCUCUACACUCACUCCAAGCGCCAGUUCUACAGAGACACCCAAAUCUACGGAACAGUUGAUUUCAUAUUUGGAAACUCAGCAGCAGUUUUCCAGAACUGCAACAUUUACGCAAGAAAACCCGCUUCAACCGGUCUCAAAAAUUUUGUCACAGCACAAGGUAGAACCAGCCCGGAUCAGAACACUGGAAUUUCGAUUCAUAACUGCAAAAUUUCAGCUGCUUCGGAUCUUGCUCCGGUGAAAUCCAAGUACGAGACGUAUCUUGGGAGGCCAUGGAAGCAGUAUUCAAGAACAGUUAUCAUGCAGUCUUACUUGGAUGACUCAAUCAGUAGGGCUGGUUGGUCACCUUGGUCAGGUGGGUUUGCUUUAAACACAUUGUAUUAUGGUGAGUAUUCAAAUUAUGGGCCUGGGGCUUCAACUUCGGGUCGGGUCCGGUGGCCGGGAUAUCAUGCAUCACUUACACCGGUUGCUGCACAAGGCUUCACUGUUAGCGGUUUCAUCUCUGGGAACCUUUGGUUGCCUUCCACUGGGGUUUCUUUUGAUUCGGGACUUCAUUAAAUGAUCGUGAUAGCGGUUUUCAUACUCAGCUUAGCUUUUGACACUUCGGUUGUGACGUGAACGUACAAAGUAUAACAUACUCAAUUUAAAUGUGAGAAGCUAAACUAAGAGUGUCAAAAUUACUACCUUAUGAAGGCGUUGUGCAUUUGUAUAAAGUUGUAUUUUGUGUUUGGUUAGAUGUGAUAUGAAACCAAGGGGCUUAUGUGAUCGCAGGCCUAUUGUGGUUAUGUUGUGUGAUCUUAGUGUUUUGGGCUUUCGAUCCCCUUGAAACAAGCAAUAGUUGUGUUACUAUUCUCUAAGUUUAAAAAUCCAGUUGAAUAGAGUAGUGGUUUAUGUAACUUGUGUUGCUUUUGGUGAAUGCAAACGAUCUUCAUCGUAUAAAUUUUACAAUUAGAAUUGUUACAUAAUAGGAGUUUAAAUUAUGGGUGCAAAGAAAUAUCUCAAUAACUGAAACGACAAUUUCCUCAAUGUUGUGAAAUCUUUAGAUAAAUGUCUUAUAUUUUCGGUAUGAGUAAGUACAAAUAUAUGUGUGAUCCUCCACCAAUCACCAUUUGUCAAUCUUAAGCUAGAAUUUAUAAAUAAAUUAGUAGUGACUAGGGACCAAUAAUUCCAUAAACAAAACUACAAACAAUCCAAUAAACAAUUUGCAUAGUUGGUGAUGACGUAGUUUUUAAUACAAAAAAAUAAAUAAAAUCACAUAAGAAAAUUUAAACUUAUAGAUUUGAUUCUGCCGGCCUAUAUUAUCAAGGGAAGGGUAUCCUCACCGGACCCCUUUGUGGGAAUUCUAGAAAUCUCUACAUUCUAGCCGUUUAUCGUAUAUAGUCAGUUUUCGUCAGAUACUAUUAUGUUUAAUUUUAAAUAAAAAAAUCAAAUAAUUUCUGAUUAUAGGAUACACAACAAAUGACUAAGAUGUGAAGAUUCUUAAGAUCCGCACAAAAUAGAUCUGGGAUCCAGUUCCAUUAUAAAGGACAAUACUUGAGUCCCGAUUCAUCAGAACGUGGCACAGUAAAAGGGAGACAUGUGUCUUUUUAACUCUCCAAAGACCUAACCUUGCAUUCUUUGUUUUGAUAUCAACCAGAAAAAAAACUGAAAAACUUCCUGUAAAAUACAAAAAACUAAAAAUAAAGGGAAAAAAGGAGGAGGAAGGAAAGUAGGGAUGGAAAGCCAAGACCUAGAGCACAUUGUGACCACCUCAUACCAUUCAUGGCUCACGGCCAUCUCAUACCAUUCCUGCAACUGGCAAGAAAUCUCCAACAGAGAAAAAGCUUGAUCACUGUCACCAUCGCAAGCACCGCCCUCAACAUCCAAUACCUCCGCACCACGAUCGCCUCCAACUCAAGCUCUCAAUCUGACUCCAACAUCCGCUUGGCUGAGCUAUCAUUCUGUGGCACAGACCACGGCUUGCCCCCGAACGGCGAGAACACAGAGAACUUGCCUAUCAGCAAAAUAGGAAACCUAGUUGCUGCAUCAACGAGUCUUGAAGCUCCUGCUCGCCAUAUUAUCUCUCAUAUCAUCGAAAAAGAAGGCCGCCCACCGCCUUGUAUUAUCUCUGACAUGUACUUUGGAUGGGCUACUAAUCUUGCAAACAGCUUUGGAACUGCGCAUGUGACUUUCACCACAGGUGGUGCCUAUGGCACUGCAGCUUUGGUGUCUGUUUGGCUUAACCUCCCACACCGUUCUACAGCUUCGGAUGAGUUCCCGGUGCCGGGGUUUCCUGAGAGUUACCGCUUCCAUAUCUCUCAGCUGAAUCCAUACUUAAGAGCUGCAGAUGGUACUGACUUUGGGUCAAGAAUUUUUCAACCUCAGCUUUCGCUGUCUACGAAAUCCUUUGGUUGGUUGUGUAGUACUGUUGAGGAGAUUGAGCCAGUUGGAUUGAAGAUCUUGAGGAACUACUUGGGGCGUCCUGUAUGGUCCAUCGGACCUCUUCUUCCUUUAGAAGCACUCAACAACUCAUCUACUUUGGCCUUAAGUGUUUCAAGGCAACGCGCAGGAAAAGAGUUCGGCAUACCUCCUGAAGCAUGCCUCAAAUGGCUUGACUCACAAUGUUCGGAUUCGGUUGUUUACGUCUCAUUUGGUUCUCAAAACAGUAUAAGUUCAAACCAGAUGAUGGAAUUAGCUCUUGUGUUGGAAGAAAGUGGAAGGCCUUUUAUUUGGGUAACAAGGCCUCCGGUUGGAUAUGACAUGAAGGGUGGGUUCCGAGCAGAGUGGUUGCCCGAGGGGUUCGAAGAUCGAAUGAGUAGAGGAAAACAAGGGUUGGUGGUGCACAAUUGGGCACCCCAGUUGGAGAUACUGUCACACAAGUCGACGGGUGUGUUUGUUAGCCACUGCGGAUGGAAUUAAGUGAUGGAGAGCUUAAGCCAGGGGGUGCCAAUGAUAGGGUGGCCGUUGGCGUCCGAGCAGGCAUUUAACUCGAAGAUGUUGGCGGAGGAGAUGGGCGUGAGUGUCGAACUUACAAGGGGAUCACAGAGUGUUAUUGCUGGGAAGGAGGUGAAGAGACUGAUAGAUUUGGUAAUGGAGAAAAGUGGCAAAGGAGGAGAAAUGAGGAAAAAAGCUGGUGAUAUUGGGGAGCAGGUAAGAGCAGCAGGGAUCGUUUGUUUUGGAAAUGGAUGAUUUUCUUGGCACCAUUUUAGCAACUAGAAGAAAAAAUUAGCACAAAUAAGUUAUGUACUUCCUAAACCCUAAAGUGAAGGUUUCUUAGAGCAUGUUUACUUGAUAAAAAUAAAUGGGUAUAAAAAUUAUUUCACUUAUUCACACGUGGAAUCUGUGGACAAAAGUUACUCUAGGAAUAACGUGUUGAUCUUCCCCAAGAGCUCGCAGCGACGGAAAGGUUUGGCACCUCAAUGUCGGCUCUUCACCACUUGGGCAUGUAUUAUGUUUCAAGGGUUGGGCUAGAGCCACCACUUGGGCAUGUAUUAUGUUUCUAGGGUUGGGCUCUUUGCCCAUUAAAGCGGUACGUGAGCUGAUUUCAAAACAUCGUGAGAUAGUUUUGUCCUAUCCGGUGUGAUAUACGAGAACAAAACAAGAAUUUGCCAUAUACUGAUGAAACUUUGCAUUCAAAUUUAGUUGUCCAUAACUGAUAUACGAGAACAAAACGGUUCAUAUAUUGCAUAUAGCAACUUACACAGACGACGCAUUUUGACGGUGGAAAAGAACAGAUUUCAAAACCCAGAAAGUAAAUAACUUAAGUAUGGCAACAAAUCAAUCAACAGUUUACACACACUAGUACAAAAAACACUUUGCGCGACGCAGGUCCUUCGUCGCGCGCUAACCGUAGCGCCAAGGCAGUGACGGAAGGGUUUGCACGACGACGAAGAUACCUACGUCGCGCAAAGCCACUUUGCGCGACGCAGGCUUUGUCGUGCAAAGUCACUUUGCGCGACGUAGUCACAUGCGUUGCGUAAAGUGGAUUAGAUCACUUUUUGGUUUUGGUCAAUUUUUUUUUUUAAUUUUUAAUAAUAUUGUAAUUAAAUUCUACACGAUAAUUAAUUAACCAAAGAAAAGUAUUUAAUUAUAAAAUAUAUGAAAAUGUACAUACAAAAUGUCCAAACAAAAAAAAAUUGCAUGGAGUCUUCUAGGUGAAGUGGCUCGGAGGUCGAAGGUGGAGUAAGAUCAGGUACUGGUAGCGAGAUUUGGAUGUCGAUCAUCUGUAUGGUUCUUACAAGGUCUCUCACGUGCACAACACAAGCCUUCAGCUCCUCGCCCUGGGCCAUCAUCUGCUUGCCCUGGACCGCAAGCUUACCCUUUAGGGUUAUCACUUCCUCCUUCAACACAUCGACAUCUGCGGUGUUCGAACUGGAGCAGUAGAUGCUGAUAAUGCGGGAAGCUCAUUGGUCACACUCCGACGACGAGUGAUCAACUGCAACAUCUAUACACUUUUUGAACCAUAAAAUUAUAACAUUAGAAACUAAUCGUUUCUUGCAUUUGAAACUAAUCAAUUAGCAGCCAAAGUAAUAAGUAGGUUACCAACAUUCUUAAUUUCAAAACAAGAGGAACUACCUAUCCAUUUUCAUAGCCAACAAAAAAAAAGUGCAUCAAGUGAAACAAAAAAGAAUGGGUAAUCCAACACUAUUUUAUAAACAGUAAGCUCUAUUUUAUUUAAAAAACCUAUAGGGCGUGUUCGCUUGGGUUGGUUCUAGUUCAAGCCCUCAUUUUAACAAGGUCAAAAUAAGGAGACUAGGUGAGGCACUAGUCCCAUUUAGUGAGAUUGGUAAAUAGCACCCUGUUUGAUACAGCUUAGACUAACUCAUAAUAGCUCAAUUCGGCAAACUAAUGCGGUGUAGCAAACAUAGCCAUAAAGUCCAAGCGAAGCAAAUAGCCGGAAAUCUUUCUUCUUCUAGAAUCUCUCACGUUCAUUGGGCAUAACCACGUUGUACACACACACACACACACACACACACAUAUAUAUAUAAUAUAUAUCCCAAUAUGUAUGCUUUAUGAAGGCAAUUUAAGGUCCCAUGUAGGUCAAUUCAAUUAGGCAAAUAUGGAGUGUUCGUGUUCCAAACAAAUUUGGGCAUUCCAAAUUGCAGUGGCAAACAUUUUGCAAUCCAUCAUCCAACCAACUAAUCUUCCAAUUAUUUGCAUAUACAUACAUAUAUAUACACACACAUAUAUAUGCUUGGAAUAUGUAUUUAAUUAUUGCAGAGAAGCAAAACGGAGAAACGAGAAAAUUAAAGGGGAAAGGAAAAGGGGAGAAGAGAAAGAGAACUGAGCAAUCUUUCUUCUUCCCCUAAACAAAGGUUUCAGAAUGGUGCUGAUAAUGAUUUCUACAGCCUGCAACUAGUGAACGAUUGUGGCUGAAUGUAUAGAGAGAGUGUUCUCUUAAAAACAAUUCUAAGAAAUCAACUUCCACAUCUUUCAAUCAGUGCGAGCAUAUAGGAAAUGGAAAAGUUUCACAUGCCAAAACUGAAACCAAUGUCAUAACAAUGAAAUGAAAAGUUUCACAUGCCGAAACUGAAACACACGCAACACUGCUACAACUUAGAAAUUAAAAUGCCAAUUAUCUAAAGCUAGUCAAUUCUACUUCACAUGGCAUUGGACAAUAACACAGAUUUUUCCGACUAAUGACAAGUCCGCUUCUAAAUGUAAUUGGUUUUCUCAAAUCAUCUUAAACACAGAAUACUGAAUGUACAAUUACAGGGAUUGUCGUACCUAUGGACUCCUGCAGAUGGGUAAGAAUGACUUGCAGCAGGACGAGCUCUUUCAAAGGCCAAAUGAGGUGAAUGCAGCUGCCCUAUAGCUUCAGGCAACCUAUGUUGAAAUAAAAAUCAAUAAGUUUUUAAUAUAUAACGAAACCCAAAUGCGCAAUGGCUAUUCAAUGACAGGUGUUUAUGCAUAACUCAGGCACAUUCAUGCAUCAAUAAUAUAUCAUAACACUAUAUUCUUCUCUGAUGUGUCAUAAAUUAAACAUGUGCCACAAGAAUGUGAUCGCAUUGAGACAGAUACACAUGGAAAAAAACAUAAAACACUAAGUGAAACACAUAAUAAUGAAUUUAUAUGUUUAAUUUACAAGGGUUCUCUUUACCCAUGGACUCCUGCAGAAGGGUAAGGUUGACUCGCAGCAGGACGAACUCUUCCAAAGCCUAAAGGAAGAGAAUACACCUGCCCUGGAGCUUCAGGCCCCAUAUGUUCAAAUAAACCAAUAAGUUUUUAUCAAAGCCAAAUGCUCAAUGACCAUUCAAUCACAGGUUUUUAUGCGGGACUCAGCACACUAUACAUCGAUGCUAUAUCAUAGCACCAUAUUUUUCUAUGACAUGUACAUUAAACAUACACCAAAUAAUUUUGUGAUCGCAUUGGGACUAAUAACAAAGACAGAAAUCAUAUAACACCAAUUGAAACACUUUUAAGGAAUUUAAAAGUUUACAGUUCUUGCUGUUGUCAUUACCUUCGACAAUAAAUUUGAUUCUAGACGAACCCCUCAAUUCCAAAACCCUAGCUUGACCAGAAAGAAACCAAAUUUAGCACAAAUUAAAAAGAAAACCCCAAAAAAAUUAAAGACUGGGAAAACAAAAACACUAAUAAGAAACGUACUCAAAUGGAAUGCAAACUUGCCAAACUAGAGAUGCGAGCUUGUAUUUGCCAGAGAACUUGCACAGAUUGUUCAAUCUUGGUAAUAACUUCAGCAGAAUUGAAUCAAAGUCAUCGACAAAAUUGCAAAAACUUCAGCAAGAACACCUCCAUGUUCAUACACAAAACACACAUACAGAUCAACAAAAUUGCAAAAACUUUAAGCAAUCAACUCAAAUCACUUCACGGAAAAAGCAAUUUGACAAAAAACCAACAUGCAAUUUGAGCCUAAACCCUAAAUAACAAAAACCCAUCGAAGAUCAGAAACCCUCACCUUCAUUUUGGGACUUGAUUCGCGUCGGCUUCGAGAUUCGCGUGGCUGCCCGUCGUUUAGAACGAGAGGGAGAGAGACAACCGACAGAGUAGUGGUAGUGGUUGGAUUCGAGAUUGUGAAGAGGAAAGCUUGCGAACGAGAGGGAGAUAGAUGUCCACGGGAAAGAGAGAAUGAGAGAUGAGCGAGAGGGAAGAGAGAGGUCUAUACGGGAAAGAGGGAAGAGAGAGGUCAAUUAUACGGGAAAGAGGGAAAGCGGAGAGAGAAUUGAAAAAAAACCGCCUAUUUUUCACUAUUUUACCGCCAAAUUUAUCAUAACUUGCGUGACGUAGGUACACCUGCGUCGCAUCGUGCAAAGAUGUUUUGCGCGACGCAGGUGUACCUACGUCGCGCAAAGUGUUUAUUUUUUUAUUUUUUUAUUUUUUUAUUUUUUCCUUUUGCUUUUCUCUUGCCCUUUUGCUUAUGAGUACAAAAUAAAUAAAUUAAAAUCUACUUACUAAAUAUAUAUAUCAUUGAACUUGAUGGGAAAUGCAUUGUACGAAAUUAGUUACAACGAUUAAACCGUCAAACUUAUUUGUAUAUAUUUCGAGAUCACAUACGCCAAAAAUCGAAAAAAAAAAACAUUCAGAGAUCAAGUAACGGGACAAAACUUUUCGACGGUUAUAAACGAAAAAGCACGAUUUAACGGUAGUUUUAACUCCGAUUUUGAUGAUUUUUUAGAACUACACUCCUUGACCCUAUAUUAAUACAAUGAACUAAUUCGAUCUUCAAUUUAAAAUAUUUACACUAGUGGACACCACAAAAUCUUAUGUUAUACUUGAUGAAAAUAUAAAUAAACUCCAAGUGUUAGUGAAUGUAUCGUUUUAAUGGGAUAUGCAUUGUACGAAACUAGUUUCAACGAUCCAACCAUCAAACGUAUUUGUAUAUGUUUUGAGAUCACGUACGCCAAAAAUCGCAAAAAACAAACAUUCAAAGAUCAAGUAACGGGACAAAACUUUUCGACGGUUAUAAACGAAAAAGCACGAUUUAACGGUAGUUUUAACUCCGAUUUUGAUGAUUUUUUAGAACUACACUCCUUGACCCUAUAUGAAUACAAUGAACUAAUUCGAUCUUCAGUUUAAAAUAUUUACACUAGUGAACACCAUAAAAUCUUAUGUUAUACUUGAUGAAAAUAUAAAUAAACUCCAAAUGUUAGUGAAUGUAUCGUUUUAAUGGGAUACGCAUUGUACGAAACUAGUUUCAACGAUCCAACCGUCAAACGUGUUUGUAUAUGCUUUGAGAUCGCGUACGCCAAAAAUCGCAAAAAACAAACAUUCAAAAAUCAAGUAACGAGACAAAACUUUUCGACGGUUAUAAACGAAAAAGCACGAUUUAACAGUAGUUUUAACUCCGAUUUUGAUGAUUUUUUAGAACUACACUCCUUGACCCUAUAUGAAUACAAUGGACUAAUUCAAUCUUCAAUUUAAAAUAUUUACACUAGUGGACACCACAAAAUCUUAUGUUAUACUUGAUGAAAAUAUAAAUAAACUCCAAGUGUUAGUGAAUGUAUCGUUUUAAUGGGAUACGCAUUGUACGAAACUAGUUUCAACGAUCCAACCGUCAAACGUGUUUGUAUAUGCUUUAAGAUCGUGUACGCCAAAAAUCGCAAAAACAAACAUUCAAAUAUCAAGUAAUGGGACAAAACUUUUCGAUGGUUAUAAACGAAAAAGCACGAUUUAACGGUAGUUUUAACUCCGAUUUUGAUAAUUUUUUAGAGAUACACUCUUUAACCCUAUAUGAAUACAAUGAACUAAUUUGAUCUUCAAUUUAAAACAUUUACACAAGUAGAAACCACAAAAGAAAAAGGCAAUGCAAGAACCCCAAAAGAAAGCAAAAGGAAAAAAAAAAAAAACAAACAAACAACUUUGCGCGACGUAGGUACACCUGCAUCGUGCAAAGCUGUUUUUCUCCUCUUCUUAGCUUUUGUUUCUCUAAACCUAUCAAAAUCCUUCAUACUCCUAGUCAUUCAUUCUACUCAUUCAAUUGUUCAAAACCAAAACUCAACUUGUUAAAAAUAAGCUAGCAUUGACAAAGAUAAUUAAAGAAAAACAUAAAUACAUAAAAAUAAAAAAAUUCAAACAUAAAUGUAAUUAAUAAAUAGCUAAUUAAUAAAUCAAAUAAAUACAAUACCUGAAGGUGAAGAUGGUGAUGGUUGAGAGAGGUAGAGAGUCUGAAAGAGAGUGAAUGAGAGAGGUUGAGUGUGAAGAAAAAGGCCCCUAUGUGUGGUUAUUUAAGAAAAAAAAGUCGUUGACUUUGCGCGACGCCACCCACGUCGCGCAAAGUAUAUUUGCACAACGGAACUUUGCGCGACAAAGAUACUUUGUGCGACGCUUUGUGUGUAGCGUCACGCAAAGAUACUUUGCGCGACGAAAUUUGCUACGUCACGCAAACAUGUUUUUGUACUAGUGACAUUCUCACAGAUAUGCAUCUUCACGAGCAAGGUUCCAAGUAAUCCAUUAACAUCAAGCUUCGACGCCUUUUUAUUCAUACUUCACCUAGUAGAGAAGAUGGGUUCCGAUUUUCCGUCUGAAUUUCUAAGCUGAUGGAAGAAGAAGAUGGCUUUGAUAGGGCAUGCAACCUAACACGAUAUAGAUCUCAAGAAGAUGCAGUAACAGCAGGCUGGAUUGGGUUAAAUGCAACCUGCUCGGCACAAGUUAACACUUUAUGAGGCCCUGCCUCGUCUCGACCGACACCCAUAAGGUCCAGGUAGUACUGGUAAUGUGAAACGAUGUUGUUCAUGGCAUCAAUGUCACCCUUGCCACAAACUGAUUCCCCAUAAAGAAUAUUCAUUGUAGUGCCAAAUCCAGGAAACCGCUUACUCAAGGUAUCGUUCUUGGUAGGCUUCCAGUCUCCAACAAAUGCUUGGUGGGCCGAGGGUUGUGACUUCUUGAUAGGGGUCAUCCACCUCCAUACUGCAGCUUGGAAAGCAAGAGUAGCGUUCUGCUCAAUGUAUUCUGGAUGGUUCAACAGAUCCACCUUCAAAGCAUCUCCAGCAGCACCGUAAUUGUAGUUCCUAGAUGGUAGAACCAAUGUUAAAUUAGUAACAUUGUCUAUUCAAAGAACUCAAACUACAACCUCACGUAUCUUCUAGAACUUCAGAUGUCACGAGAUUUGAGGAAAAAACAUAAAUGUGACAAUAGCUAGACUAUGGAACAAACUGACAGACAACAACAAAGGCUUAUCCCACUAAGCGGCGUCUGCUGUAUGAAGACAAAUAUGUCUGACGACUCUGACCGCAAACAACUCCAUCUAGUUUCCGCCACAAGUAAAUUACUAGCUUGCAGUAUGUAUCAUCUAAUUUGUGAACUUGCUAAGAUGGCAUUAUACGAGUAGACCAACGAAUUAAUCUCAUCUAACGAUAGCUCGCUCUACUUUACAACACAACUGACAUCAUCUUUGGUUAAUUUAUUUGGUAAACGAAAGCUCGGACAAAUGAAUAUUAUGAAAGGAAAUCGACAUAAACCAAUGAUAAAAUAGAUGGAAUACAAACCAGUAGAUAGGCAAAGCACCACGGCCAUAGUAUUCAGCCCCAUGACUGCAGGGAUAUAUGUACUUGUAAUAGUCAUCACAGUAUGACUGCAUGGGACUCAUUUCCCUGUUGUAGCAAAGCCCCCAAGCGUAUGGUCCUCCGGUGGCCACACCGUAACCGCCUGGAACAAUCAUCCCCAUCGCCGUCAACAACCAUAGGAACACCGGUAUACAUAUGUGAAGUACAGCAAAAGCUUACUGUAUUUUAUAAGGGUUAAAAAUCUUUUUCGUCACCGUAUUUAUGGUCACUGCGUUUUCAAUUUAGCCAAUUCGGUCACCGUGUUUUACAAAAUUUGCAAUCGUCGUCGCUUCUCGUAACUUUAUGUUAAAAAGAAUUAUUAAUUUUUUCAUUUUUUGACUUAAAACACAGUGACCAAAUUAGCGAAAAUCGAAAACACUGCGACCAAAUUGGCAAAAUUGAAAACACAGUGACAAAAAAUUGUAUGAAAUCCAAGUUUUUUCCUUCAAAAUCGACGUUGUUCAUAAAGCCAAUUCACUAAAACUCAACAAAUCUCAAUCAAACAUUACUAAUUAUAAAAACAAGAGCUACCCAAAAUAGCAAUUCUAUGCACAAACAAGAGUGGUGACUUACAGGAGGUUUUGCUGCGGACAUGUCCAAGAAAGGCGGUGAUCUCCUUCAUCUGCAUAAGCUUCCCACCGGUGGUCCUAAACCCAAGAGGCUCGAAAAGCGCUGCGGCGGUGAUAAACGCCUGGUAAUCCCAAAACCCAACGGCAUGCGCCACCGGUAUGUUUCUCUUGGAGAACAGAUUCUCAAACUGGUAAGUCUGGAAGUAAUCAGAGAUGGUGAGAUUGCAACAGUACUUUGACCACCCUUUACACUCCCACCCUUUGUCGCACAACUUCUUCCCCCUCACAAUCUUCACUUUCACGACGGUGGACGAGUAAUCGCCAUCGUUGCUGGCACAAAGACAACACUCAGCGCCACCACCGCCACCAAUGCAGCAGCAGAGAUCUUCAUGGUUGGAUGCGGAAGAACAAAUUUGAUUACAUGAUAUUCAACUUAGGAUCAUCUCUUUCGAAGAUGGUCUUAUAGAUUUUAAACUUAAAGCACUCUUUUCUUAAGCAUUUGAAGUGGAGCAAAAAAUAAUCACAAGGCAACACGUGGAUUUUUGGUAAAAAUAACAAAGUUACUCCUAAGACAUACAAGUUGUACUAAUCGCUAGCAGUGGACAAUCAUUCUUUACUCAAGCUAAGAGUGUCCAAAAAAGAUAACCAAUUCCAAAUUAUUUCAUUCAUCCUCAUCUUAGGUAAUUACUUCAUAACUUAUAAAUUAUUCCAUAUAAAUAGAGAUUAAUUGGCCAAUUAAUGGAUUAAAUUCUAAUUAAUCCAUUAAUCACUAAUUAAAUCUAAUUAAUCCAUUAAUCACCAAUUAAAUCAUCUAUUUUCACACAAAAAACCUCUAAGGGCUGGCCACCUCCAUUCCCUAUAUAUAUGACCUUAUUUUUUCUAAAAAAGGAGGUCCACACUCUUGCAAAACUCCCAUAAACUCUCCAAACACUUUUCUCUCUAAAUUCUAACUUUGGCAUCGGAGGUUCUUCGGUCAAAACCCCCAUUCAUCGUGGGCACGUGAGGCAUUUGGUCUUGACUAAAGGUGUUGAUUGUUUUGUAGAUGCAAUUUUGUCAAAGAAGGAGAAGGCGAAAAUUUGCAUCCACAAAUUGGUACUUUCAUUGAGAGCUGAGAUCUACACUCAUAGAAGACUCUUGGCCUUGACCAAAGGUGUUGAUUGUUUCGUACGUUCUUAUUAUUAGAAUUUUUUAUUUGCAAAGAUUCUUUGAUAAAAUGCAAAAGAGAAAUACAAUAGUUAGAAAUUUAGAAAUUCCACAAGUGAAAAUUCCAAUAUUCAAGAAAUGGAACCGCGGCGAUCCACGAGACUAAAUGUGAUCUUAGGGGGAGCGGCACCGCCACCACAAGGCUCAACCAUGGCAACCCCCGCGGUGGCCACCACGACAAUCACCCAUGGCGAGGUCCAUGGCUCCACCACCACGGCCCGAGCCAUGUCACUUCAUGCCCAACGCGAGCCCAAUGCAUUGCCAGGCCAAGCCCAGGCCUCGCAUUCACGAGUAUCACUUGUUGAGCAGCCUACUCUAUCGGCUUAACUUGCUCUCGUGGCCCAACCUGCUCUAGCGGCCCAACCUGUUCUAGCGGCCCAGCCUGCCCUCGCGGCCCAGCCUGCUCCCACAGCCCAACCUGCUCCCGCAGCUCUGCCUGUUCCAAUGAUUUCCCAAGCAGCCUAAGUAGGCUCAAGAAUAUCUCGACCAUCCUGAGCAACCAUCGAGCCAAGGGCAUUUUUACCAUAUUUCUCCACAGAUUUGACAUUUCCCAACUCAAAUCUCAUGCCUGAAGUCUACCAUACUUCCACUGCUCAAUUAGGUAUAUUCCUUCCAAGCUCUUCAAAUCUAAAUAGAGAACAACACUUGUCUCGACAAGUCAUAGAGUUGACGAGCGCCCUUGCACAACAGAUGACCUUGGUGAAUCAACUUUUGCAACGCACCGAGAUCCAACGUGCCCCGGACGAGGUAUCCCGAGGUAAGAUAAAGGCAGAUGAACCUUUCCAGUAGCGUCUCGGCAAGCAGCCACUCGACCAGCCACGAGCCGAGCAUUCGGGCAGUGUACAUUCCCGAUUAGGCUUCCAAGAUAACGUAUAUUCCCGUCUUAUAGCGUGGAGGAGCGUGCCCAAGGAUAAGUAUACAUUCACGGUUGGGGCCACACUCUGAUAAUCAACAUGAGUAACCUUACAGGCAAAGCAUUCAUUUGCGGCUAGGCCAGCAAUGAGUAUCAUGCACAUCACAUCGGAGCAAGUAGCACAUUGGACGGAAAGAAACAGUCACUCAAUCCGGCUUAAGUUCAAACAGCAGCCUGUGAGUUACACACUCGCCUGCUAGGAAGAUACCACACCUACCGACGAACAUAUAAAAGAGCAGCUUAGACCAGCACAUCAUGAUCGGGGGCAACCGAGAGCUCUGCCACCCCAACAAAGGAAAAUUCAAGAAGAAGUAAAAAGGCUUAUGACCAAGCGAUUACGCAAUUUCUCGCACCAACCAAGCCUCAAAAAGGCACAAGAUGAAACACCUAAUGAUGGCGCAAUAAUUCAGGGAGCAGCUCACUGCACUUACACCCUUAUGUGGGUUCCACAAGCAGUUCGAAGUCUCAAGUAGUUCACUAAACAAAACCUCGUAGCCUGAGGAUUAUUUCAGUUAUCCAGUAGUCCAGCUUUCCUCAGCUGCACUCACGACAACAACUUCUAUGCUCUCCAGUACGAUAGGAUAAACUAAUUGCUCUCCAGUGCGAGAGAGUAACCAAUUCCCCGACACCCAAAAAGGUCUGCUCUCCAGUGCGAGAGGAUAAACUAAUUGCUCUUUAGUGCGAGAGGGUAAACCAAUUCCCCGACACCCAUAUGGGUUUACUCUUCAGUGCGAGAGGAUAAACUAAUUGCUCUCCAGUGCGAAAGGGUAAACUAAUUGCUCUUAAGUGCGAGAGGGUAAACCAAUUCCUCGACACCCAUCUGGGUUUGCUCUCCAGUGCUAGAGGAUAAACUAAUUGCUCUUCAAUACGUUAAGGUAAACUAAAUCGCUGACACCCAUCUGGGUAAACUCUUCAGUGCGAGAAGGCCACAUAGUUCAAAAGAUCGAAUGCUUGAAGAUCAACGAAGCAAUAAAUGGUUAUGGGCAACAGCCACUUUUACACUUAAUAGUUCGCUCAUCUGACACUUCAUCUUGAGCAACUCUGAUCUUGGCAGUUUCAUCCUUGACUGCUCUAUCUAUGGCAGUUGAAAAUCAAAAUCAAGUAGUUUCCUCAUUUUCAGCAGACAGCCCAAACAAUUGCCUAUUCCACGCCACUUCCUCGGCCCAUGUCAAACCAAUCCUUGGCUUCAAUUAAGAUGAGCUGCUCAAGCAAUGUCCCUUGCCACAUCACAUCCUUGGCCCAUGCCAAUCCAACUCCUAGCCCUUAUCAACCGACGUGCCGCACAACCCCGACGAUUGCCCCGUGGCAGCACCACCCAAGAAAAAUACAAGAAGAAAUUAAGUUUUUAUUACAUUGGUGACGCAUGGAGAAGACGAAGAAAGCAACGAAAGACGGUCAUUUACACGGGCAAAAUGUAGAAGAUUGUUAGAGGAGAGGGAACAAAUAUCCUUUAAGCUCUCUCUCUCUUGUAGGGUAGAAUAAAUCACUCUCCAAAGUUGAUUUAAUAACCCAUUUAAGGUGGACUUAGAUAGGCUUUGAGAGAAAUUUAUUUCCCUUUCCUAGAAGGAUCUAAUUUCAUAUUAGAGAGGGAAUUUGCAUCAAAACAGGAAAUAAUCCUAAGUUUCCUAGAGCAAGAAGAUCUCUACAUCUGCUACCCUUUCCUACGAGCAGCCUAGUAGGUGUGGGGGCACUUGUGGAGCCAAAAAUAAUCACAAGGCGACACGUCGAUUUUUGGUAAAAAGGACAAAGUUACCCCUGAGACACACCGGUUGUCCUAUGCGCGAGCAGUGGACAAUCAUUUUUUAAUCAAGCCAAGAGUGUCCAAAAAAUGUAACCAAUUCCAAAUUAUCUCAUCCAUCCUCAUCUUAGGUAAUUACUUCAUAACCUACAAAUUAUUCCAUAUAAAUGGAGAUUAAUUGGCUAAUUAAUGGAUUAAAUCAUAAUUAAUCCAUUAAUCACCAAUUAAAUCACCCAUUUUCACACAAAAAACCUCUAAGAGCCGGCCACCUCCAUUCCCUAUAUACAUGACCCUAUUUUUUCUAAAAAAUGAGGUCCACACUCUUGCAAAACUCCCAAAAACUCUCCAAAUACUUCUCUCUAAAUUCUGACUUUUGUAUCGGAUGUUCUUCAGCCAAAGCCCCCCCAAUUCAUCGUGGGUGCGUGAGGCUCUUGGCCUUGACCAAAGAUGUUGAUUGUUUUGUAGGUGCAAUUUUGUCAAAGAAGGAGAAGGCAAAAAUUUGCAUCCACAUUUGACAUCCUUCGUUUUUCUAAAAAAAACUUAAUUUAAGAACGAAUAUCUUUUUUUUUUUUAGAAGAGAUCAUCCCCGGAUUUCUUUCACCAAGGCCACCGGAUCAAAUGAUCCAGGCCUUUCAAAUUUCAUCCAACGGCUAAAAAUUAUUACACCUUUUAAGAAGUCAAAACAGGUGGACCGUUGGAUGAAAUUUGAAAGGGCCGAAUCACUUGAUCCGGUGACCUUGGUGGAAGAGAUCCGGAGAUGAUCUCUUCUCUUUUUUUUAGAUCAAGGAGGGGGAUCUUUAAGAUUUCUGAACUCCACUUGAACAAUUAAUUAUACAUAAAUUCAAGGGCAAAAGACUGUUUACUACCCUCAUGUUUCAUGAUUUUCAACAUUUAGUAUAUCAAGUUUUUUUUGUCCCAGAGUCAUACCUAAAGUCUAAAUUUUGAGACAAUCUCAUACAUCCGUUAGUCAAACUGUUAAGUCUCUCAUUAACUGUGACGUGGCGCCUAUAUGGACAAUGACUGGGCACCACGUGUCAUCCACGUGGAAAUUAAAAAUAAAUUAUUUAUUAAAUAAAUAAAUAAAAUUAUAUAUAUAUAUAUUAAAAUUUUAAUAAAUAAUAAAUAAAUAAAUAAAAACCUUCAUUUUCCCCAGAUUCGGAAGAAGAAGAAGAAGAAGGAAGAAGGAGAAAAAGGGGGAAGAAGAAGAAAAAAAACGAAAUUUGCAACCAAGAUUCGAAGGAAGAAGGAAGAAGAAGGAGAAAAAAAAAUGCAGAUUCAGAGGAAGAAGAAGAAGAAGGAGAAGGAGAAGGAAUAAGAAGAAGAAAAAAAUCGAAAUCUGCAACCCAGAUUCGGAGGAGGAAGAAGAAGAAGAAGAAGAAGAAGGAAAAAAAACUGCAAAUUCGGAGGAAGAAGAAGAAGAAGAAGAAGAAGGAAGAAAAAAAAAAAAAACCGAAUCUACAACCCAGAUUCGAAGGAAGAAAAAAAAUGAUUUUGCAACCCAGGAGGAAGAAGAAAAAAAAAAAAAAAACCGAAUCUGCAACCCAGAUUCGGAGGAAGAAUGAAGAAAAAAAAACCUAGAGGAGUAAUUCUUAAAUGUAUAUUCACAUCCUUACCUAGCACGAGGCCUUUUGGAAGUUCACUAGCUUCGGGUUCCGUAGGAACUUUGAAGUUAAGCGAGAAGGAGGCCAUAGCACUCCUAGGAUGGGUAACCCAUUGGGAAGUUGCUCGUGAGUUCCAAAAAACAAAUCCGUGAGGGAAUGGUAAACCCAAAGCGGACAAUAUCGUGCUACGGUGGUGGAGCGGGCUUGGGAUGUGGUGGAACCCGGGUCGGGAUGUUACAAUUGUGACAGCCCGUCCUAAAUUUUGUGUUUUUAUUAAUUUUAGAAGUGUGAAUUUAUGAAAAUACCUUAGAGACAAGGACUUUGACUUUCGCGGAUCAUCGUUUAGAGUGACGUAUGACUUAUUCUUUUAGCAUAUCCUCGUAGUAUUUGUCACUACGAACGCAUAGGCGAAAGCUGUUUACGAGUCAAAAUUAUAACAGUAUAGUUACGGACGUUUGAAGUUUGUUAUUUAAAGGUAGUUAAAUUAUUUGAACUCCCACCUUGUGGGAAGACUAACCAAUCAGCCUUUAAGCAAAGAGAAAAGGGAACCAAUCACAUAAAAGGAGGACAAAGCCUCUAGCCAAUCAGAAAAAUGAGCUUUCCCGUGGGUUUUUCCGCUCACGACCACCCAUUUUCCAAGGCUGAUUCCGGCCAACUCCGGGGAAGUUUUUCGAAGCCACCACCACCAUCUUGAAGCUCUCAUUCCUCUCUACAGAACCCACCUAAGAACCACCUUGGUUAACCCUGUACGUGGCGGUUCGAGGCCACAAAAAUCGAUGAAAACCAAUGGUGUUCCGGCCACCCUUUUCAUUUUUCCGACGAAUCGGCAAAGCAAUAGCCGACACCACCACUUGGGCUUUCUAGCCCAUCAUCCCAGGAGAAAAUCACCACCAGCCUUAACCCCGUUGGAGCACCGAGGAAAAAGAAUCGAAGUUCACCCAAGUAUAGGGUUACCGACGGAUUUUAACAAAAUUGAAGCUCUUCCCGGCCUAUUUGGCCUGGGUCACAGUUUCCGACGACCUUCGCCACUUUCGAGGUGUUUCCCGGCCAAAUCACGAUGAGAUAGCCAUCAUGUAAGGUUGCCCAGAAAUUCCGACGAGUUACCAGUUUUCCCGCGGACAGCCGUCUUUCAGACCAUUUUCCGAUCACCUCCGGGCACCAGUUGGACUCCAAGCUGGCGCCGAUCGCUCGGGACGCCUCGAUGGUUAUGCUAGGAAGUUGUAGCAUGGACUCCAGGUGAAUGGAUCUUUCCUUGCUCAUCUUAUGUUUCAUGAUUGAUAAUUCUAUAAAUACUUUUAAAUAAAACUGAGAAACUUAUGCCAUGACAUAUAUAUUUAUAUGUUAUAAAAUACUAUGAGAUGGUUGAGUUAGAUUUCAUCGUGAUCUAUCCAUAUACGUAUUACUAUAAAUGAUUAUUGUGAACUACGAAUGGUUUGAUCCCUGCUUAUGGUACGUAGGCAGUCUAACGAGACGUUAGAUGCAGCCAUAUAAGAAAUGAGAUUAAAUAACCGAGACCAUAGCCUUGUUUAAGGAAUUGAGCAAUAUGUGUGGGUUUUUGGUUUUAAGUAUAUAUGUAUACACUUGAUAUUUUCCCAUAAAUAUGUUUAAAUGAGAUUAUGCAUUAAAUGCCAUGCAUAUAAGUUUAUAAUUUGUAUAUGAAUUGGCAUAUGAUGCAUUAUAUAUAAGUGUGUUGCUGUGAACUCUCUGAAGUGUAAGGGUGAACGUAGGACAUUCAGGUAAGUUCAGGUAAGUUUAAGUAAAUUCAAGUAGGUAUACGGUAUUAGCAUGAUUGAUGAGAUAUGUGAUGAGAUAUGAAUAUGUUGUAUAGGUCACUACAUCACUAGAAAUGACUCCGACUUAUAUGCUAGCCAUGAUUGAUGAGAUAUGUGAUGAGAUAUGAAUAUGUCGUAUAGGUCACUAGAAGUGACUUCGACUUAUAUGUUAGCCAUGAUUGAUGAGAUAUGUGAUGAGAUAUGAAUAUGUCGUAUAGGUCACUAGAGGUGACUCUGACUUAUAUGUUAGCCAUGAUUGAUGAGUAUUGUGAUGAAAUAUGAAUAUGUCGUAUAGGUCACUAGAAGUGACUCCGACUUAUAUGCUAGCCAUGAUUGAUGAGAUAUGUGAUAAGAUAUGAAUAUGUCGUAUAGGUUACUAAAGGUGACUCUGACUUAUAUGCUAGCCAUGAUUGAUGAGUAUUGUGAUGAAAUAUGAAUAUGUCGUAUAGGUCACUAGAAGUGACUCCGACUUCUAUGCUAGCCAUGAUUGAUGAGAUAUGUGAUGAGAUAUGAAUAUGUCGUAUAGGUCACUAGAGGUGACUCCGACUUAUAUGCUAGCCAUGAUUGAUGAGCCACGAUUGAUGAGAUAUGAAUAUGUCGUAUAGGUCACUAGAGGUGACUUCGACUUAUAUGUUAGCCAUGAUUGAUGAUAUAGGUCACUAGAGGUGACUCCGACUUGCGUACUAUUAUGAGAUAUUAAUCGCUUGAUUAUUUGAUAUUAUUGUUGAGAUGUUGUGUGGUGGUACAUUAUGAUUUCUCUGGAAAUUAUACAGGUGUUGUAACGAGGGAUUACAUGUGUUAUAUGUUUUCUAUUAGUAAUUUACUUACAUGGCCACUCACCCUUGUCUUGUCUUCACCCUCCAGGUAUUAUUAGCUGAGUUUUAUUAUCACCAAAGACUCACGGCGAUAAGAAGAAGAAGAAGAAGAAGAAGAAGAAGAAGAAGAAGAAUAAGAAAAAGGAAGAAGAAAAAAAAAUCCAAAUCUGUAACCCAGACUCGGAGGAAGAAGAAGAAAGAAAGAAAAAAAAAAGGGAACCCAGUUUGUCCCUCCUUCCCCCCCCCCUCGAAACCUAACCCCCUGCAACCCAGAAGAAAAAGAAGGAUGAGGAAGAAGAAGAAGAAGAAGAAAAGAAAAAAAAAACCGAACCCCAGAAGAAGAAUAAGAAGAAUAAGAAGAAGGAAAAAAAACGUGGAUGACACGUGGCGCCCAGUCAUUGUCCACAUGGACGCCACGUCACAAUUAACGGCAGAUUGAACAGUUUGACUAAUGGAUGUAUGAGAUUGUCCUAGAAUUUACACUUUAGGUAUGACUUUGGGAUGAAAAAAACUUGAUGUACUAAAUGUUGAAAACCACAAAACAUAAGGGUAGUCAACAAUCUUUUUCCCUAAAUUCAAAUUUAAAUCUCUCUGUCAUUUUAAUCCAAGUGGCUUUGAGAAGUGUGUGGAUUCAACCCCAUGAUGAUUCUUUCCAAAACAUAAAAGUAAAGAGAGUUUUUUUUUUGGAAAACAAGUAAAGAAAGUUUUGUGUAGUUGUUCAUCUGAUUUGAUUUCUCUUGUCCCUUUUUUCCUUUUUAAGUUUUUCCAAGGCCCCAUAUACGUAUUUCAAUACAUAAAACAACCAUUCGACUUUUGACGCACGUAUACCUCCAACCCUUUUGGCAUGGAAAUGACAUAGGAUAUUGUUGAUGCACAAAACCGGAGGUCUUGGAACAACGUAAAUCCGGCCGUAAAUCUGUAAGUAAUGUAAAUAACACAAGAUGUAUCGUGGUUCACCCCAAGGUUUGGGCUACGUCCACAUUGAUUGUAUUGUAUUUCUCUGAGAAGUGAGGGAGAUAGUGUGAGAACUUUGCUCUAGAUAGGAAAGACCUAGGGUUUGUGAAGGUGAUGAGGCCUUUUUAUAGAAUAAGGGCUCCUCCCCUAAUUACAUAUUUGCCCCUUUCUUUAUUACAUAAUUGCAUUUAAGUCCUCUGAGUAUUUAUACGAGGCCCUAAAUAUGGUAUAAACAGUAAUCCCCCAAGUCUUCAGUCAAGAGAGUCUUUUGGCUGGAGACUUGAAAUUCAGUCCAUGUGUGGGCCGAAGCAACUAGAUGUUGUCUUGAACUGAUGCUCAACUAGAAGUAGCACAUGCUGCGAGGCUGCGAGGCUCGUGGCUUAUGUUGCCUUGGUUGGCUCGGCUUGCAGCGUUUGAAGAUGAGAGAGUCCCUUUUAUAGAAUAAGGGUUCGCUCAUCAAUACAUGAAUGAUGGGCUAGAGUUGAUGCUCUCUAAUGAUGGUGAGGGAGUCCCUUUUAUAGAAUAAGGGCUCGUUCCUCAAUACAUAAAUGAUGGGCUAGAGUUGAUGCUCGCGGCGAGGCGGUUGCUCAAUAGGCGGCGAUGCUCUCAAAUGGUGGUGAGGGAGUCCCUUUUAUAGAAUAAGGGCUCGCUCCUCAAUACAUAAGUGAUGGGUUAGGAGUGAUGCUUGCGGCGAGGUGGUUGCUCAGCUGGCGGCGUUGCUCUCUAAUGAUAGUGAGGGAGUCUCUUUUAUAAAAUAAGGGCUCGCUCCUCGGUACAUGAAUAAUAUGUGCUCUCUAAUGAAAGUGAGGGAGUCCCUUUUAUAGAAUAAGGGCUCGCUCCUCAAUACAUAAGUAAUGGGCUAAGUCUCCCAAGUAUUUUUCAUGAGGCGAUAUUUGUAUACCCUGCAUUGAAGCUUUGUAAAUGAAGCUUUGCAAGUGAAGCUUUGAAGCUGGAGCUCUGUAAAUGAAGCUUUUGAAGCUAUAGCUCUGUAAAUGACGCUUUUGAAGCUAGAGCUCUGUAAAUGAAGCUUUUGAAGCUAGAGCUCUUUAAAUGAAGCUUUUGAAGCUAGAGCUUUUGUAAAUGAAGCUUUUGAAGCUGAUUGACAUGAGUGAUGCUCAUGGAUGUUGACAUGAGUGAUGCUCAUGAUUGUUUAUGUAUGAUUGGUUGAGUGAUGCUCAUGAAUGUUUAUGUAUGAUUGACAUGAGUAAUGCUCAUGUAUGAUUGACAUGAUUUAAGUACUAGGCGUACUUUUGAUCACCUAGUUGGUGGCAUGAAGUAGAAUACGGAUUGUACAUUUCAUCACCUGGUUGGUGGCAUGAAUGGCUAGUUGCCAAAUGAUAUUAGAGUACGGUUGUACAUUUCAUCACCUGGUUGGUGGUAAUAGUGGCAGGUUGCCAAAUAAUUUUGGAAGUACUGGCAUACUUUUGAUCACCUGGUUGGUGUUAUUUUGGGCUUAUGGGCAUUCGCCCUCUACACAGCAUUCUAGCCCAUUUAUUUUGGGCUUUUUUUUUUACCCUCUAAUGGGAUUUAUACAUAUUACCCUCUGGUGAGGUUUAUACAGAUGUUUCCGAAAAAUAAGGAAAAUAAGUUACAUCAUUCUGGUGGGGUGUUUAUUCCUUGCUUUUGCAGUGUUUUUCUACUGCACUCUCUCUGUCUCUUCAUCUGGCAGACAAAAGGAAUCAUAAUAAUACGAAAAUCUUUUGCUUUUCUUCUUUUCUCUCCACUGCGUCUCUGUCUUUUGCUUUUGUGUCGUAGCUCACUUGAUUGUUUUUCUUUCUGCUUUCUUCUUUUGCUUUUCUUUCUCUUUCCUUGCGCUGCUUUGCUUUGCUUUUACUUUCUUUUUCCUUUGGGUCGUCUGCACCAAAACAGAGCCUUUGGGACUGAGGGUAAAUUUCACAUUCACCGCAGGAGGAAUUAACACAAGAACCGGGAAGAAUUUCAGGCAAUUCGAGCUCCUUCCUUGAUUUCAAACCGGAGAGAUUGGGCCAGCACGGACCCCCAACAAACUAUCAAAAAAUUCCUGGUGGUUAAUCCACAAACGAAAACCGACCCAGAAGCAAUUAAUUCAAAAGACAACCCAUUUGCGUGGUUAAAUGCAAAUUGAUGGGUUAAGCUUUGUUGGGAUUUUGAUUCAGUGGUCUGGGGAUAUCAAAAAUGAGGGAGAUCUGUGUAGGCAAACAAAUCUCUGAAUUUCGUCGCCCGUUCACUACGACAUCUCCGAUAUCCCUCUCUCUAUUUUUUUUUUUUUAGCUAGUUAGUCUGGAUCGGAAUUCAGUGGAGAAGUGGGGUGCUGCGUUUUGCGGUUGCAGGCCAGGCAGAGAAAACCGGAGGGUGCUGCGUUUUGAGCUGAUGCAGUAGCAGAUUGGACUGGCUCUUCGCAGACCUCGCCAAAUCUCAGCCAUCAGAUUACUGUUCGGACGAUCGCACACUUUUCUUUUCUUCUGCUUGAGCUAGACGAAGCCGGAGGUGUGGUUGUAGCCAAACUCAACAACACCGACGGUGGCCACAGAGCCGACGUAGAGGGAAGCAACGGCGAAGGCCUUGAAAGGCUUGGUAAAGAAAUUGCCGGCACAGCCUUUCCGGGAUGACAUAAGGGCCCAAACCCAGUGGAGCCACACUGCCCCCGGCCUACCACUAGUGGGUGUGUGACCCAUUGCUACCGCUGCUUCAUUCUCCGGAGUCUCUUCCUCCUCCUGCAUCUGAGUUUCUCUGGCCGAUGACAAUAAAGCACCUUGUUUUGCUUCGUUCUAUAGAAUUCGGUGUGUGUUGGGUUUUUGUGGGCUUGUUUUUGGUUUUUGCAGAUUCAUGGCGGAGGUGAAAAAUUGAGAGAUACCUGACAUAACUUUUCGUGUCAAUUCCCACAGACAGCGCCAAAUGUUGAUGCACAAAACCGGAGGUCUUAGAACAACGUAAAUCCGACCGUGAAUCUGCAAGUAAUGUAAAUAACACAAGAUGUAUCGUUGUUCAUCCCAAGGUUUGGGCUACGUCCACACUGAUUGUAUUGUAUUUCUCUGAGAAGUGAGGGAGAAAGUGUGAGAGCUUUGCUCUAGAUAGGAGAGACCUAGGGUUUGUGAGGGUGAGGAGGCCCUUUUAUAGAAUAAGGGCUCCUCCCCUAAUUACAUAUUUGCCCCUUCCUUUAUUACAUAAUUACAUUUACGUCCUCUGAGUAUUUAUACGAGCUCUAAAUACGAGGCCCUAAAUAUGGUAUAAACAGAUGUAGUCCCAUAUAUUGCAUUAUUAGGUUAAGCAGAAUCACCAAACCAUAUUUAUAUGAACUUUUAACAACCAUCGCUUCAAUCUUAAAGAGGGAUUGGAUUAGCCUAAACAGAAUGUGUUUUGUAGUGGCACCUUAAUUAUAUACUAGCCUUCAUGCACGCGCUCACGCGCAUGCAGAAGAUAUUUUUUGAAUCAAAGCGUGUUACGCGCGACUUACACAUUUUAAAUGUAUUUAUAUUCGUGAAUUGACAAAAGGAAAGUCAAAUAUUUGAAGUAAAUGAAUAAUCUUAGAUCAUGCUAGAAAAAAAACCCUCACAAACCAAUCAAAGCAGCUAAAUUCACAUAAUAAAAUUGGUAUUUCAAUUUCCAUCUACAUUCUAUUGAAUUUACAUUAAGAAUAGAGAAAAUAAUAUUUAAUAAACAACUGAUUGAAUCACAUUAUUGGUAGCCCAUCACCCUCCCCCUUAGUGUAGAUAAUAUCGUUUGUUAAAAAAAACAAUCAUUUGACAACUAAUUUAAUCACAUUAUUAUGCGCAUGUGAAAUUUUUUUUUUUAUUAUCGGCAUUACACGCCUCUUAAGAUGUUUAGAACGUGUUUAAAAAUAGAGAAAAUAAUAUUUAAUGAACAACUAAUUUAAUCACAUUAUUACUAGCCUAUUGUGAGGUACUAAUUUUAAAAUAAAAUAAAAAAACUGUACAAAAAGAAUUAAUUAUUAAAACAUAUUGUUAAAAUGACUAAAAUGCCCAUGCAUUAUUUUGGGUUGCUUUUGAAAUUUUUUGAAUUGGGGGCAUUUUUGUCCAAAUUUUUUUGGUGAAGCUUGUGACCCCAAAAUGAGUUGUUGGCUUUAUAUAUAAAGAUAUAUAUAUAUAUAUAUAUAUAUAUAUAUAUAUUUUUUUUUUUUUUUUUUUUUUUUUUUGAAAAAUGCUAAGGAGACUUUCUUGAAGUGGACUCUCUAUAGAUUCUCUGUCACAUAAUUUAACAUUAAUUUCAAUGAAUUAUAAAAUAUUGUGCAAAAAACUUGAGGUUAUGGAGAAUUCAUAAGGAGUCCUAAACAUAUAAUAUGUUCCGUGGUGCACUUUAUAUGUACUUUUGCCUCAUUUAUUUGUUCUCUUUUAAGCUGUUAUGAUGCUACCCUUCCAUCUAUCAUGCCAUCCAUAUAUUUAUGCUUUGGAUUGAAUCAUCUUUUCUUUUCUCUUCUCAAGUCAAUUUUCUAAUAGCUGUAUUUGCAAUGAGUUGACAUCUACAGGCUGAUCGGUUUAAGGACGUAGAUGAGUUAAGGGUGUUGAUAUCAUACUAUUUAUUUCUAAUAAAGCAUUGUUUUCGGCUGACAAUAACACUAGGAAGAUAUAUUUAAGCUGAGUGUGAUACCUAGUUGUAAGUGUACUUGUGGAGAUUAGGAUUCUCUCAUCUCUCCUCUUUUUAUCCUCUUUCGUUCCCUUCUCUUACAUUUUCUAUUUUGUCUUUCUCUUUUUAUAAAAAAAUUAAUAUAAGAUGUUAAUGUAGCUUAAUCGUGACCAUUCAAAUGGGAGGGGAUGGAAAAAAAGAUGGGACAGAAUCCUACUCCUACUCCUACUCCUACUCCUACUCGUGGUGGCAAAACUUUAUUGUAAGUGAAUUAUCCUGUUUUAAACUACGUAGUUUUGUAAUAUACUAUCAUAACCUCCGUGAUCUAGUGAUAGUUACCGGAAGUCUUAAGUCAUGUCAUGUGUAUGUGAGGAAGGUAUAAAUAUUUGUUGCGAGUUCGAUAUUGGGUUUUGGCUAGCUUGUUUACUAGAUUAUUAAUUAGUUAUUAUGGAUUACUUACUUUUAAGGAAACACAUUAUUAGAGUCUUUUUUUUUAAUCCAAUAAUAUAUUUAUAUUAAAGGAAAAUUAAUGAAAAGUUAAAAAAAAACUUUAGUUUUAAUGAAAAAUGACAAAUAAAUGUGUAGUGAAUAGUACCAGGAAAAAGUAAAAAUGUGGUUUUUCGUUAAAAGUGAACAAUACCAUGAGUGUUUCGUUAAAACUUCUUUAUAUUAAUGGGUGGGGAUUUUGGGCUAGACCGUAAAGUGUGCAUGUCAUAAUACUUUGGCAUCGAACUCGUCAUCCACCGACGUUAAACCUAAACCUCCUUAUAUGUAGAGAAAAAUAUUAUUUGACCAUAGACUAUUAAAUGCAUUUUCAAAGUUUUAAAACACAGAGGGCUUAAAAUCUUACAAAAUGAUGUACAAUAUUCGUAUGCAUGACAUUUAACCAUCAUAUAUGCAUGGGUUUGGGAUGCAACGAAAGUAACAACCUUAAUUUUUUUCAUGCAAAUAUAUUUUCCUUUGCGACGUACAUGCAUGCACAAUUAUUACCAGACGAAGCAAUUUUAGAACGACUUUUAGCCUGGAAAUGAUUAUAUUUUAAGGGCACAAGAAUAAGAUUGCUCUUUAUUUAAUAAAUUAAUUUUCUGGUGUUUGUAGUAUACUGUUUAAAGUCUAAAGAACACAGGCAACCACACACUUUAUGGUCAGCAAGUGAUUGUUAAUCAAUCAGAAGAACAAUUAGAUUAUUAAGAUGAGAUAGAUAUAAAAUAUAUAUGCCAAAAAUAUAUCACCUUAUUUGGAAGGGUGGCUCUUCCUUUUGAGUGCAACUUUGCACCAAACAUAGACAUUUAAGUUUCUUCUUCUUCUUCUUCUUCUUUCUUCCAAAAAAAAAAAAACAUAUACAUUUAAGAAGAAUUUUGUUAAGGCUGAUAUAGAAGCUGCUUGCAUCUCCUUUUCCCAUUAUUAUUGGAUGAUAUAUAUAUAUAUAGGACUUAAUUAUUGUUCAGGAGUGAUUUGAUACAUUGAUUAGUAAUUACUUAACCAGCAAGACAGCAAGCAAGGAGUCUUAUUAUAUGUCUGCAGGUACAUUACAUACCAACAGGAUCCUCUCCGGAUCCUUUUGGUAAGGAUCUGGGAGAUUCGUGAAUCGUGUUCGUUCAUCGUACAUCGUGCGGCCAGUUUUACAAUUGUUAUGAAAAACAUUUAAGCUUGAAGAAACUUACUUUUUUUCAUAAUUGUUCUGUCCUUAUUCUCUCCCAUCCCUAUUGUUAGGCCAUCUCCAACCGAAGGCUGGUCAGAGGGCUCGUUUGAGCCCUCUAGCCCUCCAAGAUUCCCCAAGAUAUUAAUAUUUUAAUGAACAGUACAGGGCCAUAUUUGCCUCCGUCUCCAACCGAGGGCCAGAGGGCCAAAGGGCUCGUUUUAGCCCUGUCACAAAAAACCGUCUCCAACCGAGGGCCAAAGGGCCAUAGGGCCAAACAUAAUUUAUUAUUUAAAAACUACAAUUUAAUGUUGUAUAAAUGGCCUAGGAAGUUAUACGAAAAAAAUAGAAUUGAAAAAAAAUAUGAAACAAAUUUUGUGAAAUAAAAGUUAUAGGAAAAAAAAUAUGAAACAAAAUUUGAUUCAUAUGAAAAGGAAAAAAAAGGGGAAAAAAAGAAGUUUACAUUCAUUAAAAAAAAAUUAAAAAAAAUGAAGUUUAAAUUCAUUAAAAAAAAAAGGCCUAAUAAUACAACGGCUACUAGCCGUUAUAUUAAAAAACAUUUCAAAUUAUUAGUGUCGGUUAUAACCGACACUAAUAGUUGAACUAUUAAAAAAAAAAGAAUAUCUUUAAUGCUGUCGGCUAUAACCGAUAGCAAUAGGAAAUCAUUAAAAAAAAAAAUAGCCAGCCCGAGGCUGGCUGGCUGGCCGAAAGCAGUCAGCCCUCUAGCCCUCCAGCCCUCUCCGAUCCCGUGGGGCCCUCCCAGAUUCCAGAGCCCUCUGGCCUAGCCCUCGGUUGGAGACGGUUUUAGGGCUAUUUUCGGCCCUCUGGCCCUCUGAACCCUUCGGUUGGAGAUGGCCUUAUCUUAGUCUUAUUGUUAAUUUCACUUCAUUUUAUUAUCCGUGUUAUUUACUCUCUAGUUGUAUCUCCACUUGGAUUAAAUAUCCUUGAAACAAAUUAAGUAUGAGAGGAAUGUGUGACAGUGAUUUAAUUCGACGAAUGGGAAUAUUUAGAUUUAUAAUGUGAAUCAAUUCAGAUUUAGAAAUGAGAAUGUUUAUACAUUUCAUUGUAGCUAGUAAAAUAUGUUACUUCUACAUUUUAAUUUAUAACUUUUGUUUGCAUGACUCCUGCACUUAAGUUUUUUACUAUCAGUUUUGACACUUAAUAAUGUUGUGUUGGCAGAAGCUACAAAGGAGGAAGAACCAGAAGAUAACGACGAAAUGGAUGGUUUCCAAACUGAUGAUGAUGAUGAAUAUGGGAUGGAUCUGACAAGGAAAUGGGACUUGAUGCCGAGGAUGGUGAUGAAGUUGAUAGCGUUAAACUUCAAAAGUUAGGUGUGCCCUGUUCUCUUAUUAGAAUUUUUUUAGAGAGAAUACUUGCUAUUCUAUGGUGGUCAUCUUUUAUGAUCUUUUGAGAGUAAGGGUGAAGUUAAACAUGCUGUGUAGUGUCGUCACAUUAUCCUGGUUUGUGAUGCCUAAUAUUGACUGAACAAUUCACCUUUCUAACUCAUCCCAAAAUUUGAAUUUCAUUUCCCCUUUUUUUGUUAAGAUACUAAAAUUACAUCACAACAAGUUAGUCAGGCUUUCAGGUGAUUCUCGAUGCUUGAUGUUUGUUCAAGUUCAUUUUCUUUAAAUUAUUUUAGUUCUUGUGAGGUGUGAUGUGAAAGGCCAGCAUGGUGCUUGCCCAGGUACUAUAAGUCAAUAAAGAUGCCUAACAGUCCCAUAGGACCCUUAUGCAUGCAAUUUAAUGAUGACGCGCUUAGUCCCCUGCAUCCCUUGAGAUAUUGUCGCGAGCUUUUUUAUUUUCUGUUCAAAUGAUUGUAUUUUCUUUUACUGCAUGUUUUCACAUUGUUCUUUCUUGCUAUAUGUAUCCACUGCCGGCUAAUUAAUUAUCGUUUGCGGGGUGCUACAGGCAAGUCUUUCCGCCCUAGUGAUGAAUAUGACUCAGACUCGGACGAUGAUUUCAGUGAUGAUGAGGAAUUACAGUCACCAAUUGAUGAUGUGGAUCCUUUUAUCCAUUUUGUUGAUGCAGUCAAAGGUAUGUGGACAAACUUUCCCGUGUUAUCUGUUGAAUAACUUUUAAAUUUAUGGCAUUUUUGACAUGUUUCCUUAUUUCCUAUGCGUUGCUCGUGAAGCCAUGCAAGCAUCAGAUCCGUUGAGAGUUCACAGCCUUAUGCAGACUCUGGACUUCCAGUAUCAGGCUCUUGCAAAUGGCGUUGCACAGCAUGCUGAACAGAGGAGAGCAGAGAUUGAAAAAGAGAAGAUGGAGGAGGCAGCAGCUGCCACAGCUUCAUGAUUUUGCUUCUCUCGUUGUGGCUUCAAUUUUCCCUUGCUCUUCUUUGCCUCUUCCAUUCAUGUAGUAACGGGAAUAUAGAGAAACAAAGUCGUUGACGGUCCAUUCAGAGUAUUUGGUUGCUUUGGUGGUCGCAGACUCGCAGUUGUCGGUUAGUCUAAAGGACUUAUCAUUUUGAAGUACUUGGAGCGGUUCUCUGAUGAGUUCCAACAAUAUGCAAAAUUUUGGGGAACUCUGGAGCUGGUACGUCAAUUCUGGGUUUGGCUUUUAGUCAUUGUGCGGUGAGUCAGGCCAUUCUGUGGUAGGAUACGCAUUUCGGAUCUAUUUUUUCACAGAUUGGUUAAUUGGAAAUGGUGGGUUUAUUUAUUUUCUUGACUUCUGCGUUGUUUAUGUUAUUAAAUCGAAACUUUAUGCAAGAACUGUAACUUUGUCUUCAUUUUUGUUUGUUUGUUUGAUGACCAUAGCACCUACAUUGGUGAAUGCUUCAUGCAAUCGAGGCCGGAAAAAUAUCGAAAAUUGAAAUUGUGUUUUAGACGUUACUUGCAUUGCUGCUUGAAUAUUGUGAGCCAGUUUGUAGAAGAAUCACUUUCAAUUGUGGGUUUUCAUAUUUAAUGCGUUGAAUCACAUCCGACCCAGACAUUGAAAAAUGAGCACUUGAAUUCGUAGCAAGUAGAUCAAUUUAAUAAAAGGACAGGUUAAUCAGAAUAAUAAUAAUAUGAAAGCAAUACUCACCUAAUUGAAGACGUUGAAUGGUCUGUUAAAAGAAUGGAGAUGGGUUUAUGGUGGCAGGUGGACUCCUUUGUCAUAACUUUUUGGAGACUGGAUCAUUGAUUUUGCAAUUCAUGUGGGUGAUGGAGAAGUGCUUGAAGCAAAGCUACGUUGGACAUUGUUAGGAUGGUUAGGAAGCACAUCCUAAUUCCUAAGAUGGAUUAUAAGAGUUUAAAUACAUGAGGUCUUAGGUUCGAUUAUCGUCAAAGGUAAAUUUUAAAUCAUAUUAUUGCUAGUCUAUUAGGAGACUUAGUCCACUCAUUAUCUCUUAGUGUAGAUAAUAUCGUUUGUUCACACAAAAAAAAAUUGUAUUCAAACAAGAUUUUAAAGGAGUUUAUAACGGCCAUUUGGUAACGUUUUAUAAAAGGACUUUUGAAGAACUGUUUUGUAAAACCAGCAACACACACAUAAUAUUGAUUUUUAUGGUUUGAGAAUCAUCUAGUAGUUUAAUUCGAGAAUGAUUUUUGAGAAUGAAAACAUUGUAAACACGUUUGGUAUCAAUAUAUAAAAUGUUAAAAUAAAUAAUGUAAAUUCGUGUUUGGUAGUAAUUGUGGAGACAUAAUAACCACAUCCAAUAGAAGAUGGACAUAUGGACACUAUGCUCAAUAUGUGCUCUUACCAACAAGGACCUUCAGAACUACUAGCUGGCAGGACUAUGGAUAUUGGCUUGCAUCAUCAAGGACUGCCUAGUAUGUUCUGCAAUCUCCCCGCCCAGCUACCUGCUAGGAUUAUUCCCUAUAAAUAGGCAAGUAACAAAGGAAACCGUAAUCACCACUUACUACUAAGAACUCUCUCAAGUUCUCUUUUCUAUCCACUACUUUUGACUUAGGCAUGAGAUGCCCUUCGAUACAUCCUCACCCAGAUAUCCACGUGGACCCAAAAAUCAAGGCAUGCUAGCCAUCACUUGGAGGGUCACAAAGCCAUAAUAUAUAAGUGAUGUGUAAAAGUACAGAUACAUUAAAACCAAAGUCUAACUAAAAGUGCGCAUUGUAGGGUGAACCCUUAUUACAAAGCAUGCAAUGUCAGAGCAUAUUUAAAAAUGUAACACAAUUAAAGAAUAUUCUCAUUUGGAUAGGAUGGAUAUUUGUACGAAGUAACAUAAAAUAACUUUUUACAUAAUCGGAACAGGAUGUCAGCAAGUACCAAUGAUCCUCGUCUACACUAGAAUACAACUACUAAGUCCUACAGGGCGCAAAACAAAAAUAUGAGUGAGCAAAAAUAUAAAGAUUUUCUAAAACCUUUGUUUCUUGGAAUAUAGUAACCCCUCACACCCUAUCCACUAUUAUACUGGAUCACAUGUUAUAUUUGGACUUUUUAGUUAGUGCGGAUCUUGUCGCGUUUAGCCUUUUAGGUGUUUUUACAGUUAUGUUGAUAUUCAUAUCUUGUACAUGUCUCUAAUUUAUUGUUGAAAUUGUUUUAACGAAUAUCACUAUUUUUUAAGAACAUUAAAACAAUUUCACAUGAGAAAAUUCAAUUUAAUAAGAUUGCUAAGGAGACUCUCUCAAAGUGAGACUCUUCAUGGGCUCUCAGCCACCUCAUACUUUUGGCACAAUGUUUUACAAUGUUGGCACGAAAAUUGUGUAAAAAACAUGAGAUAACGGAGAGUCAAAAGUAAGAGUCUCCUUAGCGUUUAUAAUUUGAACAUUUAACAUUUUCCAAUAAAGUAGAGAUUAAAUAAUUAUUGGCAAGUCCUUAUAGAUUUUAAACUCAAGCACUCUUUUCGUAAGCAUUUGACAUCCUCCGCUUUUCUAAAAAGAUUAAUUUAAGGACGAGUAUCAUUUUUUUUCUUUUUUUUUUUUUUUUGAGAUCAAGGAGGAUCUUUAAGAUUUCUGAACUCCACUUAAACAAUUAAUUACACUUAAAUUCAAAUUUAAUCUCUCUGUCAUUUAAUCCAAGUGGCUUUGAGAAGUCUGAGGAUUCGACACCCAGAUGAUUCUUUCCAAAACAUAAAAGUCAAGAGAGUUUUGUCUAGUUGUUCAUUUGAUUUGAUUUCUCUUGUCCCUUUUUACCUUAUUGAGUUUUUAUAAGGCCCCAUAUACGUAUUUCAAUACAUUUAAGAACCAUUCAACUUCUGACGCAUGUAUACCUCCAACCCUUUUGGUAUGGAAAUGACAUAGUAUAUAGUCCCAUAUAUUGCAUUAUUAGGUUAAGCUGAGUCACUAAACCAUAUUUGUAAGAACUUUUAACAACCAUUGCUUCAAUCUUAAAGAGGGGUUGGAUUAGCCUUUUUUUUUUUUUUUUGAGAAAUGCUAAGGACACUCUCAAGUGGGACUCUUCAUGGACUUUCUGUCACUUCAUAGUUUAACAUUAAUUUUCGUGUCAACAAUAUAAAACAUUGUGCAAAAAACAUGAUGUAACGAAAAGUCCAUAGAGAGUCCUAAACAUAAGGGUUUUUAUCACAAAUGGUUCCUGAAAUUGACCAUCAUCAUCAAGAUAGUCCCUGAAAUUGAAAAUCAAUCAAUGUAGUCCCUAAAAAUAAGUGUCGCAAAUCAAUGUGGUCAUUCCAACACAAUUCUGUUAAGUGCUGAUGUGACGCAUAAAUGGGCCCUACAAGUCUUUUUUUUUCUUUCAAAUGGUCCUUGAAAUUGACCCAUGACAUCAGAAUGGUCCUUGAAAUUGAUCCGCGACAUUAGAAUGGUCCCUGAAAUUGAAAAUUGAUUAAUGUAGGUCCACAAGUAAGUGUCUCAAUCAAUGUAGUCAUUCCGUCACAAUUCUGUCAAAAAUUCUGUUAUGUGCUGAUGUGACACAUAAAUGUAUCACACAAGUCUAAUUAAAUUAAAAAAAUUACAAAUAGGGUUAAUAAUUUAAUAGUUAAUAAAAAAAUUGUCAACCUAACAACCUAGUCUUGCAAUCACCUCUGGUCCCAGUUCACAUUUCUCUACCUCUUUCGCUAUCUAUUCUCUAAAAAAAUCUCAAUACACUCAUCUUUACACACUUCGACUUCACUGAAUUGAACCUGGAUUGAGAUCACCUUUGGUGACGGCUUGGCCUAUUGGCAACGACUACUGGGACAUCACUGUUAACAUUUAGGCAAUCAACAUUCUCACAACUUAAUCUUGGAGACCAUGUUUAGCGCUUCCAUAAUGGUCCGGUGAUGCAAAGAACAACGAGGUCUGCCUUCAAAUAAUGAGGUUAUAGCUGAGGUGCAUCCAUUGUUGGUUGAAAACUAUUUCCACACCUCUUCUUAGGCCUUGGUUAAGCCUUGUGCCUUUGAGAAUUUAUGGAAGGAAUCUCUCUUCGGAGUAGGCCCUACUAUAAGGAAAAAAAAAAUCAGUUGAGCAAAAAGAUACUUAGACAACUUUUUUUUAAUUAAUUAUUAAACCCACAUCAGCACAUAAGAAAUCUUUUUACAAAAUUGUGGUGGAAGGAUUAUAUUGAUUUGCGACACCUAUUUUCAAUGACUACAUUGAUUGAUUUUCAAUUUCAAUGACCAUAUUGAUGGUGUGAGUCAAUUUAAGGGACCAUUUGUGAUAAAAACCCGUAAAAGUUGUGGGCCCAUUUAUGUGCCAGAUCAGCACUUAACGGAAUUUUAACAUAAUUGUGACCAAAGGACCACAUUAAUUUAAGACACCUAUUUUCAGGGACUACAUUGUUUGAUUUUUAAUUUCAGGGACCAUCUUGAUGAUGAGGGUCAAUUUCAAAAACCAUUUGUGAUAAAAACCCUAAACAUAAUGUGUUUCAUAGUGCACUUUAUAUAUACUUUUCCCUCAAUCAUGUCAUCCAUAUAUUUAUGCUUUUGGAUUGGAUUAUCUUUUCUUUUCUCUUCCCUUCCAUCUAUCAUGCCAUCCAUAUAUUUAUGCUUUUGGAUUGGAUAAUCUUUUCUUUUCUCUUCUCAAGUCAAUUUUCUAGUAGCUGUAUUUGCAAUGGAUUGACAUCUACAGCUCUAACUAGAAACUGCUUUGAGGAAAUAAAUAUGCGCAAUAUCUACAAGUUGAUCAGUUUAAGGAUAGAUGAGUUUGGAUAAAGAUGUUGAUAUUAUACUAUUUAUUUCUAAAAAAGCAUUGUCUUCGGCUGACAAUAAUGCUAGGAAGAUAUAUUUAAGCUGAGUUUGAUACCUAAUUGUAAGCUUACUUAUAAUGACAUAACUUUAUUGUAAGUGAAUUAUCCUGUUUUAAAAGUAUCGUAGCUUUGUAAAUAUACUCAUAACCUUGUGAUCUAGUGAUCAUUGCUGGAAAUCUAAAGUCAUGUCAUGUGAAUGUGAGGAAGGUAUAUAUUUGUUGCGAGUUCGAUAAUCGGUUUUGGCUAGCUUGUUCACUAGAUUGUUAAUUAGUUGGUAUGGAUUAAACAUAUUUUUUGAGUUUUUAUUUUAAUUUAACGAUAUAUGUAUAUUAAUGGGUGGGGAUUUUUGGUUAGAAAACAAAGUGGGCAUGCAAUAAUAUUUUAGUAUCGAACUCAUCAUCUACUGAUGUUAAACCCAAAUCUCUUACUUAUACGUAGAGAAAAAUACUAUUUGACCAUAGACUACUAAAUGACAUUUUCAAAGUUUUAAAACACAGAGGGCUUAAAAUCUUGUGUACAAAAUGUGGACAAUCUUCGUAUGCUCAUAAAUGCAUGGGUUUGGGAUGCUCUGAAAGUAACAACCUUAAUUAUAUACAUGCAUAUCCUUUUUGACGUACAUGCAUACACAGUUAUUACCAGAUGAAGCAAUUUUAGAAAGACUUUUAGCCUGGAAAUGAUGAGAUUUAUAUCUGAGGGCACAAAAAUAUUGCCCUUUAUGUAAUAAUUAAAUUUCUGGUGUUUGUAGUACUGUUUAAAGUCUAAAGAACACAGGCAACCACACACUUUAUAGUCAGCGAUUGUUAAUCAAUUAGAAGAACAACUAGAUUAUAAAGAUGAUAUAGAUAAUAUAUAUAUAUAUGUGUGCGCGCGCGCGCGCGCCAAAAAUAUAUCACCUCAUAAGGAAGGGUGGCUUUUCCUUUUGAGUGCAACUUUGCACCAAACAUAUACAUUUAAGAAGAAUUAUGUUAAAGCUGAUAUAGAAUAAGCUGCUUGCAUCUCGUUUUCCCAUUAUUAUUGGAUGAAUUGAUAAAAUAUAUCACCUCAUAAGGAAGGGUGGCUUUUCCUUUUGAGUGCAACUUUGCACCUAACAUAUACAUUUAAGAAGAAUUAUGUUAAAGCUGAUAUAGAAUAAGCUGCUUGCAUCUCGUUUUCCCAUUAUUAUUGGAUGAAUUGAUAUAAAUAUAAAUAAAUAAAUAUAUAUAUAUAUAUAUAUUCUUGAGUAUAUUACAUAAAACUAUCUCAACUAUUGGGUCAGUCACAGUUUCAUAUCUCAUCUUUAAAAUAUUUCAAUGUUAUACCUCAUCUUACAAAUUUGUUACAAUUUCAUACAUUCCGUCAAUUUGUCUGUUAAUUCUUCAAUUAAAUAGUAACGUGGCUUGAGACGAGAUCCAUUUUCUAUUAAAAAAUUAAUUAAAUAUUAAAUACUAAAAAAAUAAUAAUAAUAAUUUUUUUUGGCAUGGGGGACCCACCCCAUAUCCCCUCACCCUUCUUCCCCGCUCCCGUCUUCCCCAACCCAAAACAAGAACCACCCCAAACCCAAAUCCCAAAAAUGGCGACAUGGGUUUUGUUCAUUUGGUAUUUUUCUCUUACCCCUUUUGAUUUUUUUAGGUGCAAAGCUCGCCCCCAAGGUGGGUGUGAACUACGGCCAGCUGGACAACAACCUCCCACCAUCGUCACAAUUGGUGAAACUCAUCCAGUCACUCAAGGCCAAGCGAGUCAAGCUCUACGACGCCAACCCCAAAAUCCUCACCGCCCUCCGUAACACCGGCCUCCAGGUCUUCAUCAUGGUCCCCAACGAGCUCAUUAACAACAUCUCCUCCAAUUAAACGCUCGCCCACCAUUGGGUCCACACCAACUUUGUCCUCUCUGAUUUGGUACCUCCUCGUUGGAAACGACAUCCUCAGCCAACCCGAUAAACAGAUAUGGUAUAAUCUCGUACCCGCAAUGCGAACACCAAACAGUGUACUAGCACGGAGUGGAAUUUCGGGUUGUUAUACCAGAACGGGUUGCAUGUGUACCCGAUUGACUUGAGCGGGAAGACGUCUUUGUCGGAGUACUUGCCGUUGCCGACAGCGACAAAUAACAAGCCAUAUAAAAGGUCAAUUUGGUGCAUGGUGGCGAAGGGAGUGAAUAGGAGUGCGGUGGCGUAGACUCUAUCGUACGCCUGCUCGUGAAUAGGGCCGCCGUCGUAACAUUGAGGCACGGGGGGAAGCAGUGCGGUUGAAGAAGGUGGAGGAACGGGAGGAGAAGCUGGAAGUGAAGGAGGCGAAGGCAGAAGCAGACGAGAAGCUGGAGUGGAGGAGGCGAAGGCGGGUCAGAUCUGGGUUUUGGGUGGUUCUGGUUUUGGGUUGGGGGAAGACGGGAGCGGGGAAGAAGGGUGAGGGCGAUAAGGGGUGGCUCCCUCACCCCCAUACAAAAAAUUUUUUUUUAAGUUUUUAAUAUUUAAUUAAUUUUCAAAUAGAGAGUAGGUCCAUCUCAAGUCACAUCACUAUUUAACGGAAGAAUUGAUAGACAAACUGACCGAAGGUAUAAAAUUGUAACAAAUUCGUAAGAUGAGGUUGACAUUGGAAUGUUUUAAAGAUAGGAUAUAAAACUGUGAUUGACCCAAUAGUUGAGGUAAUUUUAUGUAAUUUACCCAUUUAUAUAAAGCCAACAAGUCCAAUGAAUACUGUUUUUUUAUGUCACAAGCUUCACCAAAAAAAAAAAAGAGGACAAAAAUGCCCCUCGAACAAACUUCAAAAGCAACCCAAAAUAAUGCAUCAUAUAUGACAGAGGUAUUUUCGUCAUUUUAAUGAUUAAUUUUUUUGUACAGAUUUUUUUAAUUAGUAACUCACAAUAGGUUAGCCAUAAUGUGAUUUAAUCAGCUGUUCAUUAAAUAUUAUUUUCUCUAUUUUUAAACACGUUCAAAAAAUUUUAAGAGGCAUGCAAUGCCGGUUAUAAAAAAGAUCUUUCGCAUGCGAAUAAUAAUGUAAUUAAAUAAUUGUCAAAUGAUUGUUUUAAAAAAAAAUGAUAUUAUCUACACUAAGGGAGAGGGAUUGACUUAGCCUCACAAUAGACUAGCAAUAAUGUGAUUCAAUAGUUGUUUAGUAAAUAUUAUUUUCUUUAUUCUUAAUGUAAAUUCUAUAGAUAUCGAUUUUAUUAUGUGGAUUCAGCUCAUUUAAUUGGUUUAUAAGAUUAUUCAUUUACUUCAAAUAUUUGACUUUCCUUUUGUCAAUUUACGCAUAUAAAUAUAUUUAAAAUGUGUAAAUCAUACGUAACACACCAUGAUUCAAAAAAUACCUUCUGCACCAUGAAAAAAAAUGUGCAUAACUUGAUUAAGAAAAAUAAUCACCGUUUCAUCUGAAACUAUUGAACUAAAAUGUGCAUAAUUUGAUACAAGACUUCCUGCCGACAGUGUAUGCUGAUACAUGGAGGUGAAUUGUCUGCCCUCCCAUUUUCAUACUCUCCUCAUGGCCUCAUGUGAUGUGUGGUUACGGUUAAGUCACGUCAAUAUUUUAUAUUAAUUUUUUAUAGAAAUAAUAAAAUAAAAAGUAAUAGGAUAUAAAAUGUUGACGUGGCUUAACCAUGACCACACAAACAGUAGAGCAUGGAUAGAGUAUAAAAAUAGGAAGGCAAACAAUCCACCUCCGCUGAUACAUACAUGCUUUAUUUUCUAAUUCCUAACUUAUAUAUCAUAGAUUGCAACCAGCAACUACAAAGUAUCGCAAUUUUUUUUUUCCUAGAAAAAGAUGUCAUCCGCCACCUUUUAUAGCCGGAUUCCCUUCAACUUAAUCCAUUUAAUCUGAAAUUCGGACCGUUCAAAUUUGAUUCAACGGUUACAGUUAUUAUCAUUUUAAAAAGAUCCUUUAUUUGUAAUCGUUAAAUCAAAUUUAAAUAGUUCGAAUCUUGAACUAAAUGGAUUAAGUGGAAAGAUAUCUGAAGAAUUCCUUUUCCCUUUUAUAUAUAUCAAUUCAAAUUGCAAAUUUUGACAUUGACAUUGCGUUACAGUACUAGCUAGUGGAUGUGUUUGAUUUGACGUAGUACAGAAACACUGCCAUAAUUAAUUUAAGGCUAAUCUCAAGUACAAUAAAGGCUACUUUAUGAGAUAAAAAUUAGAGAAUUUUAACGAAAAACAUCCGGUACUGUUCACUUUAACGAAAAAUUACAUUUUUACACUAAAAAGUCAAUCCUGGUACUAUUUAUUUUACCCUUUAUUUUGUCCUUAUCAUUAAAACUCAAAGUUUUCAAGUCAUUUUCAUUAGUUUUCCUUAAAAAUUAUGUAAUUAACAUUUUGGCCUUAGUCUUGUACUUAAACGUACGUCAAUUUUCCGGAAUUUCAUAUUAUAACCUUCUCAAAGAAAUUCAAAGUUCAAAAUUCUAAACCCAAACCGACAUACUUAUGGACAUAACAGUAGGCCUUAUAUCCACUAGCAUUUAUGCAUGCGUUCAAGAGUGCAAAAUGUUGACAAAUGAUUGUUUUUUUUUUAAGAAAUGGUAUUAUCUACACUAAAAAAAUAGGAUGAGCUUAGUUUUACAAUGGCUUAGUAAUAAUAUGAUUCAAUCAGUUAUUUAUUAAGUAUUAUUUUUUCUAUUCUUAAUGUAAAUUCUAUAGAAAUCAAUUUUAUUAUGUCAAUUUUAUUAUGUGAAUUCAGCUGUUUUAAUUGGUUUAUAAAGAAUUUCUUCUAGCAUGAUAUAAAACUAUUUAUUUAGUUCAAAUAUUUGACUUUCGUUUUAUCAAUUAACGUGGAUGUAUAUAUAUAUAUAUAUAUAUAGAGGACUUAAUUAUUGUGCAGCAGUGAUUUAUACACAAUAAUAGUGUAGCAUUGAUUAGUAAUUACUUAACCAGCAAGCAAGGAGUAUUAUAUGUCUGCAGGUACAUUACGUAUACCAAGCGAUAGUCACAUCGAGCUUUGAUUUGAUAAACUGAACUUUAGAGAGACUAUGGAGACUUUUUCAAAAAGUUCUCUCAAUCUAGGGUUCUUCAUGAAUUUACUGUUAUUUUAUAAUUUAACAUUAAUUUUUAUUUUUAUUUUAUAAAUUAUUAUGUAAAAAAAAUAUAAGAUAACAGAUAAUUUAUUGAAAUUCCUCUUAUCAUUUCUCUUGAACUUUUCCUGUUUAAGCUCCGUCAUUUAGGAAAUUUAGCUGACGUAGUAGUCCUGGCCACGAGGCAAUUAUAUAGACUUCCAAGUAGGGAUGAUAAUUGGUCGAAGAAGUGAUAGGUAUGCCAUUUUUAGCUCUGCCUCUGAGUAUAUAGGAAAAUAGGGUUUUGUUAGAGGGUACGUAGAUUGACUUGUCACUUGUCUCUCUUAUCUUAAGAGAGCUUAAUUGAAAGGACAAGGAUUGUCUGCCCUCCUUGUUCUCGUGCCCUUCUGUUUUGUGUGGUCACGGUUAAACCAUAUCAACAUUUUAUAUUACUAUUCAUUAAAAUGUUGAUGUGGUUUAAUCGUGACCACACAAAACAGAAUAGCACCAUUGGAGUGGGUUUGAGGGGUAAUUUGGCUUUUAACCCACCAUUGUAGUUGGUCUAAAGGAUGAGGAUCAUCUUUGGAUUCUUCUUUUUGUGGGAAUCCUAUAAAUCUUUAUAUUUUAAUUGUUUAUUAUACAUUGUACGGUCAAUUUUCGUUAAGUAAUAUUUAUGUUUAAUUUUAUAUAAAAAAAUUGAAUAUUUUUUACCGUACGAUAUACACUGAACGACUAAAAUUUAAAAAUUCUUAAGAUCCUUACCAUUUGAAUCCAAAUAAAAUCCAAUUCCCUCCAUAAAGCUUUUUCAAAUUGUGAUGAGCUUAUAAAAAACAAUAUAUCGUACAAAACAGUCGCAAACAACUAUUUGUGACUGUAACACAACGUAUUAAAAUUUAGUAUAGUACAUGUACAUAUAUUUCAAGGAGCAAUUAUUGCCACUUCAUGCAAAAAUCAUCAUAUAGUAAUCCUUGCUUGUAGAAAAAAAAAAAAAAAAACAAAACAAAAGCAAAAAAGUGUAUGACAACUAUAUUGGAAUGUCGCGAACAAUUUCCCUAUUUGAAAUAUAAAUCUAAAAUCAUUGAAAUUAUAAUACCACGUACCCAUCAUACUUAAAGGAUAGUAUAUUAUUUAUAUAUUCAUUUUUACCUCUCACGCACCCUUAUUAAUAUUUUGUCAUUGAUCUUCUUCAUUUCGUUCGAUCUGACGACAAAAAAUUAAGAAGAAUGUGUGAGAAGUAAAAAUAAGUGUAGAUAGCACUACCAUACUUAAAAAUUACUUGGAGAAGGCCAGCCUAGCAGAUGCUAAAGAUGAUCUCAUGGGUCUUAUAAUUUUAUUUUGCAAACUAUAAAAAGAAAAAGAAAAGAUGAAGAUAUAUGUUCUCUGUAUAAUCAACUAUGAUCAAGAAAUCAGAGAUUCUAUUAUAUUACUGCAUCUCUAUUAGAAGAUGCAAAUUUGAGAUGUAAAAGCUACAUUUACAUCUUAUUUUACAUUUUUAGGAGUAUAAUUUAGUUCUACUCUCAUGAGAGUGAUGCAAAUUUAGGAUCUCAUUUAUUUUUCUCUCUUUAACUGAUGGAGUUCACCGCCAAAAGAUGUUAAAUAUGUAAAUUUUCAUUUUAUUACAUCUUCUGGCCAAUAUUGGUGUUUUACAUAUCACCCGUUGGAGAUCAAAGCAUAUAAAUGUCAAUUUCAAAGCAUUUUGCACCUUCCAUUGGAGAUGCUCUUAUAUAUUAAUUAGAGAUCAAUAUUGUCAUAAGAAGAUUCUGCCAGUGCUAAAACCUUAAAGCAAGCGUUAAGAGGUGGAUUUUCUAUUUUGGUGUAACUAAUUUUUCUUCUGUAGCUUAAUCUGAUAUUAACGACAUAAUCGUACGUAGUGAUUAGGAAACCUUGGUAGCUAGCUAGCAGCCUGUGCCAACCUGCUUAAUUAGAAUACAAAUCUGCUUAAUCUAGUUAUGGUUAUAUAUAAGGCUUUUUAGCCAAAAUUGUCCCUGAGAUUUGCAUAACUAAAAAGAUUUCAAAUCAAUAGAAGUGGUCCCCGAGACUGUCCACCAUUCAUUAUUUUGGUCAUUCCGUUAAAAGCUCCGUUAAGUGUCCUGGAGCUCUUGGCUGGAAGUUUGGGCAAUUUUCAAAGCUUCUUAACUCAAUCGUUUUUUAACCAAAUUCGACCCAUAAUAUAUCCAAAUGAAGAUAGAAAAGUGUAGAAUAAGAUUAUACCUGGAAGCCCAAUGGUUGCCAGAGAUGGUCGGAAAAUAGCCUCAAAGUUGACUGAUCUGAGAGAAAACUAGAAAAUUCGCCGGAAAGUGGAUAAACUUUAAACAUUCAUAACUUCUUCAAUACUCAACGAAAUCAAAUGAUUCAAAAACAAAAAUCAUAAUUCUCGAUGAGAGGAAGAGAAUGGUACCUUUUCAACGGCUAACCAGCUGUGGUUUGGCCGAAAAACCGCUCGGAAGUGGCUAACUAGAGACCAAGACAGCCACUUUUGAGCCGUUUUCAGGCCAAAACACGGUGAUUUAGCUGUUGAAAAGAUACAUUCUCUUCGUCUUGUUGAGAAGUAUGAUUUUUGUUUUUGAAUCACUUGAUUUCGUUGAGUAUUGAAGAAGUUAUGAACGUUUAAAGUUUACCAAAUUUCCGGCAAGUUUUUCUGUUUUCCCUCGAACAAGUCAACUUUUAGGCUAUUUUCCGACCAUCUCUAGCAAUCAUUGGGCUUCCAAAUAGGUAUAAUAUUAUUCUACACUUUCCUAUCUUCAUUUUGAUAUAUUAUGAGUCGAAUUAAGUUAAGAAACGAUUGAGUUACGAAGCUUUGAAAAUUGUCCAAACUUCCGGACAAGAGCUCCAGGACACUUAACGAAGUUUUUAAAGGAAUGACUAAAAUGAUGGAUGGUGGACAAUCUCAGAGACCACUUCUAUUUAUUUGAAAUCUCAGGGACCAUUUUGACUAAAAAACCUAUGUAUAAUAAUGAUUAGAGAAGUUUGUACGUAGGCAGUAAUCAAAACCUACUCCACUCCACUUAGGGGUGGGCAAACGGGUUCUGGACCCGUGGGUCGGGGUGGAUCCUUAAGGUUCAGAGCGGGUACGAGGCAGCUCUAAAAAUUAUAAAUACAAAAAGGGACGGGCCGAGGCGAUUCCUGGUAAAUAAUAGGGUGGGCCGGUUCUAAAAGUUAGAGAAAAUGGGCCCCCGGCCCGAACCGUUCAUUACUAUUGUUUAUUACCCUUCUCAGGCCCAGGCCUUUUCGCUCAAGCCUCACCCUCACCUCACCCUCUUUCUCUCCCGAGUCCAGUUCGAGUCUCAUCCCCAGUCCAGUCCAAAUCUCCUCCCUCAUCUCUCGAUCUCUCUCGAUCUGCUUCAUCUCGAUCUCCUCCCGAUCUCCUCCAUCUCGAUCUCCUCUCUGUCGAUCUCAUCCUUCCCGAUCUCCUCCAUCUCGAUCUCAUCUCUAUCGAUCUCCUCCAUCUCUCUCUCUUUCCCACAGUCUCUCUCUCACCCGCCUUCAACCCAGCUGAACCCCUUUCUUCCUCUCGUCUUCCCCAAUUUUCACAAAGCACCACCGAAUUCUCGCAAUUUCACAAACCACUACCAUUGUCGCUGACUUCUUUAAUCUAAAUCAAGCGUGCUGCUGCAAAUGAUGAUUACGGUGAUGUUUGGCCUCGAUGUUGGUCUCAAAUGACUCAUCAACACCCAAGGUACCUUCUAGGCCUAUUGCAUGUGAACAUCUUAUUCAAAUUUGUGAAAAAAUCCGUUUAAAUUUAUGAGCUUUUGAGGGUUCUUCGUUUAACCUAUGGGUUUUUUUGACGUUUCUAUCUGAGAUUUAGUAUUUAUUUUCUAGAGUUUUUAGAAUACUUCGAUUAAAUUUGUGAGUUUGGUAGUGGUGUUUAUGAAAUGAUUGUUAGGUUUUAUGCGGCAGAUGUGAGGGUGGAGAGCUUCGAGGUGCUCGACAAGUGCAAGAGGAAGGUUGUGGUGAUGGCAAAUCCGACGGUGAUGGUGGAGCGGUUCUGGAUCUGGUCGGGCUGGGCUUGGCCGAAACGAUGAGCGAGUUGAAGAUCGGGAGGAUGAGAUGAGUGAGUGGACUCUGGGAGGCGAUAAAAAAUGGCCAAAAAACAGAAGAAAAAAAAUAAGGAGGACUCGUGGACCCGUCCCGAAAUGGCCCGUUUCAAACGGGCCGAGUUAGGUCUGGUUCCACUGAUCAAAUUUGUAAUAUCCGACCUGGCCCAACCCGUUUCCUAUUUAAGCGGGUCCGGUCCGGUCCCUCUAAAUUUGGGCCCGGCCCAAUCCGUGCCCACCCCUAACUCUACUUGCAUGGAAGAAAAUACUGAAAACCCUAAAUAUUAAAUAAAUAUAUAUAACCAAAAAAAAAUGCAUGCAAGUUUUAGUUCCUUAGUUCGUAAUAAACUGAUCAAGUACUAGUGAUAAAUUAAUUCGCAAAUUAUAUUAAUUAACUUCGUUGUUCACUAAAUUUUUUCCCAUCAUUUGGUUACAUGCAUAAAUUAAGUUGGUAUGUAUAUAUGUGUAGGGACCCAAAUACAAGAUAGCGUUGCUUCUAAGCAAUAUAUUAGGAAUUAGUGAUCAAUAAUGGUGACAAUAAUCACAUCUAGAGUAUACAGCUACCAAAGUCACCUUUAUUUUUGUUAAAGAAUGCAAUUUCAAAUCAAAAACUUGAAUAAACUACUACAACGUGAUAAUAAAUGGUUUCACUGUUUAUUGUACUGAGGUAUUUUUGUGAUAAAACUCAACAUCGAUCGAACUAUACAAUUAGUUAAGUUGGGACAAUAUUUGAUUGUAUUGUAGUGUGCUAGGGUGCACAGGUAAUUAAGUUGAAACAAAAUUUAUUUAAUUGGUAGUCAGCCUCUAACCGUACACUGAAAUGAAAGCUUUUAUAUAUUCCCUAUCAAGUCAUAAGGUGACAUGUAACUAAAGGCCCUAUUGUGUAUAUAUAAGUAACCAAGCUAAGUGCUCACAUACGUACAACUCUCUCUAGAUUCUCUAAUCUGUGUCCGUCGUCUCUCUCAUUUAAGCAUGUUUACAAUACUGAGUUCCUCCAAUAAUAUUGGAGAAGACAGAAGCAAAACACACACUUUCUUUCUAACCAUGUUCUUGAUCAUACAAAUCUUGCUGCCAUCAGCAGAAGCUAAUCAGGCUUCUUCACCAUCCCUUUUCUCCAAAUUCUCCAGAGCAGGACCAUCCAAAGAAGCAGCCAACAAUAUUGUAUCUUUGUGCAAACAUACCCCUCACCAGGCAGCUUGUGAAUCCAUUUUCAUCUCCAAAACAAGUAAUAUUACUACAAUUACUAAACCACCCCCUCAAACCCUUGAAGGCCUCCUUGUCCACUCAGUCGACUUCAGCAUUAUAAAGGCUCGUUUGGCUCGCGCUCUUGCCUAUAAUCUUACCAUUUCCCAUCGUCAAACCUCUCAUCAAACACACUCGCUUGGUGGCAUCAAUGACUGCCUCGAGCUGCUCGAGGACAGUAUCGAUUUACUUGAUAAUGUCAUACUCAAAUACGACAGUACCAAAAGCACCUAUGGCCAUGCUGACGACGAUAUCCAAAGCUGGCUCAGUGCUGCUCUUACCAAUCAAGAAACUUGUCUAGACAGCCUUGAGAGUGAUACGUCAAUGGUAGACAAGGGCGCUAUGGAGACUUCAGCUAAAAAUAUGAACCAAUUCAUAAGUAACUCUCUGUCACUUUUCAUGCUCACUACUAGGUCACCAAAGCAGGCCCAAAACAAAAACCCUAAUAACAUUGUCGGUGGCCGGAGGCUGUUGUCGGAUGAUUUUCCGAGUUGGGUGUCCGGCGCUGAGAGAAAGCUUCUAGAAGCUUCUGUGGGUGACUUAGAAGCACAUGCUGUGGUGGCUUUGGAUGGGAGUGGUACGCACAAGAGUAUCGGUGAAGCACUUGGGUUGGUGGCCUCAUUGGCUGAGAGUGGAGGAGGUGGCAGGUCUGUAAUUCAUGUAAAAGCUGGGACUUAUCAUGAAUAUAUUAAAAUACCAACGAAGCAGAAGAACGUUAUGUUAAUUGGUGAUGGUUUGGGGACGACGAUUGUUGUGGGCGAUAGGAACUCUGAUGAUGGUUGGACCACUUUCCAGUCUGCCACGGUUGGUAAGAACAUAUCAAACCUUCCUCUUUUUUAAGUUUUUUUUGUUUCUAAUUAAUAAGAGAAUUCCCUCUUCUUUGAUUUAUUUAUUUAAUAUGGCUUUUUUAUUGGGAACUUUAACGAAAAGCACCCGGUACUGUUCACUUUAACGAAAAACCAUAUUUUUACACUAAAAAGUCAAUCCUGGUACUAUUCACUUUACCCUUUAUUUUGUCCUUAUCAUUAAAACUCAAAGUUUUCAAGCCCUUUUCAUUAGUUUUCCUUUUUUUAUUCUGUCAAAUUAUAAAAUAUGUAAACUACCUAUUAACAAAAAAAAAAAAUUGUUAUAAAAAAUGAUGAGAAGACAAUUUAGUCCUAUAUCAAAAAAUAAAAUCAUAACAAGUAAUGUGUCGCACAAGUUCAAACCUUCUCCCCCUUUAAUUACUGUAAUCUUUUUGAACCUCCUUAAUAAUAAUAACUUUUGUAUUAAAAAAAAUCAAACUAUUAGAGAAAAAUUAAUAUUUAAUAACUGGUGCUAUUGUCACUCACCAAAAUUAUUUACAAAACUCACUGUUAAAUGAAAAUUAUUAUGAUUUUAUACUCGUUGAAAGAUAAUAUUAAAAAUAAAAUUAUAAAGAAAAAAUUAUAGGCUUUGCUACCACUCAUCUUAUUAGAACUUUUCUUUGACAAAUCUGGUUAACUGGUCUCCCAUCAUUAAGAGGCCAACUUUGGGUUGUCUUGUUGUGUCCGUGAGGGAGCAAUGGUAGCAAUGGUCUCGAUCGUAGCUCCCGCAUUACAGUGGGAGACCAAUCAACAUCGACGUUAGUUAGUCAGCUAAAUAUUACAUCUAAUCAUUCUUUUUAUCAUCAUUUAAAAAUUACAUCUGCAAAAAAUCAUUCAAUCUGAUAUUAUUUAUUCAUCUCUAUGUGUCAAACUAAUAAACGAUUUUGAUAACAAGUAAUAUCGUUGUGAUGAACCGUCCGUCAAUUUGUUUAAUGCAUACGAACAUUUCCGAUUAUGAAAUCCGUACGUCAAAAAUACAUUAAUCAUAAAUGGAGGAUGAGUAGAUUCUCUAUGAAGUAAAAACAAGCAUUAUUAUUCAUAAAAAAAAUAAAAAAGACAAGAAAAUAUCAAAAAGGGCAGUUCACAUGUCUAUACACUAACAUCAAAUAGAAAAGAAAUGAAAUCAUAAAAGGAAUGGUUGGUUCUAUUAAAAUUCUUUAUUUUCUUGCUUUAGUCCACCACCUUCCUUCGAUAUCCAUUUCCCUGAAUUAUAAUGUUAGAUGUGAUGCUCAUAAAGGAUGAUCAAGGUUUUAAUUUCGUGUUUCUUAUUUUGCUCGCAUGUACACCGCACACCCGCUUGGAAAUUCUCAACUUAUGGUUGUAAAGACCAACAUGAGAAAAAAGAGAUUCUUUCAUGCAUGAAUUAAACAUAAUUUCAUAAUUAUUCAUAACACAGAUGAUUAAACUCAUUAAUACAAUUUGAGACGAAAAAAUUACAUUUACAUUUUGGUAAAACAAAUUGUAAAUUUUUAUUUUUAUUUAUAUUUUACAACUAAAAUGAGUAUUUUACAUCCCCUUAAAAAUUGUACAUUGGAUAGUUGUUUAGGGCGAGGGAGAGAGAAAGUGGAGGAAAAAACUAUAGUUUCAUAUGGCUGAGUGAAGGAAAAAAAAACAUCAAAAACUUGUUUGUGCAAAAUUAUUUUAGUGACUUUCUUUUUUAUUUUUUUUAAUUUUCUUUCAGUUAUGUAUAAAAGGAUAUGGUUUUUUUUUUUUGGACAAAAAGAGUCAGAAGGAAAAUUUUCUCUUACUUAAUAAAAAUUGCAUGUCCUCAUGGCACAUAGUAACAUGCAAACAACCGUGUUUUCAGCUGCUAUGGGAGACGGCUUUAUAGCUCGUGACAUAACGUUUGAGAAUAAUGCCGGUCCAUCAAAGCACCAAGCGGUUGCCCUCCGAGUCGGCGCUGACAAGUCAGUGAUUUUCCGAUGCUCCAUCGUCGGUUACCAAGACACCCUUUACACUCACUCCAAGCGCCAGUUCUACAGAGACACCCAAAUCUACGGAACAGUUGAUUUCAUAUUUGGAAACUCAGCAGCAGUUUUCCAGAACUGCAACAUUUACGCAAGAAAACCCGCUUCAACCGGUCUCAAAAAUUUUGUCACAGCACAAGGUAGAACCAGCCCGGAUCAGAACACUGGAAUUUCGAUUCAUAACUGCAAAAUUUCAGCUGCUUCGGAUCUUGCUCCGGUGAAAUCCAAGUACGAGACGCAUCUUGGAAGGCCAUGGAAGCAGUACUCAAGAACAGUUAUCAUGCAGUCUUACUUGGAUGACUCAAUUAGUAAGGCUGGUUGGUCACCUUGGUCAGGUGGGUUUGCUUUAAACACAUUGUAUUAUGGUGAGUAUUCAAAUUAUGGGCCUGGGGCUUCAACUUCGGGUCGGGUCCGGUGGCCGGGAUAUCAUGCAUCACUUACACCGGUUGCUGCACAAGGCUUCACUGUUAGCGGUUUCAUCUCUGGGAACCUUUGGUUGCCUUCCACUGGGGUUUCUUUUGAUUCGGGACUUCAUUAAAUGAUCGUGAUAGCGGUUUUCAUACUCAGUUUAGCUUUUGACACUUCGGUUGUGACGUGAGCGUACAAAGUAUAACAUACUCAAUUUAAAUGUGAGAAGCUAAACUAAGAGUGCCAAAAUUACUACCUUAUGAAGGCGUUGUGCAUUUGUAUAAAGUUGUAUUUGUGUUUGGUUAGAUGUGAUCUGAAACCAAAGGGCUUAUGUGAUCGCAGGCCUAUUAUAGUUAUGUUGUGUGAUCUUAGUGUUUUUGGCCUUCGAUCCCCUUGAAACAAGCAAUAGUUGUGUUACUAUUCUUUAAGUUUAAAAAUCCACUUGAAUAGAUUGGUGGUUAUGUAAGUUGUGUUGCUUUUGGUGAAUGCAAAUUCACUUACAAAUAACAACGAUCUUCGUCGUAUAAAUUUUACAAAUAGAACUAUUACAUAAUAGGAGUUUAAAUUGUGGGUGCAAAGAAAUUUCUCAAUAACCGAAACGACAAUUUCCUCAAUGUUGUGAAAUCUUUAGAUAAAUGUCUUAUAUUUUCAGUAUGAGUAAGUAGAAAUAUAUCUGUGUUGUGAUUAAUGAAUCCUCCACUAAUCACUAUUUGUCAAUCUUAAGCUAGAAUUUAUAAAUAAAUUAGUAGUGACUAGGGACCAAUAAUUCCAUAAACAAAACUACAAACAAUCCAAUAAACAAUUUGCAUAGUUGGUGAUGACGUAGUUUUUAAUACAAAAAAAUAAAUAAAAUCACAUAAGAAAAUUUAAACUUAUAGAUUUGAUUCCGCCGGCGUAUAUUAUCAAGGAAGGGGAUCCUCACCAGACCAUUUGUGGGGAUUCUAGAAAUCUCUACAUUCUAACCGUUUAUUGUACAUCGUGCAGCCAGUUUUCAUAAGAUACUUUUUGUAUUUAAUUUUAAAUAAAAAAAAUCAAAUAAUUUCUGACCGAACGAUAUACAAUAAAUGACUAAAAUGUGAAGAUUCUUAGGAUCCACACAAAAUAGAUCCGGGAUCCAGUUCCAUUAUAAAGGACAAUACUUGAGUCCUGAUUCAUCAGAACGUGGCACAGUAAAAGGGAGGCAUGUGUCUUUUUAACUCUCCAAAUACCUAACCUUGCAUUCUUUGUUUUGAUAUCAACCAGAAAAAAACUGAAAAACUUCCUGUAAAAUACAAAAAACUAAAAAUAAAGGGAAAAAAGGAGGAGGAAGGAAAGUAGGGAUGGAAAGCCAAGACCAAGAGCACAUUGUGAUGCUGCCAUUCAUGGCUCAGGGCCAUCUCAUACCAUUCCUGCAACUGGCAAGAAAUCUCCAACAGAGAAAAAGCUUGAUCACUGUCACCGUCGCAAGCACCGCCCUCAACAUCCAAUACCUCCGCACCACGAUCGCCUCCAACUCAAGCUCUCAAUCUGACUCCAACAUCCGCUUGGCUGAGCUAUCAUUCUGUGGCACAGACCACGGCUUGCCCCCGAACGGCGAGAACACAGAGAACUUGCCUAUCAGCAAAAUAGGAAACCUAGUUGCUGCAUCAACAAGUCUUGAAGCUCCUGCUCGCCGCCUUAUCUCUGAUAUCAUCGAAAAAGAAGGCCGCCCGCCGCUCUGUAUUAUCUCUGACAUGUACUUUGGAUGGGCUGCUAAUCUUGCAAACAGCUUUGGAACUGCGCAUGUGACUUUCACCACAGGUGGUGCCUAUGGCACUGCAGCUUUGGUGUCUAUUUGGCUUAACCUCCCACACCGUUCUACAGCUUCGGAUGAGUUCCCGGUGCUGGGGUUUCCUGAGAGUUACCGCUUCCAUAUCUCUCAGCUGAAUCCAUACUUAAGAGCUGCAGAUGGUACUGACUUUGGGUCAAGAAUUUUUCAACCUCAGCUUUCGCUUUCUACGAAAUCCUUUGGGUGGUUGUGUAGUACUGUUGAGGAGAUUGAGCCAGUUGGAUUGAAGAUCUUGAGGAACUACCUGGGGCGUCCUGUAUGGUCCAUCGGACCUCUUCUUCCUUUAGAAGCACUCAACAACUCAUCUACUUUGGCCUUAAGUGUUUCAAGGCAACGCGCCGGAAAAGAAUUCGGCAUACCUCCUGAAGCAUGCCUGGAAUGGCUUGACUCACAAUGUUCGGAUUCGGUUGUUUACAUCUCAUUUGGUUCUCAAAACAGUAUAAGUUCAAACCAGAUGAUGGAAUUAGCUCUUGGGUUGGAAGAAAGUGGAAGGCCUUUUAUUUGGGUAAUAAGGCCUCCGGUUGGAUAUGAUAUGAAGGGUGAGUUCCGAGCAGAGUGGUUGCCCGAGGGGUUCGAAGAUCGAAUGAGUAGAGGAAAACAAGGGUUGGUGGUGCACAAUUGGGCACCCCAGUUGGAGAUAUUGUCACACAAGUCGACGGGUGUGUUUGUUAGCCACUGCGGAUGGAAUUCAGUGAUGGAGAGCUUAAGCCAAGGGGUGCCAAUGAUAGGGUGGCCAUUGGCGUCCGAGCAGGCAUUUAACUCGAAGAUGUUGGCGGAGGAGAUGGGCGUGAGCGUCGAACUUACAAGGGGAUCACAGAGUGUUAUUGUUGGGAAGGAGGUGAAGAGACUGAUAGAUUUGGUGAUGGAGAAAAGUGGCAAAGGAGGGGAAAUGAGGAAAAAAGCGGGUGAUAUUGGGGAGCAGAUAAGAGCAGCAGUAAGGGAUGAGGCAGAAGACAAGGGAUCGUUUGUUUUGGAAAUGGAUGAUUUUCUUGGCACCAUUUUAGCAACUAGAAGAAAAAAUUAGCACAAAUAAGUUAUGUACUUCCUAAACCCUAAAGUGAAGGUUUCUUAGAGCAUGUUUACUUGAUAAAAAUAAAUGGGUAUACAAAUUAUUUCACUUAUUCAUAUGUGGAAUCUGUGGACAAAAGUUACUCUAGGAAUAACGAGUUGAUCUUCCCCAAGAGCUCGCAGCGACAGCAAGGUUUGGCACCUCAAUGUCGGCUCUUCACCACUUGAGCAUGUAUUAUGUUUCAAGGGUUGGGCUAGAGCCACCACUUGGGCAUAUAUUAUGUUUCUAGGGUUGGGCUCUUUGCCCAUUAAAGCGGUACGUGAGCUGAUUUCAAACAUCGUGAGACAAUUCAGUCCAUAUCCAAUGUGAUAUACGAGAACAAAACAAGAAUUUGCCAUAUACUGAUGAGACUUUGAACUCAAAUUUAGUUGUCCAUAACUGAUAUACGAGAACAAAACGGUUCAUAUAUUGCAUAUAACAACUUACACAGACGAUGCAUUUCGACGAUGGAAAAGAAUAGAUUUCAAAACCCAGAAAGUAAAUAACUUAAGUAUGGCAACAAAUCAAUCAACAGUUUACACAUUCUCACAGAUAUGCAUCUUCACGAGCGAGGUUCCAAGUAAUCCAUUAACAUCUACCUUCGACGCCUUUUUAUUAAUACUUCACCUUGUAGAGAAGACGGGUUUCGAUUUUCCUUCUGAAUUUCUAAGCUGAUGGAAGAAGAAGAUGGCUUUGAUAGGGCAGGCAACCUAACACGAUAUAGAUCUCAAGAAGAUGCAGUAACAGCAGGCUGGAUUGGGUUAAAUGCAACCUGCUCGGCACAAGUUAACACUUCAUGAGGCCCUGCCUCGUCUCGGUUGACACCCAUAAGGUCCAGGUAGUACUGGUAAUGUGAAACGAUGUUGUUCAUGGCAUCAAUGUCACCCUUGCCACAAACUGAUUCCCCAUAAAGAAUAUUCAUUGUAGCCAAAUCCAGGAAACCGCUUACUCAAGGUAUCGUUCUUGGUAGGCUUCCAGUCUCCAACAAAUGCUUGGUGGGCCGAGGGUUGUGACUUCUUGAUAGGGGUCAUCCACCUCCAUACUGCAGCUUGGAAAGCAAGAGUAGCGUUCUGCUCAAUGUAUUCUGGAUGGUUCAACAGAUCCACCUUCAAAGCGUCUCCAGCUGCACCGUAAUUGUAGUUCCUAGAUGGUAGAACCAAUGUUAAAUUAGUAACAUUGUCUAUUCAAAGAACUCAAACUACAACCUCACGUAUCUUCUAGAACUUCAGAUGUCACGAGAUUUGAGGAAAAAACAUAAAUGUGACAAUAGCUAGACUAUGGAACAAACUGACAUACAACAACAAAGGCUUAUCCCACUAAGCGGCGUCUGCUGUAUGAAGACAAAUAUGUCUGACGAUUCUGACUGCAAAACAACUCCAUCUAGUUUCCGCCACAAGUAAAUUACUAGCUUGCAGUAUGUAUCAUCUAAUUUGUGAACUUGCUAAGAUGGCAUUAUACGAGUAGACCAAUGAAUUAAUCUCAUCUAACGAUAGCUCGCUCUACUUUACAACACAACUGACAUCAUCUUUGGUUAAUUUAUUUGGUAAACGAAAGCUCAGACAACUGAAUAUUAUGAAAGGAAAUCGACAUAAACCAAUGAUAAAAUAGAUGGAAUACAAACCAGUAGAUAGGCAAAGCACCACGGCCAUAGUAUUCAGCUCCAGGGCUGCAGGGAUAUAUGUACUUGUAAUAGUCAUCACAGUAUGACUGCAUGGGACUCAUUUCCCUGUUGUAGCAAAGCCCCCAAGCGUAUGGUCCUCCGGUGGCCACACCGUAACCGCCUGGAACAAUCAUCCCCAUCGCCGUCAACAACCAUAGGAACACCGGUAUACAUAUGUGAAGUACAGCAAAAGCUUACUGUAUUUUAUAAGGGUUAAAAAUCUUUUUCGUCACCGUAUUUAUGGUCACUGCGUUUUCAAUUUAGCCAAUUCGGUCACCGUGUUUUACAAAAUUUGCAAUCUUCGUCACUUCUCGUAACUUUAUGUUAAAAAAAAUUAUUAAUUUUUUCAUUUUUUGACUUAAAACACAGCGACCAAAUUAGCGAAAAUCGAAAACACUGCGACCAAAUUGUCAAAAUUGAAAACACAGUGACCAAAAAUUGUAUGAAAUCCAAGUUUUUUCCCUCAAAAUCGACGUUGUUCAUAAACCCAAUUCACUAAAACUCAACAAAUCUCAAUCAAACAUUACUAAUUAAAAAACAAGAGCUACCCAAAAUAGCAAUUCUAUGCACAAACAAGAGUGGUGACUUACAGGAGGUUUUGCUGCCGACAUGUCCAAGAAAGGCGGCGAUCUCCUUCAUCUGCAUAAGCUUCCCACCGGUGGUCCCAAACCCAAGAGGCUCGAAAAGCGCCGCGGCGGUGAUAAACGCCUGGUAAUCCCAAAACCCAACGGCAUGCGCCACCGGCGUGUUUCUCUUGGAGAACAGAUUCUCAAACUGGUAAGUCUGGAAGUAAUCGGAGAUGGUGAGAUUGCAACAGUAUUUUGACCACCCUUUACACUCCCACCCUUUGUCGCACAGCUUCUUCCCCCUCACAAUCUUCACUUUCGCCACGGUGGACGAGUAAUCGCCGUCGCUGCUGGCACACAGGAAAAC
rnacentral:lncRNA from 1 species